GUGACCAGGCAAGACAAACUUAUGAACUUGCAAGGAUGGCAAUCAGAUCGACAUCCGCACAAUGCUGAUAUGAACAUUGUCUUGAUACAACUUUAUUUGUAUUUUAUUUCAGAAUUUAAACAACUAGUUUGGGCGGGUCACACAUGGUGUUGUGUGACACUUUAUUUGUCACCGCUACAUCGACAUAUCCAUCGACUAAACAACGGUGAUCCAACUAUAUAUUAAUAGAGAUCUUUUCUUAUCAGUAGGCACCAACUCCAGUGCCAACGCCGAAUGGCGCACUAGUGGUGGUUCCGUACAACGGCACGUUGACAUUGCACAUCGUUGGCAAGGUACGGAGUGCAAUGGAAGUCAUCACCUCAAAUUGAGCUAUCUGGUGUGGCUGCAAAAAGGUACCCUGUGCCAAUUGUUGUUGUUGAGGUUGUUGCCCGAGUUGCUGCUGCGAUUGUUGUUGGGGUUGGGAGACACAUUGGCCCAACUGUUGGGGUUGUUGUUGCUGAGCUUGGAUGAUACUCUGAACUUGUUGUUGUUGUUGUUGUUGUUGCUGCAGGAUGAUAGAGUAGAUGAUAGCACGGAUUGACUCAUGGCGGGAUUGCCCGGGGAUUUGCCGCAACUGUUGGCAACAUUGUUGCUGCAUCACAUGGCAAAUCCUCUGCUGCAACAUUUGUGACCUAGCAAGACAUCGCUGCAUUGCCACAGGGAUGCACUGCUGCUGGAGGAAUACCUUGCAUGGGUUUAGUUGCUGCAAAACAGAUGGAUGAAUAACUGGUAUUUGUUGUUGCUGUGAAAAUGGUGGUUGUUGUUGCUGCGAAAAUGGUGGUUGUUGUUGCUGUGAAAUUGGUGGCUGUUGUGAAAACGGUGGUUGUUGUUGUUGUGAAAAUGGUGGUUGUUGUUGUUGCUGCUGCGAAAAUGGUNNNNNNNNNNNNNNNNNNNNNNNNNNNNNNNNNNNNNNNNNNNNNNNNNNNNNNNNNNNNNNNNNNNNNNNNNNNNNNNNNNNNNNNNNNNNNNNNNNNNNNNNNNNNNNNNNNNNNNNNNNNNNNNNNNNNNNNNNNNNNNNNNNNNNNNNNNNNNNNNNNNNNAAUUGGUGGCUGUUGUGAAAACGGUGGUUGGUGUUGCUGCAAAAAUGGUGGUUGUUGUUGUUGUUGCUGCGAAAAUGGUGAUUGUUGUUGUUGCGAAAAUGGUGGUUGCUAUUGCUGUGAAUAUGGUGGCUCUUGUUGCUGCGAAAAUGGUGGUUGUUGUUGCUGCGGAAAUGGUUGUUGUUGUUGUUGUUGCUGUGAAAUUUGCGCAACGGCACUUGCCGCCGCAAGAGCGAGGAGGGAAAAGACGAGGAAUGUCUUCAUUGUGGAUUGAUGUCAACUAGUGUUGCUUGGUUUUGAUGCUUGUGCUUGUGAUGAUCUUUAUACUUCAUGCCUAUUUAUAGUAGCCCGGGCACCACCUCUUUUCUUCUUUGCAUCAGCUUUAAUAAAUUUGUUUGGCUGCAUCUGAAAUGAAUUUUUUUGGUACAUUGUGUUUGGUUGCGCUAGCUACAAGCGUACUUUUGGAUUAAUCAUCAAAGUUGCUUUUUAGUUGUGCAUAUGAUCACACACGAAGUACAGAAACCCUGAUGUUUGUUAUAUAUGACUCAUCUUAUUCACUUUACAUGUCACACACUUAUCAAGAUAGUAUCACUUUUGCAACCGAGUUUGGAACCUUGUAUAGGCUAUCAACCAUAAACUAAAAAGGCAAAACUUUUGUAGGACUAAGUUGCAAUCGUGUGUGGGCUGUUAAGAUAUGCUCGAUUAUUAAAGCCUUGCGUGUGGAGGGUUCUUCUAGAGUUGGUUGCUUUUUAUAACUAAUUUUGUAUUUUCCACUAAGAUGAUAAGAUGAACCGACGCCUAUAGAGCAUGACAUGACUCAUCGAAUUCCCUUUAUAUGAAAAGGAUGAUAAUUGCUUACAAGAUACUCCUACUAGCAUAUAUUCGGUCCUAAGUCUAGACAUGUCAUCAUUAGUUCCGUGUUUUUGUUUAGAUAAAUCAUCAGUUCCAUCUAUUUGUGAAAGCUUUUGGGGGGGGGUGACAGUUUUUUUUGGCGCUAGGGGAAAAAUCUUUUUUGAUCUAGGGGGAAAUGAUAGAUGGGGCUGGAACAGAGGCCCGCAGCCUAGAGCGAGAGAUUAGGCCCAACAUAAGCGCUGUGUGUUAGGGCACCAAUUCGAAUUGGGCUAUAGUUUUCGUAGGCCCCAAUGUCACAAGCCGAACUCACACUCCGCAGAUCUGCGUCAUCUCCUUGCUCGUCCUCCUCGCCGGUCAGACCUCUCGUCGGCGUAGCCUCUCCUGGAUCCCACCGCCUGCGGCCGGUCACAUACGUCUGAGGCAGCGGAGGCGGAAGCCUCCCUCCUGCCCUCCGCACCCGCUACCACCACCAUUGGUCGACAAAAAGGUCACUUUUGAAGCUCCUUCGUCGAUUGCGGGCCGUACGUCGACGGCAGCCACUCCGGCCUCCCCGCUAAAACAAGGUAUCGAUCCUGGCCGUCUGUCUCCUCCAACGAUUCAAUUCACAUGAAUUCGAGAGGCGUACCCAUCUCCAUGCCAGCCACAUGAAUCAGGAGGGUCAUGAAGCAGGAUUCAUCUGCGUAGCCUGAUAGUGACAUACAUUUGUGGCUUUGGUAGCUAAGCAACUUUGUGCUUUCUAUGGAUGUCACUUCAAAAGUUCAAAUAAUCAUCAAAUUUCCGCCUUUGGGUGCUGCAGGUGGAGUGGAGGACAUUCAGUUUCCCUCUGAUGUCCGAGAAGUCCGUCUUCGGUGCAGCAAUUGUGGGUGUCAAAACCGGGGGAUCUCGGGUAGAGGGUCCCGAACUGUGCGUCUAAGGCGGAUGGUAACAGGAGGCAGGGGACACAAUGUUUACCCAGGUUUGGGCCCUCUCGAUGGAGGUAAUACCCUACUUCCUGCUUGAUUGAUCUUGAUGAUAUGAGUAUUACAAGAGUUGAUCUACCACGAGAUCGUAGUGGCCAAAUCCUAGAAGCUAGCUUAUGAUUAUGAUUGUUGUUGUCCUACGGACUAAACCCUCCGGUUUAUAUAGACACCGGAGGGGGCUAGGGUUACACAGAGUCGGUUACAAGGGAGGAGAUCUACAUAUCCGAAUUGCCAAGCUUGCCUUCCACGCAAAGGAGAGUCCCACCCGGACACGAGAUGAAGUCUUCAAUCUUGUAUCUUCGUAGUCCGGCCGAAGGAUAUAGUCCGGCUGUCCGAGGACCCCCUAAUUCAUGACUCCCUCAGUAGCUCCUGAACCAGGCUUCAAUGACGAUGAGUCCGGCGCACAGAUUGUCUUCGGCAUUGCAAGGCGGGUUCUUCCUCUGAAUACUCCAUAGAAGAUUUCAAACACAAGGACAGUGUCCGGCUCUGCAAAACAAAUUCCACAUACCACCGUAGAGAGUAUAAUAUUUUCACAAAUCUAAUCUGCUGACAACUUUUCAUAACGUGACAUCACGCCAUGGCCUGGUCAUUAUUUGAACCGUUUUUCUCAACCAACUACUACACAUAUUGCGAGGCGGUUUUCUUGACAUGUCUUGUCAAAGCAGAGAUCGUGUCCCCUUAUCAUGAGAUUCUAAUCAAUAUGGGCGUGGGUAACCCAACCGCGCCAUCAAUCACGAUGCUUGGGGAAUAAGCGAGUUUACCAGUCAAGUGGGGAGGCAUAGAAUCCCUGCUGCCUUUAUAAGGGGAUAAGGACUCCCUUUCGCACCCACGCUUUCUUCUUCCCGAUCCAUUCCCCUUUGCCCGAGCUCCAGCAAUAGAGCGUUCGUCUUCUCUGCCCACAAAGGCCUUCCGAAAAUGUCCGGAUCAUGAGCAGGAGGCAAGUGGAUGGCCUCUACUGUCGAGGAGAAGCAUAUCAAAAAGUUUUGGGAGGCCGGGUAUCUGGCCAAAAAAAUCGACCACCGUCUCCCGACGGCGGGACAGAACGUUCCUACUCCGGAACCCCAAGAGAGGGUUGUAUUCCUCCCUCAUUUUGUCUGCGGGCUAGGGUUUCCCCUCCACCCGUUCGUUCGCGGCAUCAUGUAUUAUUACGGGAUCGAUUUUCAUGAUGUAUCCCCCAAUUCCUUCCUCAACUUCUCGACAUUCAUCAUCGUGUGCGAGGCUUUUCUCCGCAUCUCGCCACACUUCGGCUUAUGCCUGAAGAUCUUUAAUGUGAAGGCCAAGGUGGUGAGCGGCGAGCACGCCGAGUGUGGGGGCGCCAUGGUGAGCAAGAUGCCCAAUGUCACCUGGCCAACAUGUACUUUUAAUGAUUCCAUCAAAUAGUGGCAACAACAGUGGUUUUACAUUACUAAGCCACGCAGCACGGAAUGGGCCGCUGCUCCAGAGUUCCGAUCCAGAGCCCCUCUGCGGCUUACGUCCUGGCCCAAGAAGGGCCUGAACUGGUCUUCGUCUGACGAACUGUCUAUGCUCCAGACGCGCAUUAAAGAUAUGGAAGACAAGAACAUCGAACUUGUCAUUGUAGUCCAGGUGAUGUUAGUUCGCGGGAUCCUGCCUUGUCAGCACCAGACUUGCAAUAUGUGGGAAUUCGAUCCGGCCAAGCACCAGACCCUGUGAAAACUCUUUGGAUCCUCGCACGAAGACAUCUGGAAGGUGCUUUUCAAGUCUGGAAAAUCAUGGACGGACUCGGCCGAGGACCGUGGGUAUCAACUGUCCCGCCCUGCAAGCUCGGUAAGUUUUAUGCGUUUUACCCGCAUAACCCAAGGGAAAUGCCUAAUGUGUUUUCCUCAAUUCCCCUAGGGCUGGACGAAGAAGGCGGGGCGGAUCCACUGUCCGGUCCCGUUGCCCGAAGAACCGGCCGGCCCACUUCUGACGAAGAUGCUGGCCCCGGCGCCAUACAAGGCACCGAAGAAGAAGACCAAGGAGGCCAAAAAGACCCGAGGCGGCCUUCGUCGCCGCGGCACUUCAGCCACAAUAUCCGAAGGCUCCAAACCCCGUUCUGCCUCUGAAGAGGACGAGGAGGAGGAAGACGAAUCCCCAGUGGGGGGAAGAAAAGAAGAGGGCGGCCUCCAUACACUUGGAGGCCGAGUCACCUAAAAGGGGAAAAGAUCCUCUUCGUGAAGAGUCCACUGCCGCCGCCGACAGCAGCCCGGCAUGGGAUCCCAGGGCCCAGCCCCUGGUGAACUCGUGAGUAUAAAAUCCGAACACGUUUAUGCGUCCAGACUCAUCAUGGCAUAAUAUUUUAACCUGAGCUAUAUUUUUUUCAGUCCGGCGAGGUCCCGCACCAAAUGAUCCUCAUCAGAGGAUUCGCUAAGCUCGGAUGCUAUAGAGAGCGGGACGCCCCCAAAGGCCCCUUCCCCCAAAUGUGUGCAUAACACCGAGGCUUCGUCCCAGAAGGACCCCGGCCAAGGAGGGGGGGAAGAGAUCGUGAAAGCAGCGCCUGGAGUUCAAACUUCGGGGGCCGGAGACAUGGGGGAGAAGAUUCCCAUGGGAGUCGACGGCGGGAGCCAUCUUGAAUUCGGCUCCCAGCCGGGCGCAAUUCCGGAGACCAAUACGGCUCGAAAAUCAAGCAGGCGGCCUCCCUCGGUUGGAGGGGGCGUGCCUGUUCCACCGGCAAUCUCUGUCCAGCCAGAGGUGCCGGAUGUUUUGUUGGCGGCGCUGAAGAGCGCCUCCAUCGUCGAUGAACACCGUGCCCUGAUGGGUGUGGUGAUUAAGGAGAUUCAGUCUGCUGAGAGUGGACUGAAUGAAGCUUGUAUCAGCCUUAUAAGAGGCUUUGAGGUAUGUUUUAUGAGGUUUCGAAGAGUGUCAUAGUAUGGAUAGUAGCCCCUGAUACACUGUUCGGUGCAAGAAAGGACCGAACAAAGGAUCAAUUUUAUGUUCGCAGGAAGACUCACUUGAUGACAUCUAUCUCUCUUCUUUUAUAAGCAGGUGUCUGCAGUGGCUGCUGCCUCUCAUGCUGCGGAGGUCUCCGGACUAAAUCAAAGUCUGGAGCGGGCCGAAGAAGAACUUGGCCAGUUGAAAAGCCAGUUGGAAGAUAAACAAGGUAUGCGCAAGCAGGGGCGGAAUUGGGCCUAUGGCAACUAGGGCUAUAGCCCCAGGCGUGGCCCAACUAGUGCUAUUAGAUCCAGAUGAAAAUUUUCAGAUUUUUAGAUUUUAAGAGGCCCAGCCCCAGGCGUGACCACCCAGCUCCAGGCCUCAGCCGCUCAGCCCAUGUACCUUCUGAGGCUCGCAGCCCAACUAGCUCUGCAUAUUUUGCUCCUAACAAAAGCUAUGCAUCGCCAAGCAGCAGGAAGCCAUGCCCACGUUUUGCCCUAAGGAAACGUUUUUGCUAACAAAACAACGCCCACGUUUUCCCCUAAAAAAACCUUUUUGCUAGAAAAACGACGCCCAGGUUUGAUCGUUGGUCUGUUGCGAUUCCAAAGGAAUCGAUCGCACGACGAUUCGAUCGAUCUGACAAAACAUAGUUGCCUUGUUCCGUGCGCCGCCUGAGGUGUUUCCCUUCCCCUCGAUGGCUCGACAGACCUGCGCAUGGCCUCGUCACUUCGUCGGAGCAGCCCCCUCCAAGUCCAACCUUCUGGUCUUUUCCAUCUCCACAACCGGCAACGUCUUGUUCUUCUCCGUUUCCACAACCGGCUAGACUGGUAUUUUCUACUUUGGUGUAUCGUCUAUCUUUUUGCUAGAUCCAAGAUGAUUAAAUUGUACUCGUAUUACUUUAGUCAAUUUUUGUUUCGGUAAUUUGUAAAAGCAAAAAUAGAUAGAAACCCAAGAUGAAUAGGAUACGUACGAUUGUUUUAAGCAACAUCCAGCCAGCCUUCAUCGAACAAUACCAACAUCAUCAUUGUUAAACUAUUUUGUUCUAUUAAAUUUCCUCUUGUGGUAAAAAUGAAUUCAUAUAUCAUUUUUAAAGUGAAGUUGUGAUUCCCGCCAGAAAAAACUGAAUUUGUGACGUACUUGUAACAUGCACUGGUUUGUGUGGUAUAGUUACUUAGUUUUAGUCCUAGGCUUUGAGAAAUCCUGGCUCCGCCUCUGUGCGCAAGCCUUGUUCGCAUUUGGUGCAAACAAAUUCUCAUUAUGAUAAAAUAUGUUUCAUUAUUUGCGCCAGGGGUGAUGACCGAAGUCGAGGCUUUGAGGAAGGCAGUUGCCGAGGCCGAGGAAAAGGCGGCCGCAGAGCAGGCUCUUCGUGAGAAGCACGAGGCCAGGGUUAUUGAAGCUGAGCAGGAGCUUCAAGAGUCCGUGAAGAAAUGCGAGACCUUGGAGCAGAGUUUAGCGGAGAAAGAAUCCGAACUCGCCAGGGCUCAUCAGGCCGCGCGCGAUGCCCAGGGGGAAACCCAAGGCGCCCUGCAGGAGAUCCAAGAGGCGAGGACGAUCACGGCGGGUAAGGCUUUUUUCCAUGUAAAGCAAGUAUUUGAGGAGAAAACCAUGUUUCUAAUUUUGAGUUCGGAUUUCUCCAGGGGUAUUUGCGGAACUACCCCGCAGCAUAUCGGAUGCCGCCCAAUUCUACCGAGCCAAAGAAGGGAACACUGCGGAUAAUCUCUUCUGGUCGCAGUAUUUAGCACCGAUUUAUCCGCUGCCUUUUGCCGACCAAAUGAAACAACUGAUCGAACUGCAUAGGGCGGCCGAACUAGCCAUGAAGGAUUUGAUUAUCCGGCUAUGGCCUGCCGAGCCGAUUCCAGGCAGCUACUUCGGGCUCGUGAAGCGGCUUGUGAGUGCCUGCCCUCGACUUGAUGUCAUCAAGCGGUCGGUCUAUAUAGAGGGUGCGCGAAUAGCCUUCACUCGCGCAAAUGUGCACUGGGGGAAGAUGGAUGCUGAAAAGCUGAUGACCGAGGGACCGCCAGAGGGGAAGGAGCACCGCAAGCCCGAAUUAUAUUAUGAAAGUGUCCUCAAAGGAUCAUGCCUAGCGGCGGAGCAAUGCACCAAGGACAUUAUAUUUCCAUGAAUACAAUCAUGUUGUCAUUUGUAAUGUCGAACAAGGUCAUUUCUAUUAUUUAUUGCCUGUUAUAUACAAGUUUAUCCUCCUACACGGCCGUUUUAUAUAUUAAUCCUGAGAGUUGGCCAGUGAUAUGUCUCCAACAUAUCUAUAAUUUUUUAUUGUUCCAUGCUAUAUUAUAUUCUGUUUUGUACAUUAUUGGGCUUUAUUAUACACUUCUAUAUUAUUUUUGGGACUAACCUAUUAACCGGAGGCCCAGCCCAGAAUUGCUGUUUUUUUGCCUAUUUUAGGGUUUCGCAGAAAAAGAAUAUCAAACGGAGUCCAGACUGAAUGAAACAUUCGAAAGCAUGAUUUUCGGAACGAACGUGAUCCAGAGGACUUGGACCCUACGUCAAGCAAUCAACGAGGAAGACACGAGGUAGGGGGGCGCGCCUACCCUCCCUCAGGCGCGCCCUCCACCCUCAUGGGCCCCCUAUUGCUCCACCGACAUACUCCUUCCUCCUAUAUAUACCUACGUACCCCCAAACUACCAGAUACGGAGCCAAAACGCUAAUUCCACCGCCGCAACUUUCUGUAUCCACGAGAUCCCAUCUUGGGGCCUUUUCCGGAGCUCCGCCGGAGGGGGCAUCGAUCACGGAGGGCUUGUACAUCAUCACCAUAGCCCCUCCGAUGAAGUGUGAGUAGUUCACCUCAGACCUACGGGUCCAUAGUUAUUAGCUAGAUGGCUUCUUCUCUCUUUUUGGAUCUCAAUACAAAGUUCUCCCCCUCUCUUUUGGAGAUCUAUUCGAUGUAAUCUUCUUUUGCGGUGUGUUUGUUGAGGCCGAUGAAUUGUGGGUUUAUGAUCAAGUUUAUCUAUGAACAAUAUUUGAAUCUUAUCUGAAUUCUUUCAUGUAUGAUUGGUUAUCUUUGCAAGUCUCUUCGAAUUAUCAGUUUGGUUUGGCCUACUAGAUUGAUCUUUCUUGCAAUGGGAGAAGUGCUUAGCUUCGGGUUCAAUCUUGCGGUGUCCUUUCCCAGUGACAGUAGGGGCAGCAAGGCACGUAUUGUAUUGUUGCCAUCGAGGAUAACAAGAUGGGUUUUAUAUCAUAUUGCAUGAGUUUAUCCCUCUACAUCAUGUCAUCUUGCUUAAAGCGUUACUCUGUUCUCUUGAAUUUAAUACUCUAGAUGCAUGCUGGAUAGCGGUCGAUGUGUGGAGUAAUAGUAGUAGAUGCAGGCAGGAGUCGGUCUACUUGUCUCGGAUGUGAUGCCUAUAUACAUGAUCAUACCUAUAUAUUCUCAUAACUAUGCUCAAUUCUGUCAAUUGCUCAACAGUAAUUUGUUUAUCCACCGUGAAUACUUAUGCUCUUGAGAGAAGCCACUUGUGAGACCUAUGGCCCCCGGGUCUAUUUUCCAUCAUAUUAAUCUUCCAACACUUAGUUAUAUUUAUUUCCUUUUAUUUUACUUUGCAUCUUUUAUUUCUCUUUAUCAUAAAAUACCAAAAAUAUUAUCUUAUCAUAUCUAUCAGAUCUCACUCUCGUAAGUGACCGUGUAGGGAUUGAAAACCCUUUAUCGCGUUGGUUGCGAGGAUUUAUUUGUUUGUGUAGGUGCGACGGACUCGUGUGUGGCCUGCUACUGGAUUGAUACCUUGGUUCUCAAAAACUGAGGGAAAUAGUUACGCUACUUUGCUGCAUCACUCUUUCCUCUUCAAGGGAAAACCAACGCAAGUGCUCAAGAGGUAGCAGCCAGUCGUCGGCUUCUGCCCCCACGUAGGAAGUACGGGGGUGUUCGGGAUAAACCACGUAAGGCAGCAAAACAUGGGAGUCGGGCAAACCCAACAUUUGACCCAAGACAUGAUUCGGAGCUGAUGCAUGUAAUGCUAUAAGUUCGGGGUGCCGAACUUCCAUGAAGGCGUUCGAACUUUAUUGCCGUAUUAUGGCUAAAACGAAGCCCUUGGCCUAUUUAAAGCAUAUCACGGUGUACGGAUGCCACUUGACAAAAGAAUUUCAAUAAGAAAUAACAACAGAUAAGCGUUAUAUAAACCCACAUGUUGUAUUUGAAUAGUAAGUCGAUGUGUGUGAGUACGGGUAAUGUGAUAAAAAAAGAAAUAUGACUGUGGAACCUGCUGAGACCAGGGGGAAGAAGGUGUGUGCGGAUCCGGAGUAUAGUCGGAUGGUCAUCGCGGGGAAUAUCUAAGGAUUCCCUUGCGCGUUCGAGCUGCUUCCAUAUCGCCAGUCCUGGUCUGCGCAAAGUUGAACCUACAAACAAAAUGUAAGAAAUGCUUGUGUGCCGCAGAGCGGUUGAGCCGCGGUAUGUGGCCUGUCGUGGCUUUCGCCGGAGUGUUUAAUUGAGCUCUGGACGAGCCGGGCUAUCUUGCCGCGAAGUAGUUCGAAGUCCUUUGGCGGUGUCCGGGAAUCGGGUCGUCGAGUCGAGGUUCGGUUGGGAGGUGCCACUUGUAGCUUCUGUUGUUAAAGCAGCAGUAUACUCUUUGGUGUCGUGGGGAAGUUCGGCCUUGCCAUUAACCGUGAUGACGCCUAAUGUCUACUACACAACCUUCUUCUUGUAGACGUUGUUGGGCCUCCAAGUGCAGAGGUUUGUAGGACAGUAGCGAAUUUCCCUCAAAUGGAUUACCUAAGGUUUAUCAAUCCGUAGGAGGCGUAGGAUGAAGAUGGUCUCUCUCAAGCAACCCUGCAACCAAAUAACAAAGAGUCUCUUGUGUCCCCAACACACCCAAUACAAUGGUAAAUUGUAUAGGUGCACUAGUUCGGCGAAGAGAUGGUGAUACAAGUGGUAUAUGGAUGGUAGAUAAAGGUUUUUGUAAUAUGAAAAUAUAAAAACAGCAAGGUAACUAAUGAUAGAAGUGAGUGUAAAUGGUAUUGCAAUGCUAGGAAACAAGGCCUAGGGUUCAUACUUUCACUAGUGCAAGCUCCCUCAACAAUAAUAACAUAAUUGGAUCACAUAAUUAUCCCUCAACAUGCAACAAAGAGUCACUCCAAAGUCACUAAUAGCGGAGAACGAACGAAGAGAUUAUGGUAGGGUACGAAACCACCUCAAAGUUAUUCUUUCCAAUCAAUCCGUUGGGCUAUUCCUAUAAGUGUCACAAACAGCCCUAGAGUUCGUACUAGAAAAACACCUUCAGACACAAAUCAACCAAAACCCUAAUGUCACCUAGAUACUCCAAUGUCACCUCAAGUAUCCGUGGGUAUGAUUAUAUGAUAUGCAUCACACAAUCUUAGAUUCAUCUAUUCAACCAACACAUAGAACCUCAAAGAGUGCCCUAAAGUUUCUACCGGAGAAUCAUGACGAAAACGUGUGCCAACCCCUAUGCAUAGGUUCAUGGGCGGAACCCGCAAGUUGAUCACCAAAACAUACAUCAAGUGAAUCACGUGGUAUCCCAUUGUCACCACAGAUACGCACGACAAGACAUACAUCAAGUGUUCUCAAAUCUUUAAAGACUCAAUCCGAUAAGAUAACUUCAUAGGGAAAACUCAAUCCAUUACAAGAGAUUAGGGGGGCAGAAAACAUCAUAAGAUGCAACUAUAAUAGCAAAGCUCGCUGAGGGAGUCCUGGAUUAGGGAUUCUCCGGAUAGCCGGACUAUAUCCUUUGGCCGGACUGUUGGACUAUGAAGAUACAAGAUUGAAGACUUCGUCCCGUGUCCGGAUGGGACUCUACUUGGCGUGGAAGGCAAGCUAGGCAAUAUGGAUAUGUAUAUAUCCUCCUUUGUAACCGACCUUGUGUAACCCUAGCCCCCUCCGGUGUCUAUGUAAACCGUAGGGUUUUAGUCCGUAGGACAACAUACAAUCAUACCAUAGGCUAGCUUCUAGGGCUUAGCCUCUUUGAUCUCGUGGUAGAUCAACUCUUGUAAUACUCAUAUCAUCAAGAACAAUCAAGCAGGACGUAGGGUAUUACCUCCAUCAAGAGGGCCCGAACCUGGGUAAACAUCGUGUCCCUGCCUCCUGUUACCAUCCGCCUUAGACGCAUAGUUCGGGACCCCCUACCGGAGAUCCGCCGGUUUUGAAACUGACAUUGGUGCUUUCAUUGAGAAUUCCACUGUGCCGUCACCAUAAGGCUUGAUGGCUCCUUCAAUCAUCGCUAGCGAUGCGGUCCAGGGUGAGGCUUUCCUCCCCAGACAGAUCUCCAUAUUCGGCGGCUUUGCACUGCGGGCCAAUUCGUUUGGCCGUCUAGAGCAGAUCGAGAGCUACGCCCCUAGCCAUCAGGUCAAAUUUGGAAACUUGAGCUACACGCCGACAUCCGCGGAGACUUGAUCUUCGGCGGAUUCGAGCCCAGGUCGGACGCGCCGCACAGUCGCGAUGAGCAUGACGUAACUCUGUCAUCGGACAAUGUUCGGGAGAUCGCAUCCGCAACUACUCCGUCCAUCAAUCCGGAGCAAGUCGCACCAUCCGAGAGCGGAGGGAUGGACCCCGCCAUGGAGGCCGCACUGUCAGUGGCGAUAGAGCCGGAUACUGACUUCACCCCUUACGAGAGCCGUGUCGCCGAACCACUGGAUUCAUCUCCGGCCACGGACUCCGAGCCGCUCACAUCCAUGCCCGUCUAUUCCGACUGGGCACCGAUCAUGGAGUUCACCUCCGCGGAUAUCUUUCAGCACUCACCUUUAGGAGAUGGGCUAAAUUCAUUAAGGUCUCUCUCCCUAUCAGGAGAACCUUGGCCGAACUAUGUCCGGCUAGAAUGGGAUGCGGACGACGAAGAAAUUCGCUGCCCACCCACCACCCACUGAGUAGCCACGGUCGACGACUUAACCGACAUGCUCGACUUCGACUCCGAAGACUUCGACGGUAUGGACGACGAAGCUGGAGACGAAUAGGAACCACCGCCCUCAGGGCGCUGGACCGCCACCUCAUCAUAUGAUAUAUACAUGGUGGACACCCCCAAAGAAGGCAAUGGCGAUGAGACAACGGAGGAUGACCCCUCCAUGAAGCAACCCAAGCGCCGACGUCAGCGGCACCGCUCUAAGUCCUGCCACAACAAGAGUAGUGGUACCGGCACAGGAGAUAAUAACACUCUGGAUAGCACCGAAGACAACAAUUCCCUCCAGCACGGUGUAGAGCUAGAGGACGAACAAGCUAGCCCUCCAGAGCAGGCAGCAGAUGCAGAACCGGAGGAGGACAAUUACAUGCCUCUCUCCGAAGACGAGGCGAGCCUCGGCGACGACGAGUUUAUCGUGCCUGAGGACCCCGUCGAGCAAGAGCGCUUCAAGCGUUGGCUUAUGGCCACGGCAAGUAGCCUGAAGAAAAAACAGCAACAACUUCAAGCUGAUCAAGACUUGCUAGCAGACAGGUGGACCGAAGUCCUUGCGGCCAAGGAGCAUCAACUCGAGCACCCGUCCAAAAGUUACCCAAAACGCAGGUUGCUACCUCACCUCGAGGACGAAGCAUUGAAACCUCAUUCACCAGUGUACGAUGUGGUUGACCGACCACUACGCGGCCGAGCCACAGAGGCUUUUCAGCCUAAAGUUCAGACCGCACCCCGUCGCCACUCAGUCAAACAUACUAAGGCCCGGGGCAACACAGAGGACCCGCGAGACAUCUUGGACAGUAAGGAAAAAAUCGCAAGGUCAAUAUACGGAACACGGGCACGUGCGCCCACACGGGACGAUGAUCGUUGCGUCGGAUACACCAAGAGUAAAUCCGGCCGGGCCGAAUACAACAGACAAGACUCAUACGAACUAUGUUGGGAUAUAGCCCGGCACAGAGGUGCCGCACACCCCCUAUGCUUCACUGAUUAAGUUAUGAAUCAUGAAUUCCCGGAGGGUUUCAAACCCAUAAAUAUCGAAUCGUACGACGGCACAACAGAUCCCGCUGUAUGGAUUGAGGAUUUCCUCCUUCACAUCCACAUGGCUCCGGUGAUGAUCUGCAUGCCAUCAAGUACUUCCUACUAAAACUCAAAGGACCAGCUCGGCAUUGGCUGAAUAGCUUGCCAGCAGAUUCCAUCGGCAGUUGGGAGGAUCUGGAAGACGCAUUUCUUGACAACUUCCAGGGCACUUAUGUGUGGCCACCGGAUGCUGAUGACUUGAGCCACAUAACCUAGCAGCCAGGGGAAUCGGCCAGACAAUUCUGGACACGGUUACUGACUAAGAAAAAUCAAUUUGUAGAUUGUCCGGAUGUAGAGACCCUAGCGGCAUUCAAGCAUAACAUCCGCGAUGAGUGGCUCACCCGCCACCUUGGCCAAGAGAAGCCGAAAUCUAUGACAGCCCUCACGACACUGAUGACUCGCUUUUGCGCGGGCGAGGACAACUGGUUGGCUAGCAGCAAAAACACAUCGAGGAAUCCGGAUACCUCAGAUACCAAAGAUGUUAACGGUAGGCAGCGUUGUAACAGACCAAAGCGCCGCAAUAACGGCGAUAACACCAAAGAUACGACAGUCAAUGCCGGAUUCAGAGGCUCUAGAUCCGGUCAGCAGAAAAAGCCAUUUAAAAGAAAUACUCCGGCUCGGUCCAGUCUGGAUCACAUACUGGAUCGCUCGUGUCAAAUCCACGGCACCCCGACAAGCCAGCCAAUCUCACCAACAGAGAAUGCUGGGUGUUCAAGCAGGCCUGUAAGUUAAAUGCCGAGAGCAAGGACAAGGGGCUGCAUAGCGAUGACGAGGAGGAGCCCCGGCCGCCGAACACAGGAGGACAGAAGGGUUUUCCCCCACAAGUGAAGACGGUGAACAUGAUAUACGCAACCCACAUCCCCAAGAGGGAGAGGAAGCAUGCACUAAGGGACGUCUAUGCGAUGGAGCUCGUCGCCCUGAAGUUCAACCCAUGGUCUGCUUGUCCGCUCACCUUCGAUCACAGGGACCACCCGACUAGCAUCCAUCAUGGCGAAUCUGCCGCACUGGUCCUAGACCCCAUCAUUGAUGGAUUUCACCUCACUCGAGUCCUUAUGGAUGGCGGCAACAUGCUGAAUCUGCUUUAUCAGGAUACAGUGCGAAAAAUGGGUAUCGAUCCCUCGAGGAUCAAACCCAGCAAAACCACCUUUAAAGGCGUCAUCCCAGGUGUAGAGGCCCAUUGCACAGGCUCAAUCACACUGGAAGUGGUCUUUGGAUCACCGGAUAACUUCCGAAGCGAAGAGUUAAUCUUCGACAUCGUCCCGCUUCGCAGUGGCUAUCAUGCACUGCUCGGACGGACAACAUUUGCAAAUUCAAUGAAGUGCCGCAUUACGCGUACCUCAAGCUCAAGAUGCCAAGACCUCGCGGGGUCAUAACAGUAAAUGGAAACACAGAACGCUCGCUUCGUACAGAAGAGCACACUGCGGCCCUUACAGUAGAGGCACAAAGCAGCCUGUUCAGGCAGACCACUCAUUCGGCGUCACAACCCCCGGACACCUUCAAACGAGUCCGGAACAAGUUGCAACAGGAUCGCCUAGCACGAUCAGAGAUCGCCUAGCAAUCUGGUCCCCAUCCCAGUCCCAGUGAAGCGACAAAAUCCGUGUGGCGCGUACAUAACUACGCAUUGAAAAUACCAUGGACAUAGGCGGGGGCAGAAUCAGAAUACGCCCCGCAUUGUGGCUUAACCACACUAGGGGUUGUAUACCUUUGACAUUCCGCUGACUCUUUGGAAGCCCUUUCCGGCAGUAUGAUUGCCGGACACAUUCCAGAAGCAACAACCAAGGCGGCAAGAAGCUAAGAUGAACACGGGAACCGCCAGGUGGUCUCUAGUAAUACUUGAUAUACCCGCUUUUCACUAUUUAUGCGUAGCUUUCCCUGGGAUAGGACAUUUCGAAUUGUCCUACUUCAUGCUUAUUGCACUACUUGUACCAGUAUGCUUCGACGUAUUAUUCAAAUAACAAUGCAUAUCAUUAAUCUGUCAUUGCAUUCUUUCAGUUUUUCUCUUUCUCUUAUAUGUCCAUUUACGACAAUCCGCACCCGCAUGUUCGGGUAUGGUCAGUACGCCAGGGGCUCUCGUUUACCCCACAAUACGAUGCAAGAAGUCUGAACACUUUCUACAGUGCGGCACCCCGAACUUCUAGCAUUAUAUGCAUCAGCUCCGAAUCAUGUCUUUGGUCAAAUGUUGGGUCGCCCGGCUCCUAUGCUUUGGUACCUUACGUUCUGCUAUAUCGGCUAAGGUAGCGGUGGGAGAACUACUGCGAUUGUGUCCCGGUUCUUCUGGACGAGCACCUCUGUACAGAAAGCCAAAAACUGACUGUCAUGAUAAGGCGAGAGACUGGUCGCUGUUCGAGAGGUCUCAAGUCCUUAAAGACUUUUUCCGCUUCGGGCGAGGAGUCGGCCUUGUCCGGCUUAGGCAUGUAUAGCGCCCCAAAUUCGGCCCUCCGAAUACCAGGGGCUUCGCCAAAAUUUAAAAUCAUAGACUUCUAUGGCUAAGUGAGAGUGAUAAAGCAUUAUAGUCCGAUUGCCUGGUUCGUUGCGCUGAACACCUCCCUUGAAGGACCCAAAAUUUGGGUAAAGAGUGUUCAGAUUUACCCCGAACACCCCAGUACUAGUUACAUGGGGGUAGAAGCCGAUGACUGGCCAACUCUCAGAUUUUAUAAACAGCCGCAUAGAAGGUAAUAUUUUAAAUUAAGAAAGCGUCGCAUGGCGCAAAAAAACUCGUUUCAUAUUACAGGAUCACAUGGGCAUGUUCAUUCAAAAAUUACAUCCUUGGCACACUCAUCUGCCACUCAGCAGGAACCCUUCAGGACACUUUCAUAGUAAUUCUCGGGGCGGCGAUGCUCCUUGCCCUCCGGCGGCCCCUCCUUCACCAGCUUCACGGCGUCCAGCUUCGCCUAGUGCACCUUCGCCCGGGCAAAAGCCCUGCGUGCACCCUCGAUGCAGACGGACCGCUUGAUGACUUCAAGCCAUGGGCAGGCUUCCACAAACUGCCUCACCAGACUGAAGUAGCUGCCGGACAGGGGCUCGCCAGGCCACAUCCGGACUAUAAGGCCCCUCAUGGCCUGUUCGGCCACCUUGUGAAGCUCGACAACUGCUUCAGCUGGUCCCUCAAGGGCACAGGGUGUUCGGUCCCAGUAUACUGAGACCAGAACAACUUCUCCAUUGAGCUCCCCUCCGCAACCCGGUAAAACUCCACGGCAUCCAGUGCACUACGAGGAAGAUCUGCAAACGCUCCUGGAGAGCUCCGAACUCGGGUAAGAAAAAGGAAAGUCUCCUUCACGUGCUUGCUUUGCAUAAAGAAUGCCUUACCCUCUGCUAUCUUCUUCACCGCGUCAAUCUCUUGGAGGGCCUUGUGGGCUUCGGCCUUGGAGCUCCGGACGCUUUCAAGCGCCUGCGCGAGCUCGGACUCACGCGUCUUGGAGUCAAGCUCCAAGGACUCGUGCUUUUUAACGAGAGCCUCGAGCUCUUGAUGCACCUCGCCUUCUCGGGCUUCUUGUAUCUCCCAUUCCAUGCGUUCUUUGGACGCUUUGUCUUCGGCCUCGGACAAUGCCAUCCUCAGGGUCUCCACCUCGUUCGUGGCCCAUGACAAAUUCAUGAUGAUCCUAUUACUUUACACCCGAACUUCCUUUUAACUAUAUAGACAGGGGUAUAUCUUACCUUUGCUCUCUUCAAGCUGCCACUUGGUAAGGCCGAGCUCAUCCUCGGACCGCUUCAGGGCCUGCUUCAGCGCAGAGACCUCCGCAGUACAUGCGGCAGCGACCAACAGUGAAGCCUGCACAUACACAUAGACAUACUCUAAUUAGACUCCUGAGUUAUCAUUUGAUCCUCUAUUCGGCUUUUCAUCGCGAACACCGAACAGAGCAUCAGGGGCUACUAUCUAUGCGGUAAUAUUUUCUUAUAUUUUGAUUGCUUACCUCAAAGCCUGUUAGGAGGCUGGCGCAAGCUUUGGUCAGUCUGUUUUUGGCGGACCGAACCUUCUCAACCACUGCACUCAUAAUAGUGCAGUGCUCUUCAUCAAUGGAAGCGUUGUGAAGCGCUUCCAGCAAGUUGUCCGGUGCCUCUGGUUGUACAAAGGACACCGACACAGAUGGUUGGCCCCCCUUAAUGGGGGACUGCCUGCCAGAGUCUAGAACCAUCGAAGGUUCUGGCGCAGUGUCCGGCUGGGGCCCGAACUCGAAGCCCGUAGGAGCCUCGCUCCCUUGGUACCCAGGGUCCGGGAGGUCGCCGUGAGGCGCCCCCAAGAUCACCUCCCCUUGGCUCGGUGCCUUUUGAGACAACACCUCGGCGUUGUCCGUAGGGCGAGGGGUGGAAGCGGUCGGAGGAGAACCGUUGUUCAUAUCCGACGAGUCCAAAGAGCCGCUCGACGAAGGUACGUCGAGAUGAGCUCAGGACGGACUGCAUAAUCAUGUUCGGCAUGAGAAAAGCCAAUACAAUAAAACAUUCCAUGAAGUACUAUGGUGUCCGGACACUUACGACUUCGCCGGGGGCUUGUCCCUGGGUAGCCACUCGUCGCCAUUGUCGGCGGCCGUCGUGGCACAUUCCGGAGGGAGGUUCUUUCCCUUCUUGGACCCGUCGGCCUCCCUGGAUGGGUCGGCCUUCCUUUUCUUGUCUCUCCCGGCUGGGGGGGAGAACUUUUCUCCUCCUAUUCAUUUCCGUGGGAGGAGUGCGCGUUGGAGUCAUCGGACGAUGAGUCCGAUAUAACCUUGCGCCGGAGACCCUUUCGGGUCCCCGUGGCCUUCUUCUUGGCCUUCUUUUCCGGCACCUCGUAAGGUGCCGGAGUCAGCAUCUUCGUUAGAAGAGCAUCUGCAGGAUCUUCGGGCAGGGGGGCUGGGCAAUCAAGCUGCUCUGCUGUCUCUAUCCAGUCCUGUUAAUGACAUGAAAUCUUAGAUCCAGCACACAACUAAACCAGGGCAAAUAAAUACCCUGAGAGAUAUAAAAGCCUACCAGACGGGCGCGGCGCUUUGCACUAAGUCCGCGGUCCUCGGUGAAGGAGGGAAGCAUCUCGGCGCUCUUGAACAACACCCUCCAGACGUCCUCGUGCAUCGUGUCGUAGAGCUCUCACAGCAUCUGGUGCUUGGCCGAGUCGAACUCCCACAAAAAAGUGCCCGUCGUUGACACGGAAGGAUCCGGCGGAAGAGCAUAACCUGGACCACGUUGACGAGCUUGAUUUUCUUGUUUGUCAUGUUCUGGAUGCAGGUCUGGAGUUCGGUCAGCUGUACCGAAGAACCCCAGGAUUGGCCCUUCUUUUUCCAGGAGGUGAGCCGUGUGGGGAUUCCGGAUCGAAAUUUGGGGGCCGCCACCCAGUUGGAGUCGCGCGGCUCGGUGAUGUAGAACCACCCCGAUUGCCACCCCUUUAUGGUGUCCACAUAGGUGCCCUCGAGCCAGGUGACAUUAGGCAUCUUGCCCACCAUGGCGCCUCCGCACUCUGCUUGCUGGCCACCCACCACCUUCGGUUUGACAUUGAAGGUUUUCAGCCAUAGGCCGAAGUGGGGCCUGAUGCGGAGGAAGGUCUCACACACGACGAUAAACACCGAGAUGUUGAGGAUGAAAUUGGGGGCCAGAUCAUGAAAAUCCAGCCCAUAGUAGAACAUGAGCCCGCAGACAAAUGGGUGGAGAGGAAAUCCCAGUCCGCGAAUGAAAUGGGUAGGAAAAACUACCCUCUCAUGGGGUUUGGGCGUGGGGACGAUCUGGCCCGCAUUUGGCAGCCGGUGCGCGAUAUCCGCGGCCAAGUAUCCGGCUUCCCGUAACUUUUUGAUGUUCUCCUCCGUGACGGAGGAGACCAUCCACUUGCCUCGUGCUCCGGACAUGCUUGGAGCGGUUUGAGAAGAAGAACGCGAGCUUGGGUGCUAGAUCUCGAGUGUGCGGGAAUGGGUAAGCGAGAAGGAAGAAGGCGUGUGUGAAAAAAGUAAAUCUUUGUCCCUUUAUAAGGGCGGAGGAGGCGAUGUGUCUCCCACUUGCCUGGCAAAACUGCUUAUUCCCCAGGUGCCAUAAUUGAUGGCGUGGUUGGGUUACCCACGUCCGUAUUGAUGAGAAUCCCGUGAUAAAGGGAACAUGAUCUCUGCUUUGACAAGACGUGUCAAGAAAAUCGCAUCAUGAUAUGUGCGGAGCUGGUUAAGAAAAGCAGUUCGAAUAAAAACCGGGUCGUGACGUGAUGUCAUGCUAUCAAAACAUGUCAGCAGAUUAGAUUUGUGGAAAUAUUAUUCUCUCUACGGUGGUAUGUGGAACUUAUUUUGCAGGGCCGGACACUAUCCUUGUAUUCAAACUCUUCCAUGGUGUAUUCGGAGGAGGAACCCACCUUGCAAUGCCGAAGACAACACUGCGCGCCGGACUCAUCGUCAUUGAAGCCUGGUUCAGGGGCUACUGAGGGAGUCCUGGAUUAGGGGGUCUACGGACAGCCGGACUAUAUCCUUUGGCCGAACUGUUGGACUAUGAAGAUACAAGAUUGAAGACUUCGUCCCAUGUCCGGAUGGGACUCUACUUGGCGUGGAAGGCAAGCUAGGCAAUACGGAUAUGUAUAUCUCCUCCUUUGUAACAGACCUUGUGUAACCCUAGCCUCCUCCGGUGUCUAUAUAAACUGGAGGGUUUUAGUCCGUAGGACAACAUACAAUCAUACCAUAGGCUAGCUUCUAGGGUUUAGCCUCUUUGAUCUCGUGGUAGAUCAACUCUUGUAAUACUCAUAUCAUCAAGAACAAUCAAGCAGGACGUAGGGUAUUACCUCCAUCAAGAGGGACCAAACCUGGGUAAACAUCGUGUCCCCUGCCUCCUGUUACCAUCCGCCUUAGACGCACAGUUCGGGACCCCCUACCCGAGAUCCUCCGGUUUUGACACCGACACUCGCGAUACAUCAAGAUCGUACCACCUCAAGAACACGAGAGAGAGAGAGAUCAAACACAUAGCUACUGGUACAUACCCUCAGCCUCGAGGGAGAACUACUCCCUCCUCGUCAUGGAGAGCACCGGGAUGAUGAAGAUGACCACCAGAGAGGGAUUCCCCCUCUGGCAGGGUGCCGGAACAGGUCUAGAUUGGCUUUCGGUGGCUACAGAGGCUUCUGGCGGCGGAACUCCCGAUCUAUUGUGCUCCCCGGUCGUUUUAGGGUAUAUGGGUAUAUAUAGGAGGAAGAAGUACGUCAGGGGAGCCACGAGGGUGGAGGGCGCCCCCAGGGGGUGGGCGCACCCCCUACCUUGUGGCUUCCUCGAAGCUUCCUUGAUGUGGACUCCAAGUCUCCCGGGUUGCUUUCCUUCCAAAAAUAAGUUCCGUGAAGUUUCAGGUCAAUUCGACUCCAUUUGAUUUUCCUUUUCUGCGAUACUCUAAAACAAAGAAAAAAAUAGAAAUUGGCACUGGGCUCUGGGUUAAUAGGUUAGUCCCAAAAAAUCAUAUAAAAUGGCAUAUAAAUGCAUAUAAAACAUCCAAGGUUGAUAAUAUAAUAGCAUGGAACAAUCAAAAAUUAUAGAUACGUUGGAGACGUAUCAGCAUCCCCAAGCUUAAUUCCUGCUCGUCCUCGGGUAGGUAAAUGAUAAAAACAGAAUUUUUGAUGUGGAAUGCUACCUAACAUAUUCAUCAUGUAUUUCUCUUUAUUGUAGCAAGAAUAUUCAGAUCCAUAAGAUUCAAGACAAAAGUUUAUAUUGACAUAAAAAUAAUAAUACUUCAAGCAUACUAACUAAGCAAUCAUGUCUUCUCAAAAUAACAUGGCCAAAGAAAGUUCAUCCCUACGAAAUCAUAUAGUUUGGUCAUGCUCCAUUUUCGUCACACAAGAAUGCUCUCAUCAUGCACAACCCGGAUGACAAGCCAAGUAAUUGUUUCAUAUUUUAGUAAUCUCAAACUUUAUAAACCUUCAUGCAAUACAUGAGCGCGAGCCAUGGAUAUAGCACUAUGGGUGGAAUAGAAUAUGAUGAUGGGGAUUAUGUGGAGAAGACAAAAAAGGAGAAAGUCUCACAUCAACGAGGCUAAUCAAUGGGCUAUGGAGAUGCCCAUCGAUUGAUGUUAAUGCAAGGAGUAGGGAUUGCCAUGCAACGGAUGCACUAGAGCUAUAAAUGUAUGAAAGCUCAACAAAAGAAACUAAGUGGGUGUGCAUCCAACUUGCUUGCUCACGAAGACCUAGGGCACUUGAGGAGGCCCAUUGUUGGAAUAUACAAGCCAAGUUCUAUAAUGAAAAUUUCCCACUAGUAUAUGAAAGUGACAAAACAAGAUACUCUCUAUCAUCAAGAUCAUGGUGCUACUUUGAAGCACAAGUGUGGAAAAAAGGAUAGUAGCAUUGUCCCUUUUAUUUUUUUAUUUUUUAUUAUUUGGCCUUUUUUAUUUUUUAAUAUUUGGCCUUUCUUUUUUCCCCUAUUUUUGGGACAAUGCUCUAUUAAUGAUGAUCAUCACACUUCUAUUUAUUUACAACUCGAUACUAGAACAAAGUAUGACUAAAUAUGAAUGCCUCCGGUGGUUGAUAUGUCUCCAACGUAUCUAUAAUUUUUGAUUGCUCCAUGCUAUAUUAUCUACUGUUUUGGACAUCACUGGGCUUUAUUAUCCACUUUUAUAUUAUUUUUGGGACUAACCUACUAACCGGAGGCCCAACCCAGAAUUGCUGUUUUUUUGCCUAUUUUAGGGUUUCGAAGAAAAGGAAUAUCAAACGGAGUCCAAACGGAAUGAAAGCUUCGGGAACAUGAUUUUCUCAACGAACAAGACCCAGGAGACUUGGACCCUACGUCAAGACACAAAAGAGGAGGCCACGAGGUAGGGGGCGCGCCUACGCCCCCCCCCCCCAGGCGCGCCCUCCACCCUCGUGGGCCCCCUGUUGCUCCACCGAUGUACUCCUUCCUCCUAUAUAUACCAACGUACCCCCAAAUGAUCAGAUACGGAGCCAAAACCCUAAUUCCACCACCGUAACUUUCUGUAUCCACGAGAUCACAUCUUGGGGCCUGUUCCGGAGCUCCACCGGAGGGGGCAUCGAUCACGGAGGGCUUGUACAUCAUCACCAUAGCCCCUCCGAUAAAGUGGAAGUAGUUCACCUCAGACCUACGGGUCCAUAGUUAUUAGCUAGAUGGCUUCUUCUCUUUUUUUUUGGAUCUCAAUACAAUGUUCUCCCCCUCUCUUGUGGAGAACUAUUCGAUGUAAUCUUCUUUUUGUGGUGUGUUUGUUGAGAUUGAUGAUUGUGGGUUUAUGAUCAAGUCUAUCUAUGAACAAUAUUUGAAUCUUCUCUGAAUUCUUUUAUGUAUGAUUGGUUAUCUUUGCAAGUCUCUUUGAAUUAUCAGUUUGGUUUGGCCUACUAGAUUGAUCUUUCUUGCAAUGGGAGAAGUGCUUAGCUUUGGGUUCAAUCUUGCGGUGUCCUUUCCCAGUGACAGUAGGGGCAGCAAGGCACGUAUUGUAUUGUUUCCAUCGAGGAUAACAAGAUGGGGUUUUCAUCAUAUUGCAUGAUUUUAUCCCUCUACAUCAUGUCAUCUUGCUUAAGGCGUUACUCUGUUUUCAUUAACUUAAUACUCUAGAUGCAUGUUGGAUAGCGGUCGAUGAGUGGAGUAAUAGUAGUAGAUGCAGGCAGGAGUCGGUCUACCUGUCUCGGACGUGAUGCCUAUACACAUGAUUGUGCCUAGAUAUUCUCAUAACUAUGCUCAAUUCUGUCAAUUGCUCAAUAGUAAUUUGUUCACCCACCGUAGAAUACUUAUGCUCUUGAGAGAAGCCACUAGUGAAACCUAUGGCCCCCGGGUCUAUCAUCAUCAUAUUAAUCUUCCAACACUUAGUUAUUUACUUUGCCUUUUUACUUUUCUUUUAUUUUACUUUGCAUCUUUAUCAUAAAAAUACCAAAAAUAUUAUCUUAUCAUAUCUAUCAGAUCUCACUCUCGUAAGUGGCCGUGUAGCGAUUGACAACCCCUUAUCGCGUUGGUUACGAGGAUUUAUUUGUUUUGUGCAGGUACAAGGGACUCGCGCGUAGCCUCCUACUGGAUUGAUACCUUGGUUCUCAAAAACUAAGGCAAAUACUUACGCUACUCUGCUGCAUCACCCUUCCUCUUCGGGGAAAAACCAACGCAGUGCUCAAGAGGUAUCAAGAAGGAUUUCUGGCGUCGUUGCCGGGGAGUCUACGCAAAAGUCAAUAUACCAAGUACCCAUCACAAUCCCUAUCUCCCGCAUUACAUUAUUUGCCAUUUGCCUCUCGUUUUCCUCUCCCCCACUUCACCCUUUCCAUUUUAUUCGCCUCUCUCUCUAUCCUACCUCUCUUUUUCCGUUCACUUUUUUUCCGCUUGCUUUUUGUUUGCUUGUGUGUUGGGUUGCUUGCUUGUCGCGAUGGCUCAAGAUAACACUAAAUUGUGUGACUUUACCAAUACCAACAACAAUGAUUUUAUUAGCACUCCGAUAUUUCAUCUUACCGAUGCUGAAUCUUGUGAAAUUAAUACUGCUUUGCUAAAUCUUGUCAUGAAAAAUCCGUUUUCCGGCCUUCCUAGUGAAGAUGCCGCUACCAAUCUAAACAGCUUCGUUGAUUUGUGUGAUAUGCAAAAGAAGAAAGAUGUGGAUAACGAUAUUGUUAAAUUGAAGCUAUUUCCUUUUUCGCUUAGAGAUCGUGCUAAAGCUUGGAUUUCGUCUUUGCCUAAGAAUAGUAUUGAUUCAUGGAAUAAGUGCAAAGAUGCUUUUAUCUCUAAGUAUUUUCCUCCCGCUAAGAUCAUCUCCCUUAGAAACGAUAUUAUGAAUUUUAAGCAACUUGAUCAUGAAUAUAUUUCACAAGCUUGGGAGAGGAUGAAAUUAAUGACACAUAAUUGCCCUACUCAUGGUUUGAAUUUGUGGAUGAUUAUACAAAAAUUUUAUGCCAGAUUGAAUUUUGCUUCUAGAAAUCUUUUAGAUUCGGCCGCGGCAGGGACUUUUAUGGAAAUCACUUUAGGAGAAGCUACUAAACUCCUAGACAAUAUUAUGGUUAACUAUUCUCAAUGGCAUACUGAAAGAUCUACUAAUAAAAAGGUGCAUGCAAUAGACGAAAUUAAUGUUUUGAGUGGAAAGAUGGAUGAACUUAUGAAAUUAUUUGCUAGUAAAAGUGUUUCUUCUGAUCCUAAUGAUAUGCCCUUGUCUACUUGAUUGAGAAUAAUAAUGAAUCUAUGGAUGUGAAUUUUGUUGGUAGGAACAAUUUUGGUAACAACGCGUAUAGAGGAAAUUUUAAUCCUAGGCCUUAUCCUAGUAACCCCUCCAAUAAUUAUGGUAAUUCCUACAACAAUUCUUAUGGAAAUUAUAAUAAGACGCCCUCUGAUUUUGAAUCUAAUAUUAAAGAAUUUAUUACUUCGCAAAAGAAUUUCAAUGCUUUGAUUGAAGAAAAAUUGCUUAAGAUUGAUGAGUUGGCUAUGAACGUUGAUAGAAUUUCUCUUGAUGUUGAUUCUUUGAAACUUAGAUCUAUUCCACCAAAGCAUGAUAUCAAUGAGUCUCUCAAAGCCAUGAGAAUUUCCAUUGAUGAGUGCAAAGAAAGAACCGCUAGAAUGCGUGCUAAGAAAGAUGCCUUUAUAAGAGCGUGUUCUUCUAGUUCCGAUGAAAAUAAAGAUGAAGAUCUCAAAGUUAUUGAUGUGUCCCCUAUUAAAUCUUUGUUUUGCAAUAUGAAUCUUAAUAAUUAUGGGACUGAAUAUGAUCCACCAUUAUCUAGAAGGCGUUCCAAGAAUUCGGAGUCUUUAGAUCUUAAUGCUAAAAUUGAUGAAAGUGGGAUCGAAGAAAUCAAAACCCUAGAUGUUGCUAAACCCACUAUUUUUGAUUUCAAGGAAUUUAAUUAUGAAAAUUGCUCUUUAAUUGAAUGUAUUUCCUUGCUGCAAUCCGUGCUAAAUUCUCCUCAUGCUUAUAGUCAAAAUAAAGCAUUCACUAAACAUAUCGUUGAUGCCUUGAUGCAUUCUUAUGAAGAAAAACUUGAAUUGGAAGUUUCUAUCCCUAGAAAACUUUAUGAUGAGUGGGAACCAACUAUUAAAAUUAAAAUUAAAGAUCAUGAGUUCUAUGCUUUAUGUGAUUUUGGUGCUAGUGUUUCCACGAUUCCAAAGACUUUGUGUGAUUUGUUAGGUUUCCGUGAUUUUGAUGAUUGCCCUCUAAACUUGCACCUUGCGGAUUCCACUAUUAAGACACCCAUGGGAAGAAUUAAUGAUGUUCUUAUUGUUGCAAAUAGGAAUUAUGUGCCCAUAGAUUUUAUUGUUCUUGACAUAGAUUGCAAUCCUUCAUGUCCAAUUAUUCUUGGUAGACCUUUCCUUAGAACGAUUGGUGCAAUUAUUGAUAUGAAGGAAGGAAAUAUUAUAUUCCAAUUUCCGUUAAGGAAAGGCAUGGAACACUUUCCUAGAAAUAAAAUUAAAUUACCUUAUGAAUCUAUUAUGAGAGACACUUAUGGAUUGCCUACUGUCAGUGUCAAAACCGGCGGAUCUCGGGUAGGGGGUCCCGAACUGUGCGUCUAGGCGGAUGGUAACAGGAGGCAGGGGCCACGAUGUUUUACCCAGGUUCGGGCCCUCUUGAUGGAGGUAAAACCCUACGUCCUUCUUGAUUAAUAUUGAUGAUAUGGGUAGUACAAGAGUAAAUCUACCACGAGAUCAAGGAGGCUAAACCCUAGAAGCUAGCCUAUGGUAUGAUUGUUCUUCGUCCUACGGACUAAAACUGAAGGAAAUAUGCCCUAGAGGAAAUAAUAAAGUUAUUAUUUAUUUCGUUAUAUCAUGAUAAAUGUUUAUUAUUCAUGCUAGAAUUGUAUUAACCGGAAACAUAAUACAUGUGUGAAUACAUAGACAAACAUAGUGUCACUAGUAUGCCUCUACUUGACUAGCUCGUUAAUCAAAGAUGGUUAUGUUUCCUAACCAUGAACAAAGUGUUGUUAUUUGAUUAACGAGGUCACAUCAUUAGUUGAAUGAUCUGAUUGACAUGACCCAUUCCAUUAGCUUAGCACCCGAUCGUUUAGUAUGUUGCUAUUGCUUUCUUCAUGACAUAUACAUGUUCCUAUGACUAUGAGAUUAUGCAACUCCCGUUUGCCGGAGGAACACUUUGUGUGCUACCAAACGUCACAACGUAAAUGGGUGAUUAUAAAGGAGCUCUACAGGUGUCUCCAAUGGUAGAUGUUGGGUUGGCGUAUUUCGAGAUUAGGAUUUGUCACUCCGAUUGUCGGAGAGGUAUCUCUGGGCCCUCUCGGUAAUGCACAUCACUUAAGCCUUGCAAGCAUUGCAACUAAAUGAGUUAGUUGCGGGAUGGUGUAUUACGGAACGAGUAAAGAGACUUGCCGGCAACGAGAUUGAACUAGGUAUGGGAAUACCGAUGAUUGAAUCUCGGGCAAGUAACAUACCGAUGACAAAGGGAACAACGUAUGUUGUUAUGCGGUCUGACCGAUAAAGAUCUCCGUAGAAUAUGUAGGAGCCAAUAUGGGCAUCCAGGUCCCGCUGUUGGUUAUUGACCGGAGACGUGUCUCGGUCAUGUCUACAUUGUUCUCGAACCCGUAGGGUCCGCACGCUUAAGAUUACGAUGACAGUUAUAUUAUGAGUUUAUGCAUUUUGAUGUACCGAAGGUUGUUCGGAGUCCCGGAUGUGAUCACGGACAUGAUGAGGAGUCUCGAAAUGGUCGAGACGUAAAGAUUGAUAUAUUGGAAGUCUAUGUUUGGAUAUCGGAAGUGUUCCGGGUGAAAUCGGGAUUUUACCGGAGUACUGAGAGGUUACCGGAACCCCCUCGGGAGCUAUAUGGGCCUUUGUGGGCUUUAGUGGAAAGGAGAAAGGGGCAGCCCAAGGUGGCUGUGCGCCUCCUCCCUUCCCCUAGUCCUAUUAGGACUAGGAUAGGUGGCCGGCCCCCUCUCUCUCUUUCCCCCCUCAAGGAAUCCUAUUCCAACUAGGAUUGGGGGGGGGGGGGAAUCCUACUCCCAGAGGGAGUAGGACUCUCCUGGCACGCCAAGCUUGGCCGGCCAGCCUCCCCCCUCUAGUCCUUUAUAUACUGAGGUAGAGGCACCCUAGAACACACAAUUGAUCAACGUGAUCUAUUCCUUAGCCGUGUGCGGUGCUCCCAGCCACCAUAUUCCUCGAUUAUACUGUAGCGGAGUUUAGGCGAAGCCCUGCUGCUGUAGUGCAUCAAGAUCGUCACCACGCCGUUGUGCUGACGGAACUCUUCCCCGACACUUUGCUGGAUCGGAGUCCGGGGAUCGUCAUCGAGCUGAAUGUGUGCUCGAACUCGGAGGUGCCGUAGUUUCGGUGCUUGAUCGGUCGGAUCGGGAAGAUGUACGACUACUUCCUCUAUGUUGCGUCAAUGCUUCCGCAGUCGGUCUGCGUGGGUACGUAGACAACACUCUCCCCUCUCGUUGCUAUGCAUCACAUGAUCUUGCGUGAGCGUAGGAAUUUUUUUGAAAUUACUACGAAACCCAACAAAAACCCUNNNNNNNNNNNNNNNNNNNNNNNNNNNNNNNNNNNNNNNNNNNNNNNNNNNNNNNNNNNNNNNNNNNNNNNNNNNNNNNNNNNNNNNNNNNNNNNNNNNNNNNNNNNNNNNNNNNNNNNNNNNNNNNNNNNNNNNNNNNNNNNNNNNNNNNNNNNNNNNNNNNNNNNNNNNNNNNNNNNNNNNNNNNNNNNNNNNNNNNNNNNNNNNNNNNNNNNAGAGUCGGUUACAAUGGUAGAAGAUCUACAUAUCCGUAUCGCCAAGCUUGCCUUCCACGCCAAGGAAAGUCCCUUCUGGACACAGGAUGAAGUCUUCAACCUUGUAUCUUCAUAGUCUAGGAGUCUGGCCGAAGGUAUAGUCCGGCUAUCCGGACACCCCCUAAUCCAGGACUCCCUCAGUAGCCCCUGAACCAGGCUUCAAUGACGACGAGUCCGGCGCGCAGAUUGUCUUCGGCAUUGCAAGGCGGGUUCCUCCUCCAAGUACUUCAUAGAAUAUUUUGAACACAAAGGUAGUGUCCGGCUCUGCAAAAUAAGUUUCCACAUAUUGCCAUAGAGAGAAUAAUAUUUACACAAAUCUAAUCUACUGACGUAUUCCGUAGCGUGACAUCACACCACGGCCAAGUUUUUAUUCGAAUCUGUCCCACCUCAACGCGUUUAGUGAGGCGGUUUCCUUGGCACAUCUUGUCAAAGCAGAGAUUGUGUCCCCUUAUUCCGGGAUUCUCAUCAAUACGGGCGUGGGUAACCCAACCGUACCCGUCGGUAUGUUUCCUCGAUCAAAGGAGAGUCCCAAACGGUCACGGGAAGGGCCCUUGGUAUUCAACCUCUUAUAAAGAGACCAAGGCCUUACUCCUUUCUUUCAAUCUCAAAUGAGUUCGCCCUUCGCCUCUACUUCCAACACCCAAGGCUCUAGAUUUCAGGCGCUUCGGACCUUCGACAAUGUCCGGUUCCGACCUUCGAGGCCGAUGGAUGCCCUCCUCCGUCACGGAGGAGGACGUGCUGAAGUUGAGAGAGGCCAGGUUCUUGACCGGCGAAAUCUCGCAUAGGCUGCCUGCUCAAGGGCAGGUCAUUCCCACUCCCAAGCCUGGUGAGAGUGUGGUGUUCAUGUCUCACUUCCUUCGGGGGUUAGGCUUCCCGACGAUCCCUACGUGAGGGGGCUCAUGUUUUAUUAUGGGCUGGAAUUUCAUGACUUAGCUCCGGAGUCCAUCCUCCAUAUUUCUUCAUUCAGCGUCGUGUGUGAAGCCUUCCUCCAUAUUACUCCUCACUUUGGACUAUGGCUCAAGACCUUCAAAGUAGAGCCGAAGAUGAUCGAGGGAUGGCACGCGGAGUGCGGAGGUGCUUUUAUAAGCAAGAAUGCUGGUGCUCCAUGGCCCGAGGGCUCUUUUCAAGGGGAGUCCAGCUUACGGCAACGAGAGUGGUUUUAUAUCACAGCUCCCAGGAGCACCAAGUGGGUGGCGCUGCCUGCUUUUCGCUCGGGUCCCCCGCCACGACUGGCGUCAUGGGUCAACAAGGGGCUGGACUGGGGGCCGGCAAAGGACGUGCCCCUGUUGCAGGGCCGCAUCCGAGAUCUCCUAGAAAGAGACAUCAGUCUGGUCGUGGUGACGCAGGUUAUGUUAAUUCGCCGAGUUCUGCACUGCAAACGUCGGCCCCUUCGGUUGUGGAAGUUCAACCCGGAGGGACCACGAGUUCUCCAACAUUUUCUUGGCAUGACGCCCAUGGAUAUGUACAAAUUAUUCUUUGGACCACAAGUAGUGUGUCUGGAUUCUACGGAGGACGCAGGUCUGAGCUGCAAUCGUCCAGAUACUCAAGUAAGUAGCCUUGUGCCCGGACUUGCUAUCCAUAUAUUUAUCAUAAAGUUUCCCCUAAAAGAGUUGUCCUUUAAAUAGGAGUGGAUAGCGAAAGCAAAGCUAAUCAGAUGUCCGGCCCCCCUCCCCGAGACCAUGCCGGGUCCCAUGCUAGUCAAGAUGUUGGAGGUUGUGCCUUCAAAGGAAAGAGAGGGAGGGGACAAGGAAGCUACCGCCUCCUCGAAGGAGGUUGUCCAGAAGGGAGGAAUCGAAAAUUCCUCUCCUCAGGGGAAGAAGAGGACCGCCUCUGAAGACCCGGAGACCAUGGCCUCAAAGCGGGGGAAGAAAUCUUCGCUAGAGGGUCCUGUGCUGGGGGAUACUUCGGCCGAAUUAUGCCCUCAAGGGGAUCAGCCCUCCAUCGAGCCGUAAGUAGAGAGGAGUUUUAUUUUUAAGAAACGAGAGAAAUCCUUGCUUUAUAUCUGAGAAAAGUAAUCGAAAAUUUACCUUGUAGCUCGGACCUUAGCUCUUCUCAGCAGAGCUCGUCUUCGGGGGAUCUUCUUCCGGAGAUGAUGGAGAGCGGAAUGCCUCCCCCUGCCGUAUCACCUCGCGAGGUGGGCGACCCCGAGGUAUUGUCGCGGAGGGUUUCUCCGAAUCCGGCAGGGCCGGAAGGCAGUCAUAUGGCCCCCCAAAGUCCUCCUUGUCCGGCCUUCUAAAAGGGCCAUCGGACGAGUCCGGCGUCGUCUGGUGCGUGGUCGGAGGAGCUGAAGGAUCUGCUAGGGAGAGCAUCUAUCUCAGAGGAGCACCGUGCAUUGAUGGGUACGGUGAUUGAGAGGAUUUCAUCCACGGAGAGCGGAUUGCACGAGGCCGUCAGGAGUGUACUGACAGGUUUUGAGGUACGCGAAAUAAUGUACCCUUUUUGGACAGUUGCACAUAAAUAAGAUGCGACCUGUGUAGAUAGUAGCCCCUGAGACUCUGUGCAUUGUCAAAAGUGACGGUGCGCAGAGGAUCAUAAUCCCAGGUCUAAUAUGCCGCCUUCAUACGUAGGUGGCUAAGUGUCCGGUGGCAAGCCGGACUGAUGAAUUUGCCGAGCUAAAGCGGCAACUUGACGUGGCAGAUGCCGACAUCGCGCUUGUCAACAAGCGGCUUGACGAGGCGCAAGGUAUGUAAUUCCUCCGGCGGCUCCUGGUAAGAGGAGCUUUAUGCUAGUAUCUUACAAUGUGUGCGCUUGAUGCAGAUGGUGCGGCCGCCAUGGAGAAUCUUCGGGCAGAACUUGCCCGAGCCAAGGAGCAAUCCAGGAAAAGUGAUGCGGCUGCCGGAAUGGCAAUUGAAGAGCUGAAAGCCGAACAGGCUGCUCACUGCCAAAGCAAGAAGGAAAUGGCCGAGAUGGCCGUGAAGCUGAAGAACGCUGCUGACCGUUGCAAGCUUCUUGAAAAAUAAGAUCGGGCAAAACAAACGGACCUGGAGAAGGCCGUUGCCGAUGCCAAGGAUGCUCGCUCUGCGAUGAGAGCUGUGAAGGAGGAGCUGCGUCAGGCCGGAGAGAUCGCGACUGGAAAGCCCUUUAUGCUGCAGAGGAAGUUCCGUGAUCCUAAACAUGCUCCGUUGGACUGGAUGUGGAGUACGACGGACACCUAUAUGGAUUUGGCAGCGGCCGCGGAUGCGGCCGAACACUUCCGAGAUCAAGAAGAUCGCGAAGUGGAAAAGCUCUUUUGGUUGCAGUUCCACAAUCCGGAGCGUCCGCUGUCAUGAGCCGAUCAUUUGGCCGAAUGGGCCGAGCUAAAUAGGUUGUCCGGACUUGCCAUGAAGUAUGUCAUGAGUCAUCUGUGGCCAGAGAGGCCAGAGCCGAAAAGUUAUUUCAACUUGGUGCAGCAGUUCCUUGGUGCGGCGCCACAUAUCAAUGCGAUGAAGAGGUCAGCGUGCAUAGAGGGUGCGCGGAUGACUCUUGCCCGUGUCAAGACAUACUGGGCAGAAAUGGAGGCCGCCGCUGUUGCAUCCCCAGACUCGGAUGGAAGUCGAGUACCUGCCGAGCACUAUUUUCAGGAAGUUCUGCAAGGCGCUCGUUUAAUAGAGACGUAGUGCUCGAAGGACACUAUAUUCGAGUAGCAUUAUUGUAAUACAAUAUUUUGAUAAAUUGUAGAAGCUUUUUAUACUUGUGCCUGCAAGUAUUAUAAUACCUCCUGUGCGGCCGUUUAACAUAUAUGUUUAUACAAUCUGAAUGAUGGCAGUCGUCGGCUUCAGCCCCCACGCACAUAAUGCGGGGGUGUUCGCAGAAGGCGCAUUUUCACACUUGAUCCAACGUCUUGGUCCUACAAAGGAGGUGAUAGCGCAGCGAACUAGGCAAUCAUACUAUGAUGCUUUAUCACUUUCACUUAGCCAUAGGAGUUUGAUAGUGAGGCUACUUAUAUAGCCCCUGGUGGCGCCUGCGCUCGCCCGAACUCGGGGCGCGUAUGUGCCUGGCCGGGAAGCGAACCUUCGUUAAUGCGGAGGAAUCCUAAAGAUUCUGGUAAGUCAUCGAGUGGUUGACCAGUCUCACGCUAUAUCAUGACAGUCAGUUUUUGACUUUCUCUACUGAGGUGCUCGCCUCGCUGAACCGGGGCACAAUCGCAGUAGUUCUCCUGGUGCCACCUUAGCCGAUAGAGCGAAAUGUAAGGUAGCAAAACACAGGAGCCGGGCAAACCCAACAUUUGACCAAAGACAUGAUUCGGAGCUGAUGCAUAUAAGGACAAACUCGCGACGCCGAACACUCCCUAAGGUAUUUGGUCUUUAUGAGGGCGGGCGGGAUAACGCCCUUAGUAAUAAGCCCCUAGUGUCCAGGUACGUGCAAAAACUCUGACAUGGCCACAUGCCAAAAUGCCAGCCUCCUCCUUGGUUAUACCAAGAAACCAGGGGAUGUGUAUCAACAAGAGACAGUAAAAAAGGUUUACGCAGGGUCUUAAUCUGAAAAGAAUCCUUGGAACGGGUCCCUGCUGCACGUCUACGCCUGUGUCUCCGUUGUGCCGUAUCCUGGACGGGCGUAGCACGGUGUUCAUCUGUAAAAGGGAGGAACUUAGUUACAUAAAGAUCGUGCCGAACAUGAGUUAUACUAAAUAAAUGAAGUAUAAAUCGAAAUGGGUAAAAUUGAGCUUUAUUGUCUCUUGUUUUAUAUGCGCGGAGCCCCUAGUACAGGGGCAUACGGCUAUUAAGCCUUUAUAAAUUGUAUGUUUAUGCCGGACUCGUCUAGCCGUGUCCGUUGUCUUGAUGACUUGUUUACGUGCUUUGGUUGGUGAAGCCGCUUUAUUGUGGGGCUGUCAAGGCAGCCACACUGUCUUCCGCGUGGGGGGAACACUCAAUGUUUUCCCUUUAAUGAGAUGAUGCCUCGUGGACCGGGCAUCUUAAGCGUGAGAUAUGCAUAAUGCGGUAUUGCGUUAAAGCGGGUGAAAGCUUUGCGUCCCAGUAGUGCUUGAUAGCUACUUGAGAAUGGGGCGAUGUGGAAAGUUAGCUGUUCGUGACGGAAGUUAUCGGGGGAGCCGAACAUAACUUCUAGCCGGAGAGAACCCAUGCAACGGGCAUCCGGGCCUGGCGUUACCCCUUGAAAGGAGGUUUUGCUAUGGCGAAUUUUUGUUGGGUCUAUCCCCAUGUUGCGGAUUGUGUCCUGGUAUAACAGGUUUAGACCACUUCCGCCGUCCAUCAGGACAUUUGUAAAGUGGAGUCCGCCGAUUAUUGGAUCUAAUACCAAGGGGAGACCAUAAAUGCCUUCAUCAAUGAAACCAUAGAUCUGUCAAUUUGCUGUCUCUGUCUGGAGCGGCGCUUACGUCGCCGCUUUGAUUGCUUUCCCCUAAUCCACAACUCUCAAUGAAACCGACGUCCCCGUGCGUCCAAAGAUGGUGAUACCUAAAUCUAUCCUUACUUUUCAUGCCUAGCUAGGGGGCGUUAAACGAUAGCGCUUGUUGGGAGGCAACCCAAUUUUAUUUUUAUUCCUUACUUUUUGCUCCUGUUUAUUAAUAAAUAAUUUAUCUAGCCUUUGUUUAGAUAGUGUUUUUUGUGUUUAAUUAGUGUUUGUGCCAAGUAGAACCGUUGGGAAUAAUUGGGGAAAGUCUUGAUAUCUUGCUGUAAAAAACAGAAACUUUAGCGCUCACGAGAACUGCUGCCAUUUUUAUUUGGAAAGUGAUAUAUAGUUAAUUCUUUUUGCAGAUGAUUAAUAAAUAUAUUCCUCCAUCCAUAAAUUUAUUUUAGAAUUUUUGGGGUUCCAGAUCUUGCGCUAGCUUCAGAUUACUACAGACUGUUCUGGUUUUGACAGAUUCUGUUUUUCGUGUGUUGUUUGCUUAUUUUGAUGAAUCUAUGGCUAGUAAAAUAGUUCAUAAACCAUAGAGAAGUUGGAAUACAGUAGGUUUAACACCAACAUAAACAAAGAAUAAGUUCAUUACAGUACCUUGAAGUGGUCAUUUGUUUUCUUUCGCUAACGGAGCUCACGAGAUUUUCUACUUUGAGUUUUGUGUUGUGAAGUUUUCAAGUUUUGGGUAAAGAUUUGAUGGAUUAUGGAACAAGGAGUGGCAAGAGCCUAAGCUUUGGGAUGCCCAUGGAACCCCCAAGAUAAUCUAAGGACACCUAAAAGCCAAAUCUUGGUAAUGCCCCUGAAGGCAUCCCCUCUUUUCGUCUACUUCUAUCGGUAACUUUACUUGGAGCUAUAUUUUUAUUCACCACAUGAUAUGUGUUUUUCUUGGAGCGUCUUGUAUUAUUUGAGUCUUUAUUUGUUAGUUUACCACGAUCAUCCUUGCUGUACACACCUUUUCAGAGAGCCAUACAUGAUUUGGAAUUUGUUAGAAUGCUCUAUGUGCUUCGCUUAUAUCUUUUGAGUUAUAUAGUUUUGCUCUAGUACUUCGCUUAUAUCUUUUAGAGCACGGUGGUGGAUUUGUUUUAUAGAAACUAUUGAUCUCUCAUGCUUCACUUAGAUUAUUUUGAGAGUCUUAAAUAGCAUGAUAAUUUGCUUAAAUAAUGCUAAUAUGCUAGGUAUUCAAGAUUAGUAAAAAAAUAUCCUAGGAGUGUUUGAAUACUAAGAGACGUUUGAUGCUUGAUGAUCGUUUUGAGAUAUGGAGGUAAUAAUAUCAAAGUCGUGCUAGUUGAGUAGUUGUGAAUUCGAGAAGUGCUUGUGUUGAAGUUUGCAAAUCCCGUAGCAUGCACGUAUGGUAAACGUUGUGUAACAAAUUUGAAACAUAAGGUGUUUUUUUCAUUGUCUUCCUUAUGAGUGGCGGUCGGGGACGAGCGAUGGUCUUUUCCUACCAGUCUAUCCCUCUAGGAGCAUGCGCGUAGUGCCGAGGUUUUUUAUGACUUGUAGAUUUUUUCAAUAAGUAUGUGAGUUCUUUAUGACUAAUGUCGAGUCCAUGGAUUAUACGCGCUCUCACCCUUCCAUCAUUGCUAGCCUCUUCGGUACCGUGCAUUGCCCUUUCUCACAUUGAGAGUUGGUGCAAACUUCACCGGUGCAUCCAAACCCCGUGAUAUGAUACGCUCUUUCACACAUAAACCUCCUUAUAUCUUCCUCAAAACAGCCACCAUACCUACCUAUUAUGGCAUUUCCAUAGCCAUUCUGAGAUAUAUUGCCAUGCAACUUUCCACCAUUCCGUUUAUCAUGACACAUUCAUCAUUGUCAUAUUGCUUAGCAUGAUCAUGUAGUGGACAUAGUAUUUGUGGCAAAGCCACCGUUCAUAAUUCUUUCAUACAUGCCACUCUUGGUUCAUUGCAUAUCCCGGUACACCGCCGGAGGCAUUCAUAUAGAGUCAUCUUUUGUUCUAGCAUCGCGUUGUAAUCAUUGAGUUGUAAAUAAAUAGAAGUGUGAUGAUCAUCAUUUUCUAGAGCAUUGUCCCAAAUGAGGAAAAAAAGAGAAAGGCCAUAUAAAAAAAGGCCUGAAUAAAAAAAAGAGAGAAAAAGAGAGAAGGGACAAUGUUACUAUCCUUUGCCACACUUGUGCUUCAAAGUAGCACCAUAAACUUCAUGUCACUUUGCUUUUAUUUUACUUUGCAUAUUUGUCAGAAAAAUACCAAAAAUAUUAUCUUAUCAUAUCUAUCAGAUCUCACUCUCGUAAGUGGCCAUGUAGGGAUUGACAACCCCUUAUCACGUUGGUUGCGAGCAUUUAUUUGUUUUGUGCAGGUACGAGGGACUCGCGCGUAGCCUCCUACAGGAUUAAUACCUUGGUUCUCAAAAACUAAGGGAAAUACUUACGCUACUCUGCUGCAUCAUCCCUUCCUCUUCGGGGAAAAACCAACACAGUGCUCAAGAGGUAGCAGUGGUGUACCGGGAUUGCGAUGAAUCAAGAGUGACAUGUAUGAAAAAUUAUGAACGAUGGCUUUGCCACAAAUACGAUGUCAACUACAUGAUCAUGCAAAGCAAUAUGACAAUGAUGAUGCGUGUCAUAAUAAACAGAACGGUGGGAAGUUGCAUGGCAAUAUAUCUCGGAAUGGCUAUGGAAAUGCCAUAAUAGGUAGGUAUGGUGGCUGUUUUGAGGAAGAUAUAAGGAGGUUUAUGUGUGAUAGAGCGUAUCAUAUCACGGGGUUUGGAUGCACCGGCGAAGUUUGCACCAACUCUCAAUGUGAGAAAGGGCAAUGCACGGUACCGAAGAGGCUAGCAAUGAUGGAAGGGUGAGAGUGCGUAUAAUCCAUGGACUCAACAUUAGUCAUAAAGAACUCACAUACUUAUUGCAAAAAUCUACAAGUCAUCAUAAACCAAGCACUAUGCGUAUGCUCCUAGGGGGGUAGAUUGGUAGGAAAAGACCAUUGCUCGUCCCCGACCGCCACUCAUAAGGAAGACAAUCAAAGAACACCUCAUGUUUCAAAUUUGUUACAUAUCAUUUACCAUACGUGCAUGCUACGGGACUUGCAAACUUCAACACAAGCAUUUCUCAAAUACACAACUACUCAACUAGCACGACUUUGAUAUUAUUACCUCCGUAUCUCAAAACAAUCAUCAAGCAUCAAGCUUCUCUUAGUAUUCAAUGCACUCUAUAUGAAAGUUUUUAUUAUAUCCCUCUUGGAUGCCCAUCAUAUUAGGACUAGUUUCAUAACAAAAGCAAACUACCAUUCUGUUCUAAGGGACUCUCAAAAUAAUAUAAGUGAAUCAUGAGAGUUCAUCUAUUUCUAUAAAAUAAAACCACCACCAUGCUCUAAAAGAUAUAAGUGAAGCACUAGAGCAAAUGACAAACUACUCCAAAAGAUAUAAGUGAAGAUCAAUGAGUAGUCGAAUAAUUAUGCAACCAUGUGAAGACUCUCUAACAUUUAAUAAUUUCAGAUAUUGUUAUUUUAUCCAAGCAGCAAGCAAAACUAAAUAAAAUAAAAUGACUCUCCAAGCAAAACACAUAUCAUGUGGUGAAUAAAAAUAUAGCUCCAAGUGAAGUUACCGAUAGACGAGGACGAAAGAGGGGAUGCCUUCCGGGGCAUCCCCAAGCUUAGGCUUUUGGUUGUCCUUGAAUAUUACCUUGGGGUGCCUUGGGAAUCCCCAAGCUUAGGAUCUUUCCACACCUUGUUCCAUAGUCCAUCAAAUCUUUACCCAAAACUUGAAAACUUCACAACACAAAUCUUAACCAAAAACUCGUAAGCUCCGUCAGUAUAAGAAAAUAAAUCACCACUUAGGUACUGUUGUGAACUCAUUCUAAAUUCAUAUUGGUGUAAUAUCUACUGUAUUCCAACUUAUCUAUGGUUCAUACCCUCCGAUACUACUCAUAGGUUCAUCAAAAUAAGCAAACAACACAUUGAAAACAGAAUCUAUCAAAAACAGAACAGUCUGUAGUAAUAUGGAUCAAACGUAUACUUCUGGAACCCCAAAAAUUCUAAAAUAAAUUUCUGGACCUGAUUAAUUUAUCUAUUAAUCAUAUUCAAAAGGAAUUAACUAAAUAUCACUCUCCAAAUAAAAAUUGCAGCAAUUCUCGUGAGUGCUAAAGUUUCUGUUUUUUACAGCAUGAUUAUAAAGACUUCACCCAAGUCUUCCCAAAGGUUCUACUGGGCACAAACACUAAUUAAAACAUAAAACCACAUCCAAACAGGGGCUAGAUGAAUUAUUUAUUACUAAACAGGAGCAUAAAGAAAGGAACAAAAAUAAAAUUGGGUUGCCUCCCAACAAGCGCUAUCGUUUAACGCCCCUAGCUAGGCAUGAUGAUUUCAAUGAUGCUCACAUAAAAGAUAAGAAUUAAAACAUAAAGAGAGCAUCAUGAAGAAUAUUACUAGAGCAUUUAAGUCUAACCCACUUCCUAUGCAUUGGGAUUAUGUGAGCAAACAACUUGUGGGUACAAGAAUCAAUUUGCAUAGGAAGGUAAAACAAGCAUAACUUCAAAACUUUAAGCACAUAGAGAGGAAACUUGAUAUUAUUGCAAUUCCUACAAGCAUAAGUUCCUCCCUCAUAAUAAUUUUCAUUAGCAUCAUGAAUGAAUUCAACAAUAUAACCAGCACCUAAAGCAUUAUUUUCAUUAUCUAUAAGCAUAGAAAUUUUAUUACUCUCCACAUGAGCAAAAUUCUUCUCAUUCGGAAUAGUGGGAGUAUCAUAAGAAACUCGAAUACUAUAAAUUGUUUCCACAUUAAAAGAGUAAUGUUCAGAAAAGGGGUUAUCAUAAUCAUACAAGUUUUAUAAUCAUAAUCACUACUUUUUAUAGCAUAAGUACCAUCACAAUAAUCAUCAUAAGUAGGAGGCAUGCUAUCAUCAUUAUAAAUUUGCAUAUCAAAACUUGGGAGACUAAAAAUAUCAUCUUCAUUAAACGUAGCAUCCCCAAGCUUGAGACAAACAUUAGCUGCAGCAAAUAUAUUCUCAAAAACAUCAUUUUCAUCAAACAUAGCAUCCCCAAGCUUGGCCCUUUUCAUAUCAUAAGCAUAAUCACUCUCAUCAUUAAUAGUAUGGAUAGCACCAAUAGUAUAGCAAUUAUCAUAUUCUUCCAAGCAAGUGCCAAAAAGAUCUUCAAGAUCAUAAUAAGUAUCAUUAUCUUUCACAAUUAUAUUUUCAUGAGGCACAAUAGUAAUAGGAGCAGCAUUAUUUGGGGGAGAUAUCUUUUUACCUCUCUUCCUUUUUCUUUUCUUCUUCUUCACCACAUCAUGUGUGGGUUCAAUCCUCUUUUUGUAGCUCCUUAUUAAUGAGAUUGGUUGAAUAGGAGGCUCUUCCUCGUUACCUGAUUCAUCAUAAGAAAUAAUAGGAGGGUAUUGGGAAGUCUCUUCCCUUUCAUUAGUAUUCUCUUCAUCUUCUAUUUAUUUUCUUUUCUUCAUGUAGUUGGCAAUAUAAGGAUUUUCAAUACAAUUCACCGCACAAUACAUAUAAAUUUUCUCUAGAUCAAAAUCAAGAAAUCUACCAAGAUUAAACUUUGGAAUACCCUCAGUUAUACUUUUCAUUUCCUCAUACCCCAAAAGAAGACUAAGCUCUUUAUGAUGCUCAAGGGUAAUCAAAUUAUCACAAUUUUUGGGUACGAUUUGGUCAUGAAACAAUUUGCAUUGGAGAUUUAAAUGACCAUGUUCAUUGCAAAGUUCACAAGGGGCGCGAAAAAUAUUGAAUUUUUCAGCACAAACAUCAAGACUUUCUUGCAACAAUUUAGUUUCUAAAUACUUAUGCCUCUUGCAAUAUCUAUCUUCCCUAUUUGGUGUAUACUUGCAAACCCAAUGCACUCCACAAAAAUUGACAUGUUUAUAGGAGACAUUUUCAUCAUAACUAGUGCAAUCAUCAUUAGUACUACGGAUAUUCAAAGAGUUCAUACUAACAACAUUCCAAUCAUGCUCAUCAUUCAAAGAUUUAGUGCCAAACAUUUUAAUGCAUUCUUCUUAUAACACUUUGGCACAAUUUUCCUUUCCACCAUACUCACGGAAGAUAUUAAAAAGAUGAAGCGUAUGAGACAAACUCAAUGUUGGGGAACGUUGCAGAAAACAAAAAAAUUCCUACGGUUUCACCAAGAUCCAUCUAUGAGUUCAUCUAGCAACGAGUGAUCGGAUGCAUCUACAUACCUUGUAGAUCGUGAGCGGAAGCGUUCAAAGAAUGGGGAUGAGGGAGUCGUACUCGAUGUGAUCCAAAUCACCGGAGAUCCUAGCGCCGAACGGACGACACCUCCGCGUUCAACACACGUACGGUCAACGUGACGUCUCCUCCUUCUUGAUCCAGCAAGGGGAAGGAGAGGUUGAGGAAGAUGGGUCCAGCAGCAGCACGACGGCGUGGUGGUGGUGGAGAAGCAGUACUCCGACAGGGCUUUGCCGAGCUCUACGGAGGAGGAGGAGGUGUUGGAGGGGAGAGGGAGGCGCCAAGGGCAUGGGUGCGGCUGCCCUCCCUCCCCCCCUCUAUAUAUAGGGUCCCCAAGGGGGGGGCGCCGGCCCUGGAGAUUCAAUCUCCCAAGGGGCGCGGCCAAGGGGGGUGGAGUGCCCCCCAAGGCAAGUGGGGCGUGAAGGAAAUAUGCCCUAGAGGCAAUAAUAAAGUUAUUAUUUAUUUCCUUAUAAUCAUGAUAAAUGUUUAUUAUUCAUGCUAGAAUUGUAUUAACCGAAAACAUAAUACAUGUGUGAAUACAUAGACAAACAAGGUGUCACUAGUAUGCCUCUACUUGACUAGCUCGUUAAUCAAAGAUGAUUAUGUUUCCUAAUCAUGAACAAUGAGUUGUUAUUUGAUUAACGGGAUCACAUCAUUAAGAGAAUGAUCUGAUUGACAUGACCCAUUCCAUUAGCUUAGCACCCGAUCGUUUAGUAUGUUGCUAUUGCUUUCUUCAUGACUUAUACAUGUUCCUAUAACUAUGAGAUUAUGCAACUCCCGUUUACCGGAGGAACACUUUGGGUACUACCAAACGUCACAACAUAACUGGGUGAUUAUAAAGGAGUAUUACAGGUGUCUCCAAAGGUACAUGUUGGGUUGGCGUAUUUCGAGAUUAGGUUUUGUCACUCCGAUUGUCGGAGAGGUAUCUCUGGGCCCUCUCGGUAAUGCACAUCACUUAAGCCUUGCAAGCAUUGCAACUAAAUGAGUUAGUUGCGGGAUGGUGUAUUACGGAACGAGUAAGGAGACUUGCCGGCAACGAGAUUGAACUAGGUAUUGGAAUACCGACGAUCGAAUCUCGGGCAAGUAACAUACCGAUGACAAAGGGAACGACGUAUGUUGUUAUGCGGUCUAACCGAUAAAGAUCUUCGUAGAAUAUGUAGGAGCCAAUAUGGGUAUCCAGGUACCGCUAUUGGUUAUUGACUGGAGACAUGUCUCGGUCAUGUCUACAUUGUUCUCGAACCCGUAGGGUCCGCACGCUUAAGGUUACGAUGACAGUUAUAUUAUGAGUUUAUGCAUUUUGAUGUACCGAAGGUUGUUCGGAGUCCCGGAUGUGAUCAUGGACAUGACAAGGAGUCUCAAAAUGGUCGAGGCAUAAAGAUUGAUAUAUUGGAAGCCUAUGUUUGGAUAUCGAAAGUGUUCCGGGUGAAAUCGGGAUUUUACCGGAGAACCGGGAGGUUACCGGAACCCCCCGGGAGCUAAAUGGGCCAUGAUGGGCCUUAGUGGAAAAGAGAAGAGGCAGCCCUACAUGGGCCGCGCGCCCCUCCCCUCCCUUGGUCCGAAUAGGACAAGGAGAGGGGGCCGACCCCUCUCUCUCUUUUCCCCCCUCCGCGAAUCCUAUUCCAACUAGGAUUGGGGGGGGGGGGAAUCCUACCCCGAGAGGGAGUAGGACUCUCCUGGCGCGCCCUCCUUGGCCGGCCAGCCUCCUCCCUUUAGUCCUUUAUAUACGGAGGCAGGGGCACCCCAGAAACACACAAGUUGAUCCACGUGAUCUAUUCCUUAGCCGUGUGCGGCGCCCCCAGCCACCAUAGUCCUCGAUAAUACUGUACCGGAGUUUAGGCGAAGCCCUGCUGCUGUAGUGCAUCAUGAUCGUCACCACGCCGUCGUGCUGACGGAACUCUUCCCCGACACUUUGCUGGAUCGGAGUCCGAGGAUCGUCAUCGAGCUGAAUGUGUGCUAGAACUCGGAGGUGCCGUAGUUUCGUUGCUUGAUCGGUCGGAUCAUGAAGACGUACGACUACAUCAACCAAACGCUUCUGUUGUCGAUCUACUAGGUAUGUAGAUCACACUCCCCCCCCCUCGUUGCUAUGCAUCACAUGAUCUUGCGUGUGCGUAGGAAUUUUUUUGAAAUUACUACGUCCCCAACAGUGGCAUCCGAGCCUAGGUUUUAUAUGUUGAUGUUAUAUGCACGAGUAGAACACAAGUGAGUUGUGGGCGAUAUAAGUCAUACUGCCUACCAGCAUGUCAUACUUUGGUUCGGCGGUAUUGUUGGAUGAAGCGGCCCAGACCGACAUUACGCGUACGCUUACGCGAGACCGGUUCUCGCGACGUGCUUUGCACAGAGGUGGCUUGUGGGUGACAGUUUCUCCAACUUUAGUUGAACCAAGUGUGGCUACACCCGGUCCUUGCGAAGGUUAAAACGGAGUCAAAUUGACAAACUAUCGUUGUGGUUUUGAUGCGUAGGUGAGAUUUGUUCUUACUUAAGCCUGUAGCAGCCACGUAAAACUUGCAACAACAAAGUAGAGGACGUCUAACUUGUUUUUGCAGGGCAUGUUGUGAUGUGAUAUGGUCAAGACAUGAUGCUGAAUUUUAUUGUAUGAGAUGAUCAUGUUUUGUAACCGAGUUAUCGGCAACCGGCAGGAGCCAUAUGGUUGUCGCUUUAUUGUAUGCAAUGCAAUCGCGAUGUAAUGCUUUACUUUAUCACUAAAUGGUAGCGAUAGUCGUGGAAGCACAAGCUUGGCGAGACGACAAUGGUGCUACGAUGGAGAUCAAGGUGUCACGCCGGUGACGAUGGUGAUCACGACGGUGCUUCAGAGAUGGAGAUCACAAGCACAAGAUGAUGAUGGCCAUAUCAUAUCACUUAUAUUGAUUGCAUGUGAUGUUUAUCUUUUAUGCAUCUUAUCUUGCUUUGAUUGACGGUAGCAUUAUAAGAUGAUCUCUCACUAAAUUAUCAAGAAGUGUUCUCCCUGAGUAUGCACCGUUGCGAAAGUUCUUCGUGCUGAGACACCAUGUGAUGAUCGGGUGUGAUAGGUUCUACGUUCAAAUACAACGGGUGCAAAAUAGUUGCACACGCGGAAUACUCAGGUUAUACUUGACGAGCCAAGCAUAUACAGAUAUGGCCUCGGAACACGGAGACCGAAAGGUCGAGCGUGAAUCAUAUAGUAGAUAUGAUCAACAUAGCGAUGCUCACCAAUGAAACUACUCCAUCUCACGUGAUGAUCGGACAUGGUUUAGUUGAUUUGGAUCACGUGAUCACUUAGAGGAUUAGAGGGAUGUCUAUCUAAGUGGGACUUCUUAAGUAAUAUGAUUAAUUGAACUUAAAUUUAUCAUGAACUUAGUCCUGGUAGUAUUUUGCAAAUUAUGUUGUAGAUCAAUAGCUCGCAUUGUUGCUUCCCUGUGUUUAUUUUGAUAUGUUCCUAGAGAAAAUUGUGUUGAAAGAUGUUAGUAGCAAUGAUGCGGAUUGGAUCCAUGAUCUGAGGUUUAUCCUCAUUGCUGCAUAGAAGAAUUAUGUCCUUGAUGCACCGCUAGGUGACAGACCUAUUGCAGGAGCAGAUGCAGAUGUUAUGAACAUUUGGCUAGCUCAAUAUGAUGACUACUUGAUAGUUUAGUGCACCAUGCUUAAUGGCUUAGAAUCGGGACUUCAAAGACAUUUUGAACGUCAUGGACCAUAUGAGAUGUUCCAGGAGUUGAAGUUAAUAUUUCAAGCAAAUACCCGAGUUGAGAGAUAUGAAGUCUCCAACAAGGUCUAUAGCUAAAAGAUGGAGGAGAAUCGCUCAACUAGUGAGCAUGUGCUCAGAUUGUCUGGGUACUACAAUCGCUUGAAUCAAGUGGGAGUUAAUCUUCCAGAUAAGAUAGUGAUUGACAGAAUUCUCUAGUCACCAUCACCAAGUUAGUAGAACUUCCUGAUGAACUAUGAUAUGCAAGGGAUAACGGAAAUGAUUCCCAAGCUCUUCGUAAUGCGGAAAUUGACGAAGGUAGAAAUCGAGAAAAACAUCAAGUGUUGAUGGUAGACAAGACCACUAGUUUCAAGAAAAGGGCAGAGGGAAGAAGGGGAACUUCAAGAAGAACAGCAAGCAUGUUGCUACUCAAGUGAAGAAGCCCAAGUCUGGUCCUAAGCCUGAGACUAAGUGUUUCUACUGCAAAGGGACUGGUCACUGAAAGCGGAACUACCCCAAGUGAUUGGCAGAUAAGAAGGAUGGCAAAAUGAACAUAAGUAUAUUUGAUAUACAUGUUAUUGAUGUGUACUUUACUAGUGUUUAUAGCAACCCCUCAGUAUUUGAUACUAGUUCAGUUGCUAAGAUUAGUAACUUGAAACGGGAGUUGCAGAAUAAACAGAGACUAGUUAAGGGUGAAGUGACGAUGUGUGUUGGAAGUGGUUCCAAGAUUGAUAUGAUCAUCAUCGCACACUCCCUAUACUUUCGGGAUUAGUGUUGAACCUGAAUAAGUGUUAUUUGGUGUUUGUGUUAAGCAUGAAUAUGAUUUGAUCAUGUUUAUUAUAAUACGGAUAUUCAUUUAAGUAAGAGAAUAAAUUGUUGUUCUGUUUACAUGAAUAAAACCUUAUAUGGUUACACACCCAAUGAAAAUAGUUCAUUGGAUCUCGAUCGUAGUGAUACACAUAAUCAUAAUAUUGAAACCAAAAGAUGCAAAGUUAAUAAUGAUAGUGCAACUUAUUUGUAGCACUGCCAUUUAGGUCAUAUUGGUGUAAAGUGCAUGAAGAAACUCCAUGCUGAUGGAUUUUGGAAUCACUUGAUUAUGAAUCACUUGAUGCUUGAGAACCAUGCCUCAUGGUCAAGAUGACUAAGACUCCGUUCUCCGGAGAGAGCAACUGACUUAUUGGAAAUAAUACAUACUGAUGUAUGCGGUCCGAUGAGUGUUAAGGCUCACGGCAAGUAUCGUUAUUUUCUGAACUUCACAGAUGAUUUGAGCAAGAUAUGGGUAUAUCUACUUGAUGAAACAUAAGUCCUAAACAUUUGAAAAGUUCAAAGAAUUUCAGAGUGAAGUGGAAAAUCAUCAUGACAAGAAAAAAAAAUUUCUAUGAUCUGAUCGCGGAGACAAAUAUUUGAGUUACGAGUUUGGUCUUCAAAUAAAACAAUGUGGAAUAGUUUCACAAACUCAUGCCACAUGGAACACCACAGCAUAAUGGUGUGUCUGAACAUUAUAACCGUACUUUAUUAGAUAUGGUGCGAUCUAUGAUGUUUUUUUUUGAUCUACCACUAUCGUUUUGGGGUUAUGCAUUAAAGACAGCUGCAUUCACAUUUAAAAGGGCACCAUCUAAGUCCGUUGAGACGACACAAUCUGAACUGUGGUUUGGCAAGAAACCAAAGUUGUCAUUUCUUAAAGUUUGGGAUUGUGAUGCUUAUAUGAAAAGGUUUCAUCCUGAUAAGCUCAAAUCCAAAUAGGAGAAAUAUGUCUUCAUAGGAUACCCAAAGGAGACUGUUGGGUACACCUUCUAUCACAAAUCCGAAGGCAAGACUUUUGUUGCUAAAUUCGGAGUUUUUCUAGAGAAGGAGUUUCUCUCGAAAGAAGUGAGUGGGAGGAAAGUAGAACUUGAUGAGGUAACUGUACCUGCUCCCUUAUUGGAAAGUAGUUCAUCACAGAAAUCUGUUCCUGUGACUACUACACCAAUUCGUGAGGAAGCUAAUGAUGAUGAUCAUGUAACUUCAGAUCAAGUUACUACCAAAUCUCGUAGGUAAACCAGAGUGAGAUCCACACCAGAGUGGUACGGUAAUCCCAUUCUGGAAGUCGUGUUACUAGACCAUGACGAACUUGCGAACUAUGAGGAAGCGAUGAUGAGCCCAGAUUCUGCGAAAUGGUUUGAGGUCAUGAAAUCUGAGAUAUGAUCCAUGUAUGAGAACAAAGUAUGGACUUUGAUGGAUUUGCUCGAUGAUCGGCAAGCCAUAGAAAAUAAAUGGAUCUUCAAGAGGAAGACAGACGCUGAUAGUAGUGUUACUAUCUACAAAGCUAGAAUUGUCGCAAAAGGUUUUCGACAAGUUCAAGGAGUUGACUACGAUGAGAUUUUCUCACUCGUAUCUAUGCUUAAGUCUGUCCGAAUCAUGUUAGCAAUUGCCGCAUUUUAUGAAAUCUGGCAAAUGGAUAAACAAAACUGCAUUCCUUAAUGGAUUUACUAAAGAAGAGUUGUAUACGAUGCAACUAGAAGGUUUUGUCGAUCCUAAAGGUGUUAACUAAAUAUGCAAGCUCCAGCGAUCCAUCUAUGGACUAGUGCAAGAAUCUCAGAGUUGGAAUAUACGCUUUGAUAAGUUGAUCAAAGCAUAUAGUUUUAUGCAGACUUGCGGUGAAGCCUGUAUUUACAAGAAAGUGAGUGGGAGCACUACAACAUUUCUGAUAAGUAUAUGUGAAUGACAUAUUGUUGAUCGGAAAUAAUGUAGAAUUAUUCUGCAAAGCAUAAAGGAGUGUUUGAAAGGAGUUUUUUCAAAAAGGACCUCGAAGAAGCUGCUUACAUAUUGAGCAUCAAGAUCUAUAGAGAUAGAUCAAGACGCUUGAUAAGUUUUUUUUCAAUGAGUACAUACCUUGACAAGAUUUUAUAAUAGUUCAAAAUGGAACAGUCAAAGAAAGUGUUCUUGCCUGUGUCAUAAGGUGUGAAAUUGAGUAAGACUCAAAGCCCGACCACGGCAGAAGAUAGAAAGAGAAUGAAUGUCAUUCCCUAUGCCUCGGUCAUAGGUUCUAUAAAGUAUGCCAUGCUGUGUACCAGAUCUAUUGUAUACCCUACCAUUGAGUUUGGCAAGGGAGUACAAUAGUGAUCUAGGAGUAGAUCACUGGACAGCGGUCAAAAUUAUCCUUAGUGGAAUAAGGAAAUAUUUCUCAAUUAUGGAGGUGACAAAAAGGUUCGUCGUAAAAAGUUACAUCGAUGCAUGUUUUGACACAGAUCUGGAUGACUCUAAGUCUCGAUCUAGAUACAUAUUGAAAGUGGGAGCAAUAAGUUAGAGUAGCUCCGUGCAGAGCAUUGUUGACAUAGAAAUUCGCAAAAUACUUACGGAUCCGAAUGUGACAGACCUGUUGACUAAAAUUAUCUCACAAGCAAAACAUGAUCACACCUUAGUACUCUUUGGGUAUUAAUCACAUAGCGAUGUGAACUAGAUUACUGACUCUAGUAAACCCUUUGGGUGUUGAUCACAUAUCGAUGUGAACUAUGGGUGUUAAUCACAUGGUGAUGUGAACUAUUGUUGUUAAAUCACAUGGCGAUGUGAACUAGAUUAUUGACUCUAGUGCAGGUGGGAGACCGAAGGAAAUAUGCCCUAGAGGCAAUAAUAAAGUUAUUAUUUAUUUCCUUAUAAUCAUGAUAAAUGUUUAUUAUUCAUGCUAGAAUUGUAUUAACUGGAAACAUAAUACAUGUGUGAAUACAUAGACAAACAAAGUGUCACUAGUAUGCCUCUACUUGACUAGCUCGUUAAUCAAAGAUGAUUAUGUUUCCUAAUCAUGAACAAUGAGUUGUUAUUUGAUUAACGAGAUCACAUCAUUAAGAGAAUGAUUUGAUUGACAUGACCCAUUCCAUUAGCUUAGCACCCGAUCAUUUAGUAUGUUGCUAUUGCUUUCUUCAUGACUUAUACAUGUUCCUAUAACUAUGAGAUUAUGCAACUCCCGUUUACCGGAGGAACACUUUGGGUACUACCAAAGGUCACAAUGUAACUGGGUGAUUAUAAAGGAGUAUUACAGGUCUCUCCAAAGGUACAUGUUGGGUUGGCGUAUUUCGAGAUUAGGUUUUGUCACUCCGAUUGUCGGAGAGGUAUCUCUGAGCCCUCUCGGUAAUGCACAUCACUUAAGCCUUGCAAGCAUUGCAACUAAAUGAGUUAGUUGCGGGAUGAUGUAUUACGGAACGAGUAAAGAGACUUGCCGGCAACGAGAUUGAACUAGGUAUUGGAAUACCGACGAUCGAAUCUCGGGCAAGUAACAUACCGAUGACAAAGGGAACGACGUAUGUUGUUAUGCGGUCUGACCGAUAAAGAUCUUCAUAGAAUAUGUAGGAGCCAAUAUGGGCAUCCAGGUCCCGCUAUUGGUUAUUGACUGGAGACAUGUCUCGGUCAUGUCUACAUUGUUCUCGAACCCGUAGGGUCCGCACGCUUAAGGUUACGAUGACAGUUAUAUUAUGAGUUUAUGCAUUUUGAUGUACCGAAGGUUGUUCAGAGUCUCGGAUGUGAUCACGGACAUGAUGAGGAGUCUCGAAAUGGUCGAGACAUAAAGAUUGAUAUAUUGGAAGCCUAUGUUUGGAUAUCGGAAGUGUUCCAGGUGAAAUCGGGAUUUUACCGGAGUACCGGGAGGUUACCGGAACCCCCCGGGAGCUAAAUGGGCCAUGAUGGGCCUUAGUGGAAAAGAGAAGAGGCAGCCCUACAUGGGCCGCGCGCCCCUCCCCUCCCUUGGUCCGAAUAGGACAAGGAGAGGGGGCCGGACCCUCUCUCUCUUUUCCCUCCUCCGCGAAUCCUAUUCCAACUAGGAUUGGGGGGGGGGGGGAUCCUACUCCCAGAGGGAGUAGGACUCUCCUGGCGCGCCCUCCUUGGCCGGCCAGCCUCCCCCCUUUAGUCCUUUAUAUACGGAGGCAAAGGCACCCCAGAGACACACAAGUUGAUCCACGUGAUCUAUUCCUUAGCCGUGUGCAGCGCCCCCAGCCACCAUAGUCCUCAAUAAUACUGUAGCGGAGUUUAGGCGAAGCCCUGCUGCUGUAGUGCAUCAAUAUCGUCACCACGCCGUCGUGCUGACGGAACUCUUCCCCGACACUUUGCUGGAUCGGAGUCCGAGGAUCGUCAUCGAGUUGAACGUGUGCUAGAACUCAGAGGUGCCGUAGUUUCGGUGCUUGAUCGGUCGGAUCGUGAAGACGUACGACUACAUAAACCAAACACUUCCGUUGUCGAUGUACUAGGUAUGUAGAUCACACUCCCCCCCCCUCGUUGCUAUGCAUCACAUGAUCUUGCGUUUGCGUAGGAAAUUUUUUGAAAUUACUACGUUCCCCAACAGGGCGCCCCCCACCCUAGGGUUCCCAACCCUAGUCGCAGGGGGAAGGCCCAAGGGGGGCGCACCAGCCCACUAGGGGCUGGUUCCCCUCCCACUUCAGCCCAUGGGGCCCUCUGGGAUAGGUGGCACCACCCGGUGGACCCCCGGGACCCUUCCAGUGGUCCCGGUACAAUACCGGUGACCCCGAAACUUGUCCCGAUGGCCGAAAUAGCACUUCCUAUAUAUAAUUCUUUACCUCCGGACCAUUCCGGAACUCCUCGUGACGUCCGGUAUCUCAUUCGGGACUCCGAACAACUUUCUGGUUACUGCAUAUUCAUAUCCCUACAACCCUAGCGUCACCGAACCUUAAGUGUGUAGACCCUACGGGUUCGGGAGACAUGUAGACAUGACCGAGAUGGCUCUCCGGUCAAUAACCAACAGCGGGAUCUGGAUACCCAUGUUGGCUCCCACAUGCUCCUCGAUGAUCUCAUCGGGUGAACCACGAUGUCGAGGAUUCAAGCAACCCCGUAUACAAUUCCCUUUGUCAAUCGGUACGUUACUUGCCCGAGAUUCGAUCGUCGGUAUCCCAAUACCUCGUUCAAUCUCGUUACCGGCAAGUCACUUUACUCGUACCGUAAUGCAUGAUCCCGUGACCAGACACUUGGUCACUUUGAGCUCAUUGUGAUGAUGGAUUACCGAGUGGGCCCAGAGAUACCUCUUCGUCAUAUGGAGUGACAAAUCCUAGUCUUGAUCCGCGUCAACCCAACAGACACUUUCGGAGAUACCCGUAGUAUACCUUUAUAGUCAGCCAGUUACGUUGUGACGUUUGGUACACCCAAAGCACUCCUACGGUAUCCGGGAGUUACACGAUCUCAUGGUCUAAGGAAAGGAUACUUGACAUUGGAAAAACUCUAGCAAACGAACUAUACGAUCUUGUGCUAUGUUUAGGAUUGGGUCUUGUCCAUCACAUCAUUCUCCUAAUGAUGUGAUCUCGUUAUCAAUGACAUCCAAUGUCCAUAGUCAGGAAACCAUGACUAUCUGUUGAUCAACGAGCUAGUCAACUAGAGGCUUACUAGGGACAUGUUGGUGUCUAUUUAUUCGCACAUGUAUUACGAUUUCCUGAUAACACAAUUAUAGCAUGAAUAAAAUACAAUUAUCAUGAACAAGGUAAUAUAAUAAUAAUGCUUUUAUCAUUGCCUCUAGGGCGUAUUUCCAACAGUCUGCCGCUUGCACUAGAGUCAAUAAUCUAGUUACAUUGUGAUGAAUCGAACACCCAUGGAAUUCUGGUGUUGAUCAUGUUUUGCUCUAGGGAGAGGUUUAGUCAACGGAUCUGCUACAUUCAGGUCCGUAUGUACUUUACAAAUAUCUAUGUCUCCAUCUUGAACAUUUUCACGAAUGGAAUUGAAUCGACGCUUGAUGUGCCUGGUCUUCUUGUGAAACCUGGGCUCCUUGGCAAGUGCAAUAGCUCCAGUGUUGUCACAGAAGAGUUUGAUUGGCCCCGACGCAUUGGGUAUGACUCCUAGGUCAGUGAUGAACUCCUUCACCCAAAUUGCUUCAUGCGCUGCCUCAGAGGCUGCCAUGUACUCCGCUUCACAUGUAGAUCCCGCAGCGACGCUCUGCUUGCAAUUGCACCAGCUUACUGCCCCACCAUUCAAAAUAUACACUUAUCCGGUUUGUGACUUAGAGUCAUCCAGAUCUGUGUCGAAGCUAGCAUCGAUGUAACCCUUUACGACGAGCUCUUCGUCACCUCCAUAAACGAGAAACAUUUCCUUAGUCCUUUUCAGGUACUUCAGGAUAUUCUUCACCGCUGUCCAGUGUUCCUUGCCGGGAUUACUUUGGUACCUACCUACCAAACUUACGGCAAGGUUUACAUCAGGUCUGGUACACAGCAUGGCAUACAUAAUAGAACCUAUGGCUGAGGCAUAGGGGAUGACACUCAUCUCUUCUAUAUCUUCUGCCGUGGUCGGACAUUGAGCUGAGCUCAAUUUCACACCUUGCAACACAGGCAAGAACCCCUUCCUAGACUGAUCCAUAUUGAACUUCUUCAAUAUCUUAUCAAGGUAUGUACUUUGUGAAAGACCUAUGAGGCGUCUUGAUCUAUCUCUAUAGAUCUUGAUGCCUAAUAUAUAUGCAGCUUCUCCAAGGUCCUUCAUUGAAAAACUCUUAUUCAAGUAGGCCUUAAUGUUGUCCAAGAGUUCUAUAUCAUUUUCCAUCAAAAGUAUGUCAUCUACAUAUAAUAUGAGAAAUGCUACAGAGCUCCCACUCACUUUCUUGUAAACGCAGGCUUCUCCAUAAGUCUGCGUAAACCCAAACACUUUGAUCAUCUCAUCAAAGCGAAUGUUCCAACUCCGAGAUGCUUGCACUAGCCCAUAAAUCGAGGGUUGGAGCUUGCACACCUUGUCAGCAUUCUUAGGAUCGACAAAACCUUCCGGCUGCAUCAUAUACAAUUCUUCCUUAAGGAAACCAUUAAGGAAUGCCGUUUUGACGUCCAUUUUCCAUAUCUCAUAAUCAUAGAAUGCGGCAAUUGCUAACAUGAUUCGGACGGACUUUAGCUUCGCUACCGGUGAGAAAGUCUCAUCGUAGUCAACCCCUUGAACUUGUCGAUAACCCUUAGUGAAAAGCCGAGCUUUAUAGAUGGUCACAUUACCAUCCGCAUCUGUCUUCUUCUUAAAGAUCCAUUUAUUUUCUAUGGCUCGCCGCUCAACGGGCAAGUCAGUCAAAGUCCAUACUUUUUUUUCAUACAUGGAUCCUAUCUCGGAUUUCAUGGCUUCUAGCCAUUUGUCAGAAUCCGGGCCCGUCAGCGCUUUUUCAUAGUUCGGAGGUUCACCAUUGUCUAACAACAUGAUUUCCAAGACAGGGUUGCCGUACCACUCUGGUGCGGAACGUGUCCUUGUGGACCUACGAAGUUCAGUAGCAACUUGAUCCGAAGUUUCAUGAUCAUCUUCAUUAAUUUCCUCUCUAGUCGGUGCAGGCACCUCAGGAACAUUUUCUUGAGUUGUGCCAUUUUCCGGUUCAAGAGGUAAUACUUCAUCAAGUUCUACUUUCCUCCCACUUACUUCUUUCGAGAGAAACUCCUUCUCUAGAAAGGAUCCAUUCUUGGCAACAAAGAUCUUUGCCUUCGGAUCUGAGGUAGAAGGUAUACCCAAUAGUUUCUUUAGGGUAUCCUAUGAAGACGCAUUUUUCCGACUUGGGUUCGAGCUUUUCAGGUUGAAGUUUCUUGACAUAAGCAUCGCAUCCCCAAACUUUUAGAAACUAUAGCUUAGGUUUCUUCCCAAACCAUAAUUCAUACGGUGUCGUCUCAACGGAUUUCGACGGAGCCCUAUUUAAAGUGAAUGCGGCAGUCUGUAAAGCAUAGCCCCAAAAUAAUUGCGGUAAUUCGGUAAGAGUGAUCAUAGAUCGCACCAUAUCUAAUAGAGUGCGAUUACGACAUUCAGACACACCAUUACGCUGAGGUGUUCCAGGCGGCGUCAGUUGUGAAACUAUUCCACAUUUUCUUAAGUGUGUGCCAAAUUCGUGACUCAAGUAUUCUCCUCCAUGAUCUGAUCACAAGAACUUGAUUUUCCUGUCACGUUCAUUCUCAACCUCACUCUAAAAUUCCUUGAACUUUUCAAAGGUCUCAGACUUGUGUUUCAUUAAAUAGACAUACCCAUAUCUACUCAAGUCAUCAGUGAGGGUGAGAACAUAACGAUAGCCACCGCGAGCCCCAGCACUCAUUGGACCGCACGCAUCAGUAUGUAUGAUUUUCAAUAAGUUGGUUGCUCGCUCCAUUGUUCCUGAGAACAGAGUCUUGGUCAUUUUACCCAUGAGGCAUGGUUCGCACGUGUCAAAUGAUUCGUAAUCAAGAGACUCUAGAAGUCCAUCUGCAUGGAGCUUCUUCAUGCGUUUGACACCUAUGUGACCAAGGCGGCAGUGCCACAAGUAUGUGGGACUAUUAUUAUCAACCUUACAUCUUUUGGUAUUCACACUAUGAAUAUGUGUAGCAUUACGCUCGAGAUUCAUUAAGAAUAAACCAUUCACCAUCGGAGCAUGACCAUAAAACAUAUCUCUCAUAUAAAUAGAACAACCAUUAUUCUCGGAUUUAAAUGAGUAGCCAUCUCGUAUUAAACGAGAUCCUGAUACAAUGUUCAUGCUCAAACUUGGCACUAAAUAACAAUUAUUGAGGUUCAAAACUAAUCCCGUAGGUAAAUGUAGAGGUAGCGUGCCGACGGCGAUCACAUCGACCUUGGAACCAUUCCCGACGCGCAUCGUCACCUCGUCCUUCGCCAGUCUCCGCUUAUUCCGCAGCUCCUGCUUUGAGUUACAAAUGUGAGCAACUUCACCGGUAUCAAAUACCCAAGAGCUACUACAAGUACUGGUAAGGUACACAUCAAUUACAUGUAUAUCACAUAUACCUUUAUGAUGCCGGCCUUCUUGUCCGCUAAGUAUUUGGGGCAGUUCCGCUUCCAGUGACCACUUCCCUUGCAAUAAAAGCACUCAGUCUCGGGCUUGGGUCCAUUCUUUGGCUUCUUCCCGGCAGCUUGCUUGCCGGGCGCGGCAACUCCCUUGCCGUCCUUCUUGAAGUUCUUCUUACCCUUGCCUUUCUUGAACUUAGUGGUUUUAUUCACCAUCAACACUUGAUGUUCCUUUUUGACUUCUACCUCUGCUUAUUUCAGCAUUGCAAAUACUUCAGGAAUGGUCUUUUCCAUCCCCUGCAUAUUGAAGUUCAUCACAAAGCUCUUGUAGCUUGGUGGAAGCGACUAGAGGAUUCUCUCAAUGGCCGCGUCAUUUGGGAGAUUAACUCCCAGCUGAGUCAAGCGGUUAUGUAACCCAGACAUAGUGAGUAUGUGCUCACUGACAGAACUAUUUUCCUCCAUCUUACAGCUGAAUAACUUGUCGGAGACUUCAUAUCUCUCGACCCUGGCAUGAGCUUGAAAAACCAUUUUCAGCUCUUCGAACAUCUCAUAUGCUCCGUGUCUCUCAAAAUGCUUUUGGAGCCCCGGCUCUAAGCUGUAAAGCAUGCGGCACUGAACGAGGGAGUAAUCAUCGGAACGUGUCUGCCAAGCGUUCAUAACGUCUUGUUCUGCAGGGAGAACAGGUGCUUCACCUAGCGGUGCUUGUAGGACAUAAUCUUUCUUGGCAGCUAUGAGGAUGAUCCUCAGGUUCCGGACCCAGUCCGUAUAGUUCCUGCCAUCAUCUUUCAGCUUGGUUUUCUCUAGGAACGCGUUGAAGUUGAGGACAACAUUGGUCAUUUGAUCUACAAGACAUAUUGUAAAUAUUUUAGACUAAGUUCAUGAUAAUUAAGUUCAUCUAAUCAAAUUAUUCAGUGAACUCCCACUUAGAUAGACAUCCCUCCAGUCAUCUAAGUAUAACAUGAUCCGAGUUAACUAGGCCGUGUCCGAUCAUCACGUGAGACGGACUAGUCAACAUCGGUGAACAUCUUCAUGUUGAUCGUAUCUUCUAUACGACUCAUGCUCGACCUUUCGGUCUUCUAUGUUCCGAGGCCAUGUCUAUACAUGCUAGGCUCGUCAAGUCAACCUAAGUGUUUGCAUGUGUAAAUCUGUCUUACACCCGUUGUAUGUGAACGUUGGAAUCUAUCAUACCCGAUCAUCACGUGGUGCUUCGAAACAACGAACUGUCGCAACGGUGCACAGUUAGGGGGAACAUUUUCUUGAAAUUAUUAUGAGGGAUCAUCUUAUUUACUACCGUCGUUCUAAGUAAACAAGAUGCAAAAACAUGAUAAACAUCACAUGCAAUAAUAAUAGUGACAUGAUAUGGCCAAUAUCACAUAGCUCCUUUGAUCUCCAUCUUGGGGCUCCAUGAUCAUCUUGUCACCGGCAUGACACCAUGAUCUCCAUCAUCAUCGUGUCUCCAUGAAGUUGCUCGCCAACUAUUACUUCUACUACUAUGGCUAACACGUUUAGCAAUAAAGUAAAGUAAUUUACAUGGCGUUUCUCAAUGACACGCAGGUCAUACAAAAAAAUAAAGACAACUCCUAUGGCUCCUGCCGGUUGUCAUACUCAUCGACAUGCAAGUCGUGAUUCCUAUUACAAUAGCAUGAACAUCUCAUACGUCACAUAUAUAUCAUUCAUCAUUCAUCACAACUUUGGCCAUAUCACAUCACAAAACACUUGCUGCAAAAACAAGUUAGACGUCCUCUAAUUGUUGUUGCAAGUUUUACGUGGCUGAAAUAGGGUUCUAGCAAGAAUGUUUUCUUACCUACGUGAAAGCCACAACGUGAUUUGUCAACUUCUAUUUACCCUUCAUAAGGACCCUUUUCAUCGAAUCCGCUCCAACUAAAGUGGGAGAGACAGACACCCGCCAACCACCUUAUGCAACUAGUGCAUGUUAGUCGGUGGAACCGGUCUCACAUAAGCGUACGUGUAAGGUUGGUCCGGGCCGCUUUAUCCCACAAUACCGCUGAAGCAAAAUAAGACUAGUAGCGGCAAGAAAGUUGACAACAUCUACGCCCACAACAAAUUAUGUUCUACUCGUGCAAAGAGAACUACACAUAGACCUAGCUCAUGAUGCCACUGUUGGGGAACGUUGCAGAAAACAAAAAAAUUCCUACGGUUUCACCAAGAUCCAUCUAUGAGUUCAUCUAGCAAGGAGUGAUCGGAUGCAUCUACAUACCUUGUAGAUCAUGAGCGGAAGCGUUCAAAGAACGGGGAUGAGGGAGUCGUACUCGACGUGAUCCAAAUCACCGGAGAUCCUAGCGCCGAACGGACGGCACCUCCGCGUUCAACACACGUACGGUCAGCGUGACGUCUCCUCCUUCUUGAUCCAGCAAGGGGAAGGAGAGGUUGAGGAAGAUGGCUCCAGCAGCAGCACGACGGCGUGAUGGUGGUGGAGAAGCAGUACUCCGACUAGGCUUCGCCGAGCUCUACGGAGGAGGAGGAGGUGUUGGAGGGGAGAGGGAGGCGCCAAGGGCAUGGGUGCGGCUGCCCUCCCUCCCCCCUCUAUAUAUAGGGUCCCCAAGGGGGGCGCCGGCCCUGGAGAUCCAAUCUCCCAAGGGGCGGCGGCCAAGGGGGGUGGAGUGCCCCCCAAGGCAAGUGGGGCGCCCCCCACCCUAGGGUUCCCAACCCUAGGAGCAGGGGGAAGGCCCAAGGGGGGCGCACCAGCCCACUAGGGGCUGGUUCCCCUCCCACUUCAGCCCAUGGGGCCCUCCGGGAUAGGUGGCCCCACCCGGUGGACCCCCGGGACCCUUCCGGUGGUCCCGGUACAAUACCGGUGACCCCGAAACUUGUCCCGAUUGCCGAAAUAGCACUUCCUAUAUAUAAUUCUUUACCUCCGGACCAUUCCGGAACUCCUUGUGACGUCCAGGAUCUCAUCCGAGACUCCUAACAACUUUCGGGUUACUGCAUAUUCAUAUCCCUACAACCCUAGCGUCAUCGAACCUUAAGUGUGUAGACCCUACGGGUUUGGGAGACAUGUAGACAUGACCGAGAUGGCUCUCCGGUCAAUAACCAACAAUGGGAUCUAGAUACCUAUGUUGGCUCCCACAUGCUCCUCGAUGAUCUCAUCGGAUGAACCACGAUGUCGAGGAUUCAAGCAACCCCGUAUACAAUUCCCUUUGUCAAUCGGUACGUUACUUGCCCGAGAUUCGAUCGUCGGUACAAUACCUCGUUCAAUCUCGUUACCGGCAAGUCACUUUACUCGUACUGUAAUGCAUGAUCCCGUGACCAGACACUUGGUCACUUUGAGCUCAUUGUGAUGAUGCAUUACCGAAUGGGCCCAGAGAUACCUCUCCGUCAUACGGAGUGACAAAUCCCAGUCUUGAUCCGUGUCAACCCAACAGACACUUUCGGAGAUACCUGUAGUAUACCUUUAUAGUCACCCAGUUACGUUGUGACGUUUGGUACACCCAAAGCACUCCUACGGUAUCCGGGAGUUACACGAUCUCAUGGUCUAAGGAAAGGAUACUUGACAUUGGAAAAACUCUAGCAAACGAACUAUACAAUCUUGUGCUAUGUUUAGGAUUGGGUCUUGUCCAUCACAUCAUUCUCCUAAUGAUGUGAUCUCGUUAUCAAUGACAUCCAAUGUCCAUUGUCAGGAAACCAUGACUAUCUGUUGAUCAACGAGCUAGUCAACUAGAGGCUUACUAGGGACAUGUUGGUUUCUAUUUAUUCACACAUGUAUUACGAUUUCCGGAUAACACAAUUAUAGCAUGAAUAAAAGACAAUUAUCAUGAACAAGGAAAUAUAAUAAUAAUGCUUUUAUUAUUGCCUCUAGGGCAUAUUUCCAACACUCAAUUCCAUUUUUUAUAGUUUUCUUUUAUAAACUAAACUAGUGAUAAAACAAGAAACAAAAAGAUUCGACUUCAAGAUCUAAAGAUAUACCUUCAAGCGCUAACCUCCCCGGAACGGCGCCAGAAAAGAGCUUGAUGUCUACUACACAACCUUCUUCUUGUAGACGUUGUUGGGCCUCCAAGUGCAGAGGUUUGUAGGAUAGUAUAAAAUUUCCCUCAAGUGGAUGACCUAAGGUUUAUCAAUCCAUAGGAGGCGUAGGAUAAAUAUGGUCUCUCUCAAGCAACCCUGCAACCAAAUAACAUGGAGUCUCUUGUGUCCCCAACACACCCAAUACAAUGGUAAAUUGUAUAGGUGCACUAGUUCGGCGAAGAGAUGGUGAUACAAGUGGUAUAUUGAUGGUAGAUAAAGGUUUUUGUAAUCUGAAAAUAUAAAUACAGCAAAGUAACUAAUGAUAAAAGUGAGCGUACACGCUAUUGCAAUGCUAGGAAAAAAGGCCUAGGGUUCAUACUUUCACUAGUGCAAGUUCCCUCGACAAUAAUAACAUAAUUGAAUCACAUAAUUAUCCCUCAACAUGCAACAAAGUGUCACUCCAAAGUCACUAAUAGUGGAGAACGAACGAAGAGAUUAUGGUAGGGUAUGAAACCACCUCAAAGUUAUUCUUUCCAAUCAAUCCGUUGGGCUAUUCCUAUAAGUGUCACAAACAACCCUAGAGUUUGUACUAGAAUAACACCUUAAGACACAAAUCAACCAAAACCCUAAUGUCACCUAGAUACUCCAAUGUCACCUCAAGUAUCCGUGGGUAUGAUUAUACGAUAUGCAUCACACAAUCUCAGAUUCAUCUAUUCAACCAACACAUAGAACCUCAAAGAGUGCCCUAAAGUUUCUAUCGGAGAAUCACGACGAAACCGUGUGCCAACCCCUAUGCAUAGGUUCAUGGGAGGAACCCGCAAGUUGAUCACCAAAACAUACAUCAAGAGAAUCACGUGGUAUCCCAUUGUCACCACAGAUACGCAUGGCAAGACAUACAUCAAGUGUUCUCAAAUCUUUAAAGACUCAAUCCGAUAAGAUAACUUCAAAGGGAAAACUCAAUCCAUUACAAGAGAGUAGAGGGGGGAGAAAACAUCAUAAGAUCCAACUAUAAUAGCAAACUCACAAUACAUCAAGAUCGUACCACCUCAAGAACACGAGAGAGAGAGAGAGAGAGAGAGAGAGAGAGAGAGAGAGAGAUCAAACACAUAGCUACUGGUACAUACCCUCAGUCCCGAGGGAGAACUACUCCCUCCUCGUCAUGGAGAGCAUCGGGAUGAUGAAGAUGACCACCGAAGAGGGAUUCCCCCUCCGGCAGGGUGCUGGAACGGGUCUCGAUUGUCUUUCGGUGGCAACGAAGGCUUCUGGCGGCAGAACUUCCGAUCUAUUGUGAUCCCCGAUCGUUUUAGGGUAUAUGGGUAUAUAUAGGAGGAAGAAGUACGUCAGGGGAGCCACGAGGGGCCCAUGAGGGUCGAGGGCGUGCCCAGGGGGGUGGGCGCGCGCCCCUACCUCGUGGCUUCCUCGAAGCUUCCUUGACGUGGACUCCAAGUCUCCCGGGUUGCUUUCCUUCCAAAAAUAAGUUCCGUGAAGUUUCAAGUCAAUUGGACUCCGUUUGAUUUUCCUUUUCUGCGAUACUCUAAAACAAGGAAAAAAAAGAAGCUGGCACUGGGUUCUAGGUUAAUAGGUUAGUCCCAAAAAAUCAUAUAAAAUAGCAUAUAAAUGCAUAUGAAACAUCCAAGGUUGAUAAUAUAAUAGCAUGGAACAAUCAAAAAUUAUAGAUACGUUGGAGACGUGUCAACGCCGCGUGGGUCGGGCAUCGUGAGCUUACGGUAGGCAUAAUGUGGUACCGCGUUGAAUUGAGCGAACGCGGUUCGUCUGAGUAGUGCCUGAUAAUCACUGCGAAAGGGGACGAUGUCGAAGAUUAACUCUUCGGCACGGUAAUUGUCUGGUGAUCCGGAGACUACUUCAAGGGCGAAGGAGCCUGUACAGCUGGCCUCCAUACCUGGUAUGAUACCUCUGAAGGUGGUUUUAGUGGGAUUGAUCACCGAAUGAUCGAUGACCAUCUUGCGCACUGUGUCCUAGUAAAGUAGGUUUAGACUGCUCCCUCCGUCCAUAAGGACUCGCGUGAGGUGGAACCCGUCAAUUAUUGGGUCGAGGACUAGUGCGGCUGGAUUGCCCUGAUUGGUGUUAACCGGACGAUCCGUGCGGUUGAAGGUGAUCGGCCCUAGUUUAUAUUGUGGGACGACUGGUUCCGUUAAGUCGACAUCCCUAAGGGUGUGCGUCCGGUCCGGGUUGGGAGUGUAGGUGCCGUUUACUACGUUCACCGUUUGGAUUUGCGGGGGAAAUUUCUUUUGCCCUCCUGUACUCGAUGAUCUGGGCUCCUCGUCGCCAUCGUCGCUUUGAGACCCCUUAUCUUUGUUUUUGGCACCUGACCUGCCGGCUUGUUUGAAGAUCCAGCAUUCUCUGUUGGUAUGAUUGGCUGGUGUUCAUGCGGUGCCAUGAAUUUGGCAUGGGCGGUUGAGUAUGCGGUACAGGCUGGACGGACCCGAAUUUGGCAUGGGAGGGGAAAGCCAGGGUUCGUCCCGUUCGGGUUCGACCCGACCGAGCCACAAACAACGACCGAGCUGGGUGGGCCCGAGUCAGUGGCGUGGCGCGCGCGGGUAUGCCACCAUGUCACCUGACACGUGGGCCCGCUCGGUUAGAUUCAUGGUCAAUACGUGCUUAUACGGCUGUCAAACCGUUUUGCAACACUUAGGCUUAGAGCUGGUACUGAAUUGCAAAAAUUGUGUCUAAUGGUACUGAUUCGUUACGACGUGCCGAAGUGUAGUAGUUUCUUGCAAUUAACUCAAACUCUACGGUUAUAUCACCUCGAUGUGUGAGUCAAUGUGUUUGAACCAAUCAAGAGUUGCAUGUGAAUGUUUCAAGUGUGAUUAAUAGGUCCGUGUUAUAACAGCCACACCUUGCGAAAGAAGAUAGCAAACACCCAAUCAUGUCUAGUAGUUCGAUAUGGGCGCAACUAUGGGUAGCUUAUAGCGACACGGAAGCCAGCGUUUCCUAAAGAAACUCUCGGUUGGGCCGCCCUAGAGACAAAUUAUUUUUCUCUCAUUUUUUCUUAAUAUUAUUUAUUUCUAUUUUAAAAAAUAAAAGUAAAUAUAUUCCACAAACAAAUACUGAAAUUCUGAAAAAAUGUUGGUCCAUUGUUAAAAAAAUAUUGAUAGCAUUAAACAAAUCAUGGUAACAAAAUAAUCUACACAUAUUUAAAAAAUUGUACGUGAAAUUAUAAUGAAUGUUAAAUUUGUUUAAAAAUGUUCCUAAUGUAAUGUACAACAUGAAACAAAUUAUACAUCAAAACAUAUAUUUGAAAAUUGUUAAUUGUUUAUUUGAAAAAUGUUAAAUGUGUAUAGAAAAAAAGGUUCCUGAUAUAUAAGACAAAUGCAUGAAGUACAUGCAAUUUUUUUUACAUCCAAAGAUAUAUUUUAAAAAUAUUAAUCAUGUAUUUUAAAACUGUUAAAUGUUUAUAGAGAAAAAAUGCUCCUGAUGCAUACGAAACAAUUUCCAAUGUGUAUGAAAAAAUUAGACAUGAAAUAAGUAUUUUAAAAAAAAAUUAAUGAUUCUAUUUAAAAAUAUUUCUCAUGUAGAUGGAAAGAAAACUCGACUUAAAAAAGACUCAAAAAGAAAAAGAACGUACAGAGAGCAAAUUAGAAACAACUGAGUGAACUAGCGAUAUGCGAGAACACGUUAAUGGUCCAGCCCAUACAUGAGGACUCCAGAGGUGAGCCUGAAUAGGUGUGAUAUAGCUAUGACGAUUUGACACCCUUCAUAGCUUCACGAAUGCUAUAUCUCGCGCAAAGCGAGAUUAGCAUUUGCCACGCCUGAAGGUGCAAGAAUAGCAUCAGGUCGUUGUAAGGUUUGCAAUCCUACCAUCAGAGCUUCUAUCCGAUUUAAAUCAUGUUUCUGGCAACCUUGGGUCAUUCGCUCGCGCUCAAGCCAUUCGCUCACAGGUUCCACACACUAGUUUGGUUACUUUUUUUUCUUAUUUUCUUUCUUCACCGGUUUUCUUUCAUUUUUUGAAAAAAAAAAUUCAUCGGUUUUCUUUGUGUCUUUCAUGUUUUACUCUUGUUUUCCUUUUUUACUCGUUUAUCUAUCCUUUUUUUUCUUUGUUUCUUUCUCAGUGUUCUUUGUUUAGGGUUUAGGGAUUUCUUUGUUUUCCUUUCUUUUAAUGUCAACCUUUUGACAUAUAUUUUUUGUAUAUAUCAAAAAUAUUUUUGAUAGAGAGGUUUAACAGUUUUCAAAUACAUGAUUACCCUUUUUAAAGUUAUAUUUUUUGACAUCUACUUGUUCCAUAAACAUAGUGAUGGGGUUAUACAUAAGGGAUGGGCCCAAGUACACAUAUGUCCCAGCCAAAGGCCCAGGGUAUUCAAGGAUACGGUCCCAAAGACAAUGGGGCAUUGGAGAUACAAGCCCAAGGCAUCAGAUACAAGGGGAAUACUCGCUAAGGAGUCAAGUGUCUAUAGUCGGAUUACACACCCCCUGACAGACAAGACUCAAUAGUCGGUCAUGAGAAAGAUAUGAGCAGUAAGAUCAUCUACAGUCGGACAUCAGCAAGAUAGGAGCAGUCGGACCAUCUACAGUCGGCUACGUCCUAGGAUGAUGUGACCCUCAUGAUGCAUUCAUCGCCGUUACAUAACUGACUAGUUAAAUACGCCAGUUAGUAUUAAUAAUAGCCACGAACAGUCGAUCAUGCAUGUGACCAUCAAUAGUAUUUACACCAGCCUGUUAUGGCACUCCCUCCUAGCGCACUCCAUAUAAGACAAGAGUAGGACAUCACACGGAGGGUUGAACUCUCUCACAUUGUAACCUACGCCAAGAGCGAGAUCACACAGGAGUAGGGCGUUACCAACACCAUAGAGGGCCCAAACCUAUAUAAUUCCUUGUGUUUAAUCCCAUCUGCUUUACAUACCAAUUAGCUUAUAAUUGCCUCUACAUUCACAUCACCAUAGUAUUGUCAUGGUUAUAUCCAUGACAAGAACUAAUUUUUUUUACAUUAUAUAUAAAAAAAUAAUAUUUUUAGAUGCAUGGUUUCUUCCAUACACAUUAUACAUGUUUGUAUACAUAUCAGGACCAUUUAUAUAUACACAUUAAAAAAACUAAUUACAUGAUUACUUUUUUUAAAAUGUAUACUUUUAUGUCUAAUAUUUUCAUACAUACUGUACAUUUUUUGUACAUCAGGAACCUUUUUAUAUUUACAUUUAACAUUUUCAAAUACAUAAUUAAUAUUUUUUACACAUAUAUUUUUAUAUCUACUUUUCCCUUAAACAUUAUACAUUUUUUUAUACAUCAGGAACAUUUUUUAUAUACCAAUUCAACAGUUUUGAAAUACAUGAUUAACAUGUCUCAUAUAUAUGUUUGUGUCUAUUUUUUCAUACAAAAUAUACAGUUUUUUAUUAAUUAGAAACAUGUUUCUGUACAUGUUUAAUAUUUUCUUAUAAUGCGCAAUUAACAUUUUCAACUUUUCUGUAUAAAGUGAAUUUUACAAUAGAUAUAUUCAGAAUAUUUCAUAAAAAAGGCAAAGUAAAAAAACAAAAAAAAUGCAAAUAUGUGUAAAAGGAAGGAAGAAACCGUAGAAGGCAUGUGUAGGCGCUGUGGCGGCCCAAUAGGUCUGCUGCACAUCCUACUAUCUUGUGUCAAUCGAGACAUAGGCUUGCCCUCUUAAGGAGCAACUAACCAACGGUUACCCCUUGGCGAGCUCCUGCAAGGGUCAUUGUUGUGGUAUGAGAGCACGCCAAGUGGUCCGUCCAACUGCUGUCACAUGUCGUGUGUUAGGUGCUUCCUGUGGAUUUCAUUUUCAUUUUUUAUUUUUUGUACGCGUUUUCGGGUUUCUGAUUGUCUUUUCAAUGGGUUUUGGAUUUCUGCUUUUUCCAUGGUUUUCUCUAGAUCAUGAAAGAAAAAUAUCUUUUUAUUUUCUUAUGAAGCACAACCCUGCUUCUAAAAAAACAAUUUUAUGCUUUCACGAGAAGCACAAUUUUUGUUUCUCAUGUAAUCACAAAAUUGCUUGCAGCAGGCGCACCACAUGUGCUUCCAUGAUUAGCAUAGCUAUGCUUCCACGCGAAUCAAAUAUGUGCUUAUGCUACAAGCACAACCUAUGCUUCCAUAUGCUUCUCGAAAAGAGAAAAGGCACACCCUGUGUUUUCACGAGAAGUACAUUUGUGCAUCCCUGAGAACUGUAGCCUUGCUUCCGUGAGAAGCACAGUCUAUCUAUUACCUAAUAUUAAAAGAUAGAAGAUCUCAUAGUUCUCCAUCAGUCACCUCUUCAUAAACCGUUGGUUUUGUGUUAAUCUUAUAGAUUGACGGCCGAGAUUUAAAAAUAGAUUUGCACAGGAAAAAAAAGAUCCGCAUUGACGAUCCAUCGUAGGUAUCCAUCCAUCCAACUUUCUUUGUUCUGCCCACAUCACGCUUGGUAAAAAAAGAAAAAAAAUCAGAAACCCAUCGAUGCACGAUUGAGUAAGCCGGGAUAAAAAACAGCUCAAUAAAAUAUGGCCAGCCACGCGCGAUCUUAGGAGAAAAAUUGUUUGCCACAUGAUCUAUCUCCUAGCUACGCCGAUCCUCAACGGCGAUCAUGCCAAGAUGUUCGCCAGGAUCCGCAACUCCGUCGACCACUCGGGUGACAUGCCACAGCGACACAACAGGGCAGCAGCGAGUGACAUGGCCGGCUUGCCGGGCCGCGCGCUCUCCGGCUCCAGGUGCGCGCGGCACACCAGACAUGACGCACAUCCAGGUAGUAAUGCAACUGCCCUCGAAGAAGUGAUGCCGGCAUUACACGCACCGCGUUGAGGUUCUGCAGCCACACACUCCACCGACGUUGCCCUCGCCUUGCAGCCGCUCUUCCUCUUACAACUGGUGCUCCUGCAGCCAGUGGCGGAGACAGGGGGGACCAGCAGGGCCCUGGCCCCCCCUAACAGCAGAGAUAUAGUGCUAAUUUGCAGAUGAAUAGUGCUAAAAUUAGUGAUUAAUUUCUGUCAAAUGCAUGUUUUUCAUUGGCUUGGCCCUCCCUAAGCAGUUUUAACAUCAUUCGGCCUGGUUGAUACAAUUUUCCUGGCUCCGCCAUUGCCUCCAACUGCCCCAGCUACCCUGGGGCUGGGGCGACGAUGUCGGCGCCUCGCGCGCUCUGUAGGUGAAGGUGGGGAGCGCGGGGAUGUCCUUGAUGCUCGGCCUGAGGUGGGUUGCCAGAGGCGGGUCGUCGCCGGUGCGGUGGAGCUUGCGCCACUCAGACAAGAGCGACCGGCCAUAGCGGACGGCCACGUACAAUACGACACUGACAAGGACAAUGAUGAUGAUGUACAACAGCAUCAGGAAGGAGAACAACAUGCUCGUCCUUAGGGGACAUGCGCCGACGCGUCCGGCACUCCGACGCAAUGGUGGUGUAUGCGCCGGUCAACAUGCAGUCCAUGCACACGUCGUCAUGGGCGGUGGCGACUCGGCCUACAUCUCCCUCCUGCCCUAUCGGUUCGCCAUUCUCCCGAGCGUCCACAACGCACACUCGCCGGUGGCCGCCACUCUAGAAGUCGAGUCUAGACCGUUCGCCCCAGGGAUCGUAGCUCAGCGCUCAUGGAGCCCUGCUCCAGUGCUCCCCCUAACCUAAUUUUGAAGGAGUAUUUUUGUCCCCGCAAAUUUGUUUUUUUUCUGGCCCGCCGCCGCCCAGAUCCAAGCCCUGUCUAGUCCUGUAUAACCCAGAACGUAUACGUACAGUACCCUGGUUCGAAAAAAAAAACAUCACACGACCCCACGUCCACGUAAGACCUGCCGAAUCCAAUCAUUCACACGAGCAGCUCCAUCAAUCUUGCGAGCAUUGACGCAGCUCCAUAAGUCACGUAGUAGAUCUCCAGCGGCGGCUAUCUCGUCGCCGGCGAUCUCGUCGGACAGCGGGCGCGACAACGUCGUGAAUCUCUAACGAGCGCGCACAGGUACCGCAUCCCGCGUCCCCCCUCUAGUCUCGCUCGCGGCAACAUCGAACGAACUGCCGCCGCCAGUGGUAGUGGUUAACCUAGCGGGGCGGGUAACCUAGCUACCUGGCGGCGCAUGUGAUCGUGGAUCUUGUUCCGGUAGUGCUGCUCCUCGUGAUCUGGGUUCACGUAGCGUCGGUUGCCGUCGGCUGUGCGCACCACUGGUAUCGUUAUUUGAUGUGGCGGCUAACCUAGGUAUCCGACGGCAGAGGUAAUCACAGAUCAAGCUAGGUUUUGAGAUCGUGCAGUUCCUCGCGAUUGAAAGUGAUCGCGACGGGUGCCGUGGCCAUCUUCCUUACUAAGUUGGGCAGAUCUGAACGGCCUCGGUUGCGGUUGUUUACAUAACAUCCGUGAUCGUGUGCUAUGUGUUUUAUAUUUCAUCAUUGAUAAUGUUUGCACAUGUGAUGAUACAUAAUAUUGGUUGUAGGAAAUGGCGGACGAGGAGUUAACUGAUAUCAUGGUAGACAUGGAGUUUGGAGAACUGAUGAAAGACUGGAUAGAAGAUUGGUCAGAUGAUGAAAAUUCAGAUCGUGAAGAUCGGUCAGAGAAUGGGAACGAAUGGGACGAUCUUAUUGUGAGUGGCAUUGUCAUGUUGUAAUUUUUUGGUGGCAUCCGACAACAUUAAAUCUUUGUGUUGAAAAUUUAUAGAUCGAUGAGCUUGAUGAUGAUCAGGAAAACAACUCAGAGCUCUCGAAUGAAGAUUACAUUAGUCAGGUACGUAAGUGAAAAAGAUUGUUGGCAUGCAAAUUGAAUUUCUUCUGGAAUAUUAUAUGAUAAGUAAUUAUGUAUUUGUGUUGUAUUUUUCAGUUCAUUCUCGAAUGUCAUAAUGCGUAUGACUAUUACGGUGAAUCCGACGCGGAGACAGGCCUUAACAACGAAUCAUUAGAUGCACCUGGUUCUGGGGAGUCCGAGUCGUCGGUCAUCAUGAGUGAGGUAUGUGUGUAAUCAAUGUUCUAUGGAAGUAAGUAAUGUUAAACCUUAGAAAUAUGUUUUCAUGGUUGUGGUUUGAUUGUGUAGGUGACACAAAAUGAUGGGGCAAAGAAUGUCCAAGAUACUGCCAGUGCAGAUGAUAAGAGGGAUAUGUUCAUGCAGAUAAUGGAAAUGACCUUUAUGUCUCACGAUGCUGCGUAUGAUUUCUACAACAGCUAUGCUAGAGAUAAUGGUUUCAGCAUUAGAAAGAAUAAGGUCAGGUAUAGCAAAACAGAGUCACGUCAUAUGCGUUAUAGGCGGUUUGUUUGUUCAAGACAAGGGAAACGUGACAGCAAGUUGCUAACCGAGGAAGGACACAGCCGUAGGCUCAGAGCCGAGACACGCUGCUUUUGCGAAGCGCACCUGACCGUCAAGCUUGACCAAAAGCAUGGGGUUUGGUAUGUUGAAAGUUUUGAGGACAAGCAUAGCCAUAUGUUGGCAGGACCGGACGAGGUACCUUUUCUUUGGUCCCACAGAAAAAUCAAAGAGUACCAGAAGCAUGAGAUAAUGUCCACGGCUCGGAGAGCUCGGGAAUCCGGACAUAGUUGGUCCUCAAGAUAGAGGAAAGGUCGCGACAUUGUUCCUCCACCACUGCAAUAUGAUGGGUGACCGGUGGAGAGUUAAUCUCCCUUUGAUCGGGUUUAAGCCCAAUCCGAUCAUAGUCCGUAGCGACUCCCAAGGCGGCGAUGCGAUCCAAGAGCUCGUUUAAGGGGGCGAGCUCCAUUGGAUCCAUCUGUUCGGCGAGUGCCGAUUUGACGUGGAGGCUGUUUUCGAUGACCCGAGAAGUCAUCAUCGGCUCGGCGGCCGAACAUGCGGUCAUGAUGAAACCGCCUAGCCGGAGAGUUUGGCCGACAACCAAAGCUCCCCCAACAGUAGUACCGUCUUUAAAGACGAGACGAGACAUUCUUCCUUCUGGCAACGACACAGAGGAACUCUCAAUGAAAGCUUCAAUGUCGGUGUCAAAACCAGCGGAUCUCGGGUAGGGGGUCCCGAACUAUGCGUCUAAGGCGGAUGGUAACAGGAGGCAGGGAACACGAUGUUUUACCUAGGUUCGGGCCCUCUUGAUGGAGGUAAAGCCCUAUGUCCUGCUUGAUUAAUAUUGAUGAUAUGGGUAGUACAAGAGUAGAUCUACCAGGAGAUCAGAGAGGCUAAACCCUAGAAGCUAGCCUAUGGUAUGAUUGUAUGUUGUCCUACGGACUAAAACCCUCCGGUUUAUAUAGACACCGGAGGGGGCUAGGGUUACACAAGGUCGGUUACAAAGGAGAAGAUGUACAUAUCCGUAUUGCCUAGCUUGCCUUCCACGCCAAGUAGAGUCCCAUCCGGACACGAGACGAAGUCUUCAAUCUUGUAUCUUCAUAGUCCAACAGUCCGGUCAAAGGAUAUAAUCCGGCUGUCCGGAGCCCCUAAUUCAGGACUCCCUCAGGCCCCCUGUUGCUCCACCGACGUACUCCUUCCUCCUAUAUAUACCUAUGUACCCCCAAAUGAUCAGAUACGGAGCCAAAACCCUAAUUCCACCGUCGUAACUUUCUGUAUCCACCGCCGGAGGGGGCAUCGAUCAUGGAGGGCUUCUACAUCAACACCAUAACCUCUCCGAUGAAGUGUGAGUAGUUUACCUCAGACCUACGGGUCCAUAGUUAGUACCUAGAUGGCUUCUUCUCUCUUUUUGGAUAUCAAUACAAUGUUCUCCCCCUCUCUUGUGGAGAUCUAUUCGAUGUAAUCUUCUUUUUGCGGUGUGUUUGUUGAGACCGAUGAAUUGUGGGUUUAUGAUCAAGUCUAUCUAUGAAUAAUAUUUGAAUCUUCUCUGAAUUCUUUUAUGUAUGAUUGGUUAUCUUUGCAAGUCUCUUCGAAUUAUCAGUUUGGUUUGUCCUACUAGAUUGAUCUUUCUUGCAAUGGGAGAAGUGCUUAGCUUUGGGUUCAAUCUUGCGAAGUCCUUUCCCGGUGACAGUAGGUGCAGCAAGGCACGUAUUGUAUUGUUGCCAUCGAGGAUAACAAGAUGGGGUUUUCUUCAUAUUGCAUGAGUCUAUCCCUCUACAUCAUGUCAACUUGCUUAAGGCGUCACUCUAUUUUUAACUUAAUACUCUAGAUGCAUGCUGGAUAGCGGUCCAAGAGUGGAGUAAUAGUAGUAGAUGCAGGCAGGAGUCGGUCUACUUGUCUCGGAUGUGAUGCAUAUAUACAUGAUCAUACCUAGAUAUUCUCAUAACUAUGCUCAAUUCUGUCAAUUGCUCAACAGUAAUUUGUUCACCCACCGUAGAAUACUUAUGCUCCCGAGAGAAGCCACUAGUGAAACCUAUGGCCCCCGGGUCUAUCUUUAUCAUAUUAAUCUCCUACCACUUAGUUAUUUCCUUUGCUAUUUACUUUGCCUUUAUUUUACUUUGCAUCUUUAUCAUAAAAAUACCAAAAAUAUUAUCUUUAUCAUAUCUAUCAUAUCUCACUCUCGUAAGUGGCCUUAUAGGGAUUGACAACCCCUAUUUGCGUUGGUUGCGAGGAUUUAUUUGUUUUGUGCAGGUACGAGGGACUCGCGUGCAGCCUCCUACUGGAUUGAUACCUUGGUUCUCAAAAACUGAGGGAAAUACUUACGCUACUUUGUUGCAUCAUCACUUCCUCUUCGGGGAAAACCAACACAGUGCUCAAGAGGUAGCAAGAAGGAUUUCUGGCGCCGUUGCCGGGGAGGUCUACGCAAAAGUCAACAUACCAAGUACCCAUCACAUACCCUUAUCUCCCGCAUUACAUUAUUUGCCAUUUGCCUCUCGUUUUCCUCUCACCCACUUCACCCUUGCUGUUUUAUUCGCCCUCUCUCUCUCUAUCCUCCCUCUCUUUCUCUAUUUGCCUCUUUUUGCCCGCUUGCUUUUUGUUUGCUUGUGUGUUAGUUUGUUUGCUUGUCGUUAUGGCUAGUCCCUUACCUUCUCCGUUGUCUCCCAAGAAUGAAAUUUUAAAUUUUAAGCAAAGGGAGGGAGAAAAUCUAAAAGAUGCUUCGUAUAGAAUUUGCAAUGCUCAAAAUAGAUCAACUAGGAAGCAAUCUACUUCCGUUCUUCUUUGCAAUUUUUAUGUAGGCAUUACUCCUUGGCACCGUUAUGUUCUUGAUACUAUUACCGGAGGGAACUUUUUGGGUAGCCAUACUUUUGAUUCUUAAAAUGCUAUGUUAGAUUUAUUUGUUUCACCCCCUCUCUUGGUUAAUGGAACUAUAUUAACUUUGGAGCAUGUAAUGCAACGGCUUGAAAUUAUUGAAAAUAAGGUUGCUACCAUAGAAUUAAUUGAAAAUUUGGAUAUGGAUCUAAAGUAGGAGUUACUUUGAAAGAUAUUAAAGAAAAGGAACCCAUAGUUAAUGAGAAAAUAAAUCAUGAUUCCACUAGGAUCGAUAAACUUGAAGGUAUUAUUACCAACUUGGGAACCGCUUUUUCUUCUGUAAAGAAUACUCCAAGUCCUCCCAGUAAAAUUACCAAGCUUAUGUAUGUUCCUAAAAAUAAGGGUGAAUCCUCUAGUAAGGAAAAUGCGGAUCUCAAAUCUAGAAGUAUUCAUCCCAAUCUUUUUACUAUCAUUAAGGAACCAUUUGUUACAAAUGAGUUUUUUGAUGUUGUGCCUAAAAGUUUGAUAAUUAAUAAAAAGAAAGAAAUUCCUAAAGAUGGUAGAUGCCUCAUUGAAUAAUUACCUACCAAAGAUGGCAAUACUUAGAUCUAUCCCUGCUUGUUAUGCCUAGCUAGGGGCGUUAAACGAUAGCGCUUGUUGGGAGGCAACCCAAUUUUAUUUUUAUUCCUUGAGUUUUGCUCCUGUUUAGUAAUAGAUAAUUAUCUAGCCUCUGUUAUGAUUGUGUUUUUUGUGUUUAAAUUAGUGUUUGUGCCAAGUAGAACCGUUGGGAAGACUUGGGGAAAGUCUUGUUGAAUUUGCUGUAAAAACAGAAACUUUAGCGCUCACAAGAACUGCUGUCAUUUUUAUUUGAAAAGUGAUAUUUAGUUCAUUCUUUUUGCAUAUGAUUAAUAUAUAAAUUCCUCACGUCCAGAAAAUUAUUUUAGAAUUUUUGGGGUUCCAUAUCUUGCGCUAGCUACAGAUUACUACAGACUGUUCUGUUUUUGACAGAUUCUGUUUUUCGUGUGUUGUUUGCUUAUUUUGAUGAAUCUAUGGCUAGUAAAAUGGUUUAUAAACCAUAGAUAAGUUGGAAUACAGUAGGUAUAACACAAAUAUAAAUAAAUAAUGAGUUCAUUACAGUACUUUGAAGUGGUCUUUUAUUUUCUUUCGCUAACGGAGCUCACGAGAUUCUCUACUUUAAGUUUUGUGUUGUGAAGUUUUCAAGUUUUGGGUAAAGAUUUGAUGGAUUAUGGAACAAGGAGUGGCAAGAGCCUAAGCUUGGGGAUGACCAUGGCACCCCCAAGAUAAUCUAAGGACACCUAAAAGCCAAAGCUUGGGGAUGCCCCGGAAGGCAUCCCCUCUUUCGUCUACUUCUAUCGGUAACUUUACUUGGAGCUAUAUUUUUAUUCGCCACAUGAUAUGUGUUUUGCUUGGAGCGUCUUGUAUGAUUUGAGUCUUUUCUUGUUAAUUUACCACAAUCAUCCUUGCUGUACACACCUUUUGAGAGAGCCAUACAUUAUUUGGAAUUUCUUAGAAUACUCUAUGUGCUUCGCUUAUAUCUUUUGAGUUAUAUAAUUUUGCUCUAGUACUUCGCUUAUAUCUUUUAGAGCACGGUGGUGGAUUUGUUUUAUAUAAACUAUUGAUCUCUCAUGCUUCACUUAGAUCAUUUUUGAGAGUCUUAAUAGCAUGUUAAUUUGCUUAAAAUCCUAAUAUGCUAGGUAUUCAAAGUUAGUAAAAUUUCCUUAAGAGUGUUUUGAAUACUAAAGUUUGAUGCUUGAUGAUUGUUUUGAGAUAUGGAGAUAAUAAUAUCAAAGUCGUGCUAGUUGAGUAGUUGUGAAAUUGAGAAAUACUUGUGUUGAAGUUUGCAAGUCCCGUAGCAUGCACGUAUGGUAAACGUUAUGGAACAAAUUUGAAAGAUGAGGUGUUAUUUGAUUGUCUUCCUUAUGAGUGGCGGUCGGGGACGAGCGAUGGUCUUUUCCUACCAAUCUAUCCCCCUAGGAGCAUGCGCGUAGUACCGAGGUUUUUGAUGACUUGUAGAUUUUUGCAAUAAGUAUGUGAGUUCUUUAUGACUAAUGUUGAGUCCAUGGAUUAUACGCACUCUCACCCUUCCAUCCUUGCUUGCCUCUUCGGUACCGUGCAUUGCCCUUUCUCACAUUGAGAGUUGGCGCAAAGUUCGCCGGUGCAUCCAAACCCCGUGAUAUGAUACGCUCUUUCACACAUAAACCUCCUUAUAUCUUCCUCAAAACAGCCACCAUACCUACCUAUUAUGGCAUUUCCAUAGCCAUUCCGAGAUAUAUUGCCAUGCAACUUUCCAUCAUCCCGUUCAUCAUCACACAUUCAUUAUUGUCAUAUUGCUUAGCAUGAUCAUGUAGUUGAUAUAGUAUUUGUGGCAAACCCACCGUUCAUAAUUCUUUCAUACAUGUCACUCUUGGUCCAUUGCAUAUCCCGGUACACCGCCGGAGGCAUUCAUAUAGAGUCAUAUUUUGUUCUAAGUAUCGAGUUGUAAUUGUUCAGUUGUAAGAAAAAUGAAAGUGUGAUGAUCAUCAUUAUUAGAGCAUUGUCCCAGUGAGGAAAGGAUGAUGGAGACUAUGAUUUCCCCACAAGUCGGGAUGAGACUCCGGACGAAAAAAAAAGAAAAAAAGAGGCCAUAAAAAAAGAGAAAAGGCCCAAAUAAAAAAAGAGAGAGAAAAAGAGAGAAGGGACAAUGUUACUAUCCUUUUACCACACUUGUGCUUCAAAGUAGCACUAUGAUCUUCAUAGUAGAGAGUCUCUCAUGUUAUCACUUUCAUAUACUAGUGGGAAUUUUUCAUUAUAGAACCUGGCUUGUAUAUUCCAAUGAUGGGCUUCCUCAAGUGCCCUAGGUCUUCGUGAUCAAGCAAGUUGGAUGCACACCCACUAGUUUCUUUUGUUGAGCUUUCAUACAUUUAUAGCUCUAGUGCAUCCAUUGCAUGGCAAUCCCUACUUCUUGCAUUAACAUCAAUCGGUGGGCAUCUCCAUAGCCCAUUGAUUAGCCUCGUUGAUGUGAGACUUUCUCCUUUUUUGUCUUCUCCACAUAACCCCCCUCAUUAUAUUCUAUUCCACCCAUAGUGCUAUGUCCAUGGCUCGCGCUCAUAUAUUGCGUGAAAGUUUAUAGGUUUGAGAUUACUAAAGUAUGAAACAAUUGCUUGGCUUGUCAUCGGGGUUGUGUAUGAUGAGAGCAUUCUUGUGUGACGAAAAUGAAACCUGACUAAACCAUAUGAUUUUGUAGGGAUGAACUUUCUUUGGCCAUGUUAUUUUGAGAAAACAUAAUUGUUUAGUUAGUAUGCUUGAAGUAUUAUUAUUUUUAUGUCAAUAUGAACUUUUGUCUUGAAUCUUUCGAAUCUAAAUAUUCAUACCACAAUUAAGAAGAAUUACAUUAAAAUUGUGCCAAGUAGCACUCCGCAUCAAAAAUUCCGUUUUUUUCAUUUACCUACUCAAGGACGAGCAGGAAUUAAGCUUGGGGAUGCUUGAUACGUCUCCAACGUAUCUACAAUUUUUGAUUGCCCCAUGCUAUAUUAUCUACUGUUUUGGACAUUACUAGGCUUUAUUAUCCACUUUUAUAUUAUUUUUGGGACUAACCUAUUAACCGGAGGCCCAGCCCAGAAUUGUUGUUUUUUUGCCUGUUUUAGGGUUUCGAAGAAAAGGAAUAUCAAACGGAGUCCAAACGGAAUGAAACCUUCGGGAACGUGAUUUUUAGGAAGAUUAUGAUCCGGGAGACUUGGACCCUAUGUCAAGAAAAGAAACAGGAGGCCACGAGGUAGGGGGCGCGCCCCCCCCCCCCCCCCCAGGCACACCCUCCACCCUCGUGGGCCCCCUGUUUCUCCACCGACGUACUCCUUCCUCCUAUAUAUACCUAUGUACCCCCAAACGACCAGAUACGGAGCAAAAACCCUAAUUCCACUUCCGUAACUUUCUGUAUCCACGAGAUCCCAUCUUGGGGCCUGUUCCGGAGCUCCGCCGGAGGGGGCAUCGAUCACGGAGGGCUUCUACAUCAACACCAUAGCCUCCCCAAUGAAGUGUGAGUAGUUUACCUCAGACCUAUGGGUCCAUAGUUAGUACUUAGAUGGCUUCUCCUCUCUUUUUGGAUCUCAAUACAAUGUUCUCCCCCUCUCUUCUGGAGAUCUAUUCGAUGUAAUCUUCUUUUUGCGGUGUGUUUGUUGAGAUCGAUGAAUUGUGGGUUUAUGAUCAAGUCUAUCUAUGAAUAAUAUUUGAAUCUUCUCUGAAUUCUUAUGUAUGAUUGGUUAUCUUUGCAAGUAUCUUCGAAUUAUCAGUUUGGUUUGGCCUACUAGAUUGAUCUUUCUUGCAAUGGGAGAAGUGCUUAGCUUUGGGUUCAAUCUUGUGGUGUCCUUUCCCAGUGAGAGUAGGGGCAGCAAGGCACGUAUUGUAUUGUUGCCAUCGAGGAUAACAAGAUGGGGUUUUCUUCAUAUUGCAUGAGUCUAUCCCUCUACAUCAUGUCAUCUUGCUUAAGGCGUUACUCUGUUUUUAACUUAAUACUCUCGAUGCAUGCUGGAUAGCGGUCGAUGAGUGGAGUAAUAGUAGUAGAUGCAGGCAGGAGUCGGUCUACUUGUCCCGGACGUGAUGCCUAUAUACAUGAUCAUACCUAGAUAUUCUCAUAACUAUGCUCAAUUCUGUCAAUUGCUCAACAGUAAUUAGUUCAACCACCGUAGAAUACUUAUGCUCUUGAGAGAAGCCACUAGUGAAACCUAUGGCCCCCGGGUCUAUCUUUAUCAUAUUAAUCUCCUACUACUUAGUUAUUUCCUCUGCUAUUUACUUUGCCUUUAUUUUACUUUGCAUGUUUAUCAUAAAAAUACCAAAAAUAUCAUCUUUAUCAUAUUUAUCAGAUCUCACUCUCGUAAGUGGCCUUAUAGGGAUUGACAACCCCUGUUUGUGUUGGUUGCGAGGAUUUAUUUGUUUUGUGUAGGUACGAGGGACUCACGCAUAGCCUCCUACUGGAUUGAUACCUUGGUUCUCAAAAAAUGAGGGAAAUACUUACGCUACUUUGUUGCAUCAUCCCUUCCUCUUCGGGGAAAACCAACGCAGUGCUCAAGAGGUAGCAGAUAGGCAUCCAAGAUGGGUAUAAUAAAAACUAUCAUAAAAAGUGCAUUGAAUACUAUGAGAAGUGUGAUACUUGAUGAUUGUUUUGAGAUAUCAAGAUGGUGAUAUUAGAGUCAUGCUAGUUGAGUAAUUGUGAAUUUGAGAAAUACUUGUUCUAAAGUUUGUGAUUCCCCUAGCAUGGACAUAUGGUGAACCGUUAUGUGAUGAAGUCAGAGCAUGAUUUUUUAUUGAUUGUCUUCCUUAUGCGUGGCGGUCAGGGACGAGGCGAUGGUCUUUUCCUACCAAUCUACCCCCCUAGGAGCAUGCAAUGCACGUAGUACUUUGUUUCGAUAACUAAUAGAUUUUUGCAAUAAAUAUGUGAGUUCUUUAUGACUAAUGUUGAGUCCAUGGAUUAUACGCACUCUCACCCUUCCACCAUUGCUAGCCUCUCUAAUAUUGUGCACCUUUCGCUGGUAUCAUACAUCUACCAUAUACCUACCUCAAAACAGCCACCAUACCUACCUAUUAUGGAAUUUCCAUAGCCAUUCCGAGAUAUAUUGCCAUGCAACUUUCCACCGUUCCGUUUGUUAUGACACGCUUCAUCGUUGUCAUAUUUCUUUGCAUGAUCAUGUAGUUGACAUCGUAUUUGUGGCAAAGCCAUCUUUAUAAUUCUUUCAUACAUGUCUGUUGGGGAACGUUGCAGAAAACAAAAAUUUUCCUACAGUUUCACCAAGAUCCAUCUAUGAGUUCAUCUAGCAACGAGUGAUCGGAUAGCAUCUACAUACCUUUGUAGAUCACGCGCGGAAGCGUUCAAAGAAUGGGGAUGAGAAAUUCGUACUCGACGUGAUCCAAAUCACCGGAGAUCCUAGCGCCGAACGGACGGCACCUCCGCGUUCACGUACGGUCAGCGUGACGUCUCCUCCUUCUUGAUCCAGCAAGGGGGAAGGAGAGGUUGAGGAAGAUGGCUCCAGCAGCAGCACGACGGCGUGGUGGUGGUGGAGCAGCAGUACUCCGGCAGGGCUUCGCCAAGCUCGUGACGGAGGAGGAAAUGUGUUGGGGAGGGGAGGGGCUGUGCCUUGGAUGUCCUCUGCAGCCCUUCCCUCACCCCUCUAUUUAUAGGGGAAGGAGGAAGGGGGCCGGCCCCCUCUAGAUGAGAUCUAGAGGGGGGGCGGCGGCCAAGGGGAGGGGGGCUUGCCCCCCAAGCAAGGGGCGCACCCCCUUAGGGUUUCCCCCAACCCUAGGCGCAUGGGCCGUAGGGGGAGUGUGUUGGGUUUCGUUGUAAUUUCAAAAAAAUUCCUACGCACACGCAAGAUCAUGUGAUGCAUAGCAACGAGAGGAGAGUGUGAUCUACAUACCUAGUAGAUCGACAACGGAAGCGUUUGGUUGAUGUAGUCGUACGUCUUCACGAUCCAACCGAUCAAGCACCGAAACUACGUCACCUCCGAGUUCGAGCACACGUUCAGCUCGAUCACGAUCCCCGGACUCCGAUCCAGCAAAGUGUCGGGGAAGAGUUCCGUCAGCACGACGGCGUGGUGACGAUCUUGAUGCACUAUAGCAGCAGGGCUUGGCCUAAACUCCGCUACAGUAUUAUCGAGGACUAUGGUGGCUGGGGCGCCGCACACGGCUAAGGAAUAGAUCACGUGGAUCAACUUGUGUGUUUCUGGGGUGCCUCUGCCUCAGUAUAUAAAGGACCAAAGGGGGGAGGCUGGCCGGCCACAUAGGGCGCGCCAGGAGAGUCCUACUCCCUCUGGGAGUAGGAUCCCCCCCCCAAUCCUAGUUGGAAUAGGAUUCGCGGAGGGGGAAAAGAGAGAGGGGAGGCUGGCCACCUCUCCUUCUCCUAAUAGGACUAGGGGAGGGAGGGAGGCGCGCAUCCCAUCUUGGGCAGCCCCUUCUCUUUUCCGCCAAGGCCCACUAAGGCCCAUAUAGCUCGCGGGGGGUUCCGGUAACCUCCCGGUACUCCGGUAAAAUCCCGAUUUCACCCGGAACACUUCCGAUAUCCAAACAUAGGCUUCCAAUAUAUCAAUCUUUAUGUAUCGACCAUUUCGAGACUCCUCGUCAUGUUCGUGAUCACAUCCGGGACUCCGAACAACCUUCGGUACAUCAAAAUGCAUAAACUCAUAAUAUAAUUGUCAUCGUAACCUUAAGCGUGCGGACCCUACGGGUUCGAGAACAAUGUAGACAUGACCGAGACACAUCUCCAGUCAAUAACCAAUAGCGGGACCUGGAUGCCCAUAUUGGCUCCUACAUAUUCUACGAAGAUCUUUAUCGGUCAGACCGCAUAACAACAUACGUUGUUCCCUUUGUCAUCGGUAUGUUACUUGCCCGAGAUUCGAUCGUCGGUAUUCCAAUACCUAGUUCAAUCUCGUUACCGGCAAGUCUCUUUACUCGUUCUGUAAUACAUCAUUCCGCAACUAACUCAUUUAGUUGCAAUGCUUGCAAGGCUUAAGUGAUUUGCAUUACCGAGAGGGCCCAGAGAUACCUCUCCGACAAUCGGAGUGACAAAACCUAAUCUCGAAAUACGCCAACCCAACAUGUACCUUUGGAGACACCUGUAAUACUCCUUUAUAAUCACCCAGUAACGUUGUAACGUUUGGUAGUACCCAAAGUGUUCCUCCGGUAAACGGGAGUUGCAUAAUCUCAUAGUUAUAGGAACAUGUAUAAGUCAUGAAGAAAGCAAUAGCAACAUAUUAAACGAUCGGGUGCUAAGCUAAUGGAAUGGGUCAUGUCAAUCAGAUCAUUCUCUUAAUGAUGUGAUCCCUUUAAUCAAAUAACAACUCAUUGUUCAUGGUUAGGAAACAUAACCAUCUUUGAUUAACGAGCUAGUCAAGUAGAGGCAUACUAGUGACACUUUGUUUGUCUAUGUAUUCACACAUGUAUUAUGUUUCCGGUUAAUACAAUUCUAGCAUGAAUAAUAAACAUUUAUCAUGAUUAUAAGGAAAUAAAUAAUAACUUUAUUAUUGCCUCUAGGGCAUAUUUCCUUCAGUCUCCCACUUGCACUAGAGUCAAUAAUCUAGAUUACACUGUAAUGAUUCUAACACCCAUGGAGCCCUGGUGUUGAUCAUGUUUUGCUCGUGGAAGAGGCUUAGUCAACGGGUCUGCAACAUUCAGAUCCGUAUGUAUCUUGCAAAUUCUAUGUCUCCCACCUGGACUAGAUCCCGGAUGGAAUUGAAGCGUCUCUUGAUAUGCUUGGUUCUCUUGUGAAAUCUGGAUUCCUUUGCCAAGGCAAUUGCACCAGUAUUGUCACAAAAGAUUUUCAUUGGACCCGAUGCACUAGGUAUGACACCUAGAUCGGAUAUGGACUCCUUCAUCCAGACUCCUUCGUUCGCUGCUUCCGAAGCAGCUAUGUACUCCGCUUCACAUGUAGAUCCCGCUACGACGCUUUGUUUAGAACUGCACCAACUGACAGCUCCACUGUUCAAUGUAAACACAUAUCCGGUUUGCGAUUUAGAAUCGUCCGGAACAGUGUCAAAGCUUGCAUCAACGUAACCAUUUACGACGAGCUCUUUGUCACCUCCAUAUACGAGAAACAUAUCCUUAGUCCUUUUCAUGUAUUUUAGGAUGUUCUUGACGGCUGUCCAGUGAUCCACUCCUGGAUUACUUUGGUACCUCCCUGCUAGACUUAUAGCAAGGCACACAUCAGGUCUGGUACACAGCAUUGCAUACAUGAUAGAUCCUAUCGCUGAUGCAUAGGGAACAUCUUUCAUAUUCUCUCUAUCUUCUGCAGUGGUCGGGCAUUGAGUCUUACUCAAUUUCACACCUUGUAACACAGGCAAGAAUCCUUUCUUUGCUUGAUCCAUUUUGAACUUCUUCAAAAUUUUGUCAAGGUAUGUUGUUUGUGAAAGUCCAAUUAAGCGUCUUGACCUAUCUCUAUAGAUCUUUAUGCCUAAUAUGUAAGCAGCUUCACCGAGGUCUUUCAUUGAAAAACUCUUAUUCAAGUAUCCCUUUAUGCUAUCCAGAAAUUCUAUAUCAUUUCCAAUCAGUAAUAUGUCAUCCACAUAUAAUAUCAGAAAUGCUACAGAGCUCCCACUCACUUUCUUGUAAAUACAGGCUUCUUCGAAAGUCUGUAUAAAAUAAAAUGCUUUGAUCACACUAUCAAAGCAUUUAUUCCAACUCCGAGAGGCUUGCACCAGUCCAUAAAUGGAUCGCUGGAGCUUGCACACUUUGUUAGCUCCUUUUGGAUCGACAAAACCUUCUGGUUGCAUCAUAUACAACUCUUCUUCCAGAAAUCCAUUCAGGAAUGCAGUUUUGACAUCCAUUUGCCAAAUUUCAUAAUCAUAAAAUGCGGCAAUUGCUAACAUGAUUCGGACAGACUUAAGCAUCGCUACGGGUGAGAAGGUCUCAUCGUGGUCAACCCCUUGAACUUGUCGAAAACCUUUUGCGACAAGUCGAGCUUUGUAGACAGUAACAUUACCGUCAGCGUCAGUCUUCUUCUUGAAGAUCCAUUUAUUCUCAAUUGCUUACCGAUCAUCGGGCAAGUCAACCAAAGUCCAUACUUUGUUCUCAUACAUGGAUCCCAUCUCAGAUUUCAUGGCUUCAAGCCAUUUUGCGGAAUCUGGGCUCACCAUCGCUUCUUCCUAGUUCGCAGGUUCAUCAUGAUCUAGUAGCAUGACUUCCAGAACAGGAUUACCGUACCACUCUGGUGCGGAUCUUACUCUGGUUGAUCUAUGAGGUUCAGCAGUAUCUUGAUCUGAAGUUUCAUGAUCAUUAUCAUUAGCUUCCUCACUAACUGGUGUAGGUGUCACUGAAACAAUUUUCUGUGAUGUACUACUUUCCAAUAAGGGAGCAGGUACAGUUACCUCGUCAAGUUCUACUUUCCUCCCACUCACUUCUUUCGAGAGAAACUCCUUCUCUAGAAAGUUUCCGAAUUUAGCAACAAAAGUCUUGCCUUCGGAUCUGUGAUAGAAGGUGUGUCCAAUAGUUUCCUUUGGAUAUCCUAUGAAAACACAUUUCUCUGAUUUGGGUUCGAGCUUAUCAGGUUGAAGCUUUUUCACAUAAGCAUCGCAGCCCCAAACUUUCAGAAACGACAACUUUGGUUUCUUGCCAAACCACAGUUCAUAAGGCGUCGUCUCAACGGAUUUUGAUGGUGCCCUAUUUAAAGUGAAUGCGGCCGUCUCUAGAGCGUAUCCCCAAAAUGAUAGUGGUAAAUCAGUAAGAGACAUCAUAGAUCGCACCAUAUCUAGUAAAGUACGAUUACGACGUUCGGACACACCAUUACGCUGUGGUGUUCCGGGCGGCGUGAGUUGCGAAACUAUUCCACAAUUUUUCAAAUGUACACCAAACUCGUAACUCAAAUAUUCUCCUCCACGAUCAGAUCGUAGAAACUUUAUUUUCUUGUUACGAUGAUUUUCAACUUCACUCUGAAAUUCCUUGAACCUUUCAAAUGUUUCAGACUUAUGUUUCAUUAAGUAGAUAUACCCAUAUCUGCUUAAAUCAUCUCUGAAGGUGAGAAAAUAACGAUAUCCGCCACGAGCCUCAAUAUUCAUCGGACCACAUACAUCUGUAUGUAUGAUUUCCAACAAAUCUGUUGCUCUCUCCAUAGUACCGGAGAACGGUGUUUUGGUCAUCUUGCCCAUAAGGCACGGUUCGCAAGUACUAAGUGAUUCAUAAUCAAGUGGUUCCAAAAGUCCAUCAGAAUGGAGUUUCUUCAUGCGCUUUACACCGAUAUGACCUAAACGGCAGUGCCACAAAUAAGUUGCACUCUAAUUAUCAACUCUGCAUCUUUUGGCUUCAACAUUAUGAAUAUGUGUGUUACUACUAUCGAGAUUCAACAAGAAUAGACCACUCUUCAAGGGUGCAUGACCAUAAAAGAUAUUACUCAUAUAAAUAGAACAACCAUUAUUCUCUGAUUUAAAUGAAUAACCGUCUCGCAUCAAACAAGAUCCAGAUAUAAUGUUCAUGCUUAACGCUGGCACCAAAUAACAAUUAUUUAGGUCUAACACUAAUCCCGAAGGUAGAUGUAGAGGUAGUGUGCCGACUGCGAUCACAUCGACUUUGGAACCGUUUCCCACGCGCAUCGUCACCUCGUCCUUAACCAAUCUUCGCUUGAUCCGUAGUCCCUGUUUCGAGUUGCAAAUAUUAGCAACAGAACCAGUAUCAAAUACCCAGGUGCUACUGCAAGCAUUAGUAAGGUACACAUCAAUAACAUGUAUAUCACAUAUACCUUUGUUCACCUUGCCAUCCUUCUUAUCCACCAAAUACUUGGGGCUGUUCCGCUUCCAGUGACCAGUCUGCUUGCAAUAGAAACACUCAGUUUCAGGCUUAGGUCCAGGUUUGGGUUUCUUCUCUUGAGUAGCAACUUGCUUGCCGUUCUUUUUGAAGUUCCCCUUCUUCUUCCCUUUGCCCUUUUUAUUGAAACUAGUGGUCUUGUUGACCAUCAACACUUGAUGCUCCUUCUUGAUUUCUACCUCCGCGGCUUUCAGCAUCACGAAGAGCUCGGGAAUAGUCUUGUUCAUCCCUUGCAUAUUAUAGUUCAUCACGAAGCUCUUGUAGCUUGGUGGCAGUGAUUGAAGAAUUCUGUCAAUGACGCGAUCAUCUGGAAGAUUAACUCCCAAUUGAAUCAAGUGAUUAUUAUACCCAGACAUUUUGAGUAUAUGCUCACUGACAGAACUGUUCUCCUCCAUCUUGCAGCUAUAGAACUUAUUGGAGACUUCAUAUCUCUCAAUCCGGGCAUUUGCUUGAAAUAUUAACUUCAACUCCUGGAACAUCUCAUAUGCUCCAUGACGUUCAAAACAUCGUUGAAGUCCCGAUUCUAAGCCGUAAAGCAUGGCACACUGAACUAUCGAGUAGUCAUCAGCUUUGCUCUGCCAGACAUUCAUAACAUCCGGCGUUGCUCCUGCAGCAGGGCUGGCACCCAGCGGUGCUUCCAGGACGUAAUUCUUCUGUGCAGCAAUGAGGAUAAUCCUCAAGUUAUGGACCCAGUCCGUGUAAUUGCUACCAUCAUCUUUCAACUUUGCUUUCUCAAGGAACGCAUUAAAAUUCAACGGAACAACAGCACGAGCCAUCUAUCUACAAUCAAACAUAAACAAGAAAGAUACUAAUCAGGUACUAAGUUUCAUGAUAAAUUUAAGUUCAGUUAAUCAAAUUAAUUAAAGAACUCCCACUUAGAUAGACAUCCCUCUAAUCCUCUAAGUGAUUACGUGAUCCAAAUCAACUAAACCAUAACCGAUCAUCACGUGAGAUGGAGUAGUUUUCAAUGGUGAACAUCGUUAUGUUGAUCAUAUCUACUAUAUGAUUCACGCUCGACCUUUCGGUCUCCGUGUUCCGAGGCCAUAUCUGUAUAUGUUGGCUCGUCAAGUAUAACCUGAGUAUUCCGCGUGUGCAACUAUUUUGCACCCGUUGUAUUUGAACAUAGAACCUAUCACACCCGAUCAUCACGUGGUGUCUCAGCAUGAAGAACUUUCGCAACGGUGCAUACUCAGGGAGAACACUUCUUGAUAAUUUAGUGAGAGAUCAUCUUAUAAUGCUACCAUCAAUCAAAGCAAGAUAAGAUGCAUAAAAGGAUAAACAUCACAUGCAAUCAAUAUAAGUGAUAUGAUAUGAGCAUCAUCAUCUUGUGCUUGUGAUAUCCAUCUCCGAAGCACCGUCGUGAUCAGCAUCGUCACCGGCGUGACACCUUGAUCUCCAUCGUAGCAUCGUUGUCGUCUCGCCAAGCUUGUGCUUCUACGACUAUCGCUACCGCUUAGUGAUAAAAGCAAAGCAUUACAUCGCGAUUGCAUUCCAUACAAUAAAACGACAACCAUAAGGCUCCUGCCAGUUGCCGAUAACUCGGUUACAAAACAUGAUCAUCUCAUACAAUAAAAUUCAGCAUCAUGUCUUGACCAUAUCACAUCACAACAUGCCCUGCAAAAACAAGUUAGACGUCCUCUACUUUGUUGUUGCAAGUUUUACGUGGCUGCUAUGGGCUUAAGCAAGAACCAAUCUUACCUACGCAUCAAAACUACAACGAUAGUUUGUCAAUUUGACUCCGUUUUAACCUUCGCAAGGACCGGGCGUAGCCAUACUCGGUUCAACUAAAGUUGGAGAGACAGUCGCCCGCAAGCCACCUAUGUGCAAAGCACGUCGGGGGAACCGGUCUCGCGUAAGCGUACGCGUAAUGUUGGCCGGGUCGUCUCGUCCAACAAUGCCGCCGAACCAAAGUAUGACAUGCUGGUAGGCAGUAUGACUUAUAUCGCCCACAACUCACUUGUGUUCUACUCGUGCAUAUAACAUCAACAUAAAUAACCUAGGCUCGGAUGCCACUGUUGGGUUUCGUAGUAAUUUCAAAAAAAUUCCUAUGCACACGCAAGAUCAUGUGAUGCAUAGCAAUGAGAGGAGAGUGUGAUCUACAUACCUAGUAGAUCGACAACGGAAGCAUUUGGUUGAUGUAGUCGUACGUCUUCACGAUCCAACCGAUCAAGCACCGAAACUACGGCACCUCCGAGUUUGAGCACACGUUCAGCUCGAUGACGAUCUCCGGACUCUGAUCCAGCAAAGUGUCGGGGAAGAGUUCCGUCAGCACGACGGCAUGGUGACGAUCUUGAUGCACUACAGCAGCAGGGCUUCGCCUAAACUCCGCUACAGUAUUAUCGAGGACUAUGGUGGCUGGGGCGCCGCACACGGCUAAGGAAUAGAUCACGUGGAUCAACUUGUGUGUUUCUGGGGUGCCUCUGCCUCAGUAUAUAAAGCACCAAAGGGGGGAGGCUGGCCGGCCACAUAGGGCGCGCCAGGAGAGUCCUACUCCCUCUGGGAGUAGGAUUCCCCCCCCCCCCAAUCCUAGUUGGAAUAGGAUUCGCGGAGGGGGAAAAGAGAGAGGGGGGCCGGCCACCUCUCCUUCUCCUAAUAGGACUAGGGGAGGGAGGGAGGCGCGCAUCCCAUCUUGGGCAGCCCCUUCUCUUUUCCACUAAGGCCCACUAAGGCCCAUAUAGCUCUCGGGGGGUUCCGGUAACCUCCCGGUACUCCGGUAAAAUCCCGAUUUCACACGGAACACUUCCGAUAUCCAAACAUAGGCUUCCAAUAUAUCAAUCUUUAUGUCUCGACCAUUACUAGACUCCUCGUCAUGUCCGUGAUCACAUCCGGGACUCCGAACAACCUUCGGUACAUCAAAAUGCAUAAACUCAUAAUAUAACUGUCAUCAUAACCUUAAGCGUGCGGACCCUAUGGGUUCAAGAACAAUGUAGACAUGACCGAGACACGUCUCCGGUCAAUAACCAAUAGCGGGACCUGGAUGCCCAUAUUGGCUCCUACAUAUUCUACGAAGAUCUUUAUCGGUCAGACCGCAUAACAACAUACGUUGUUCCCUUUGUCAUCGGUAUGUUACUUGCCCGAGAUUCGAUCGUCGGUAUUCCAAUACCUAGUUCAAUCUUGUUACUGGCAAGUCUCUUUACUCGUUCUGUAAUACAUCAUUCCGCAACUAACUCAUUUAGUUGCAAUGCUUGCAAGGCUUAAGUGAUGUGCAUUACCGAGAGGGCCCAGAGAUACCUCUCCGACAAUCGGAGUGACAAAACCUAAUCUCGAAAUACGCCAACCCAACAUGUACCUUUAGAGACACCUGUAAUACUCCUUUAUAAUGACCCAGUAACGUUGUGACGUUUGGUAGUACCAAAAGUGUUCCUCCGGUAAACGGGAGUUCAUAAUCUCAUAUAGGAACAUGUAUAAGUCAUGAAGAAAGAAAUAGCAACAUACUAAACGAUCGGGUGCUAAGCUAAUGGAAUGGGUCAUGUCAAUCAGAUCAUUCUCUUAAUGAUGUGAUCACGUUAAUCAAAUAACAACUCAUCGUUCAUGGUUAGGAAACAUAACCAUCUUUGAUUAACGAGCUAGUCAAGUAGACGCAUACUAGUGACACUUUGUUUGUCUAUGUAUUCACACAUGUAUUAUGUUUCUGGUUAAUACAAUUCUAGCAUGAAUAACAAACAUUUAUCAUGAUUAUAAGGAAAUAAAUAAUAACUUUAUUAUUGCCUCUAGGGCAUAUUUCCUUCAGAGUGGCGCCCCAGCCCACUUUGGGCUGGAUCCCUUCCUCAUACAGCCCAUAAGGCCCUCCGGGAGAGGUGGCCCCUCCGAGUGGACCCCCGGAACCCCUCCGGUGGCCCCGGUACAAUACCGUUAUGCCCCCGAACCUUUCCGGUGACCGUAUGACAACUUCCCAUAUAUAAUUCUUUACCUCCGGAUUAUUCCGGGACUUCGAACAACUUUCGGAUUACUGCAUACUCAUAUCUAUACAACCCUAGCAUCACUGAACCUUAAGUGUGUAGACCCUACGGGUUCGGGAGACAAUCAGACAUGACCGAGACGACUCUCUGGUCAAUAACCAACAGUGGGAUCUGGAUACCCAUGUUGGCUCCCACAUGCUCCUUGAUGAUCUCAUCGGAUGAACCACGAUGUCGAGGACCUAAUCAAUCCCGUACUCAAUUCCCUUUGUCAAUCGGUACAUUACUUGCCCGAGACUCGAUCGUCGAUAUCCCAAUACCUUGUUCAGUCUCGUUACCAGCAAGUCACUUUACUCGUACCGUAAUGCAUGAUCCCGUGAUCAACCACUUGAUCACAUUGAGCUCAUUAUGAUGAUGCAUUACCGAGUGGGCCCAGAGAUACCUCUCCGUCAUACGGAGUGACAAAUCCCAGUCUCGAUUCGUGCCAACCCAACAGACACUUUCGGAGAUACCUGUAAUGUACCUUUAUAGUCACCCAGUUACCUUGUGACGUUUGGCACACCCAAGGCACUCCUACGGUAUCCGGGAGUUGCACGAUCUCAUGGUCUAAGGAAAUGAUACUUGACAUCCAGAAAAGCUACAGCAAACGAACUACACGAUCUUUGUGCUAUACUUAGGUUUGGGUCUUGUCCAUCACAUCAUUCUCCUAAUGAUGUGAUCCCAUUAUCAAUGACAUCCCCAUGUCCAUAGCCAGGAAACCAUGACUAUCUGUUGAUCAACGAGCUAGUCAACUAGAGGCUCACUAGGGACACAUUAUGGUCUAUGUAUUCACACAUGUAUUACGAUUUCCGGACAAUACAAUUAUAGCAUGAAUAAUAGAAAAUUAUCAUGAACAAGGAAAUAUAAUAAUCAUUUUAUUAUUGCCUCUAGGGCAUAUUUCCAACAGUCUCCCACUUGCACUAGAGUCAAUCAUCUAGUUACAUUGUGAUGAAUCGAACACCCAUGGAAUUCUGGUGUUGAUCAUGUUUUGCUCUAGGGAGAGGUUUAGUCAACGGAUCUGCUACAUUCAGGUCCGUAUGUACUUUACAAAUCUCUAUGUAUCCAUUUUGAACACUUUCACGAAUGGAGUUGAAACGACGCUUGAUAUGCCUGGUCUUCCUGUGAAACCUGGGCUCCUUGGCAAGGGCAAUAGCUCCAGUGUUGUCACAGAAGAGAGUCAUCGGGCCCGACGCAUUGGGUAUGACUCCUAGGUCGGUAAUGAACUCCUUCACCCAGACUGCUUCGUGUGCUGCCUCCGAGGCUGCCAUGUACUCCGCUUCACAUGUAGAUCCUGCCACAAUGCUUUGCUUGCAACUGCACCAGCUUACUGCCCCACCAUUCAAAAUAUACACGUAUCCGGUUUGUGACUUAGAGUCAUCCAGAUCUGUGUCGAAGCUAGCAUCAACGUAACCCUUUACGACAAGCUCUUCGUCACCUCCAUAAACGAGAAACAUUUCCUUAGUCCUUUUCAGGUACUUCAGGAUAUUUUUGAUCGCUGUCCAGUGUUCCAUGUCGGGAUUACUUUGGUACCUUCCUACCAAACUCACGGCAAGGUUUACAUCAGGUCUGGUACACAGCAUAGCAUACAUGAUAGACCCUAUGGCUGAGGCAUAGGGGACGACACUCAUCUUUUCUCUAUCUUCUGCCGUGGUCGGGCAUUGAGCCAAGCUCAAUCUCGUACCUUGCAAUACAGGCAAGAACCCCUUCUUUGACUGAUCCAUUUUGAACUUCUUCAAUAUCUUGUCAAGGUACAUACUCUAUGAAAGACCAAUGAGGCGUCUCGAUCUAUCUCUAUAGAUCUUGAUGCCUAAUAUAUAAGCAGCUUCUCCAAGGUCCUUCAUUGAAAAACACUUGUUCAAAUAGGCCUUUAUGCUUUCCAAGAAUUCUAUAUCAUUUCCCAUCAACAGUAUGUCAUCCACAUACAAUAUGACAAAUGCUACAGAGCUCCCACCCACUUUCUUGUAAAUGCAAGCUUCUCCAUAAGUCUGCAUAAACCCAAACGCUUUGAUCAUCUCAUCAAAGCGAAUGUUGCAACUCCGAGAUGCUUGCACCAGCCCGUAAAUCGAGCGUUGGAGCUUGCACACCUUGUCAGCAUUCUUAGGAUCGACAAGACCUUCCGGUUGCAUCAUAUACAAUUCUUCCUUAAGGAAACCAUUAAGGAAUGCCGUUUUGACGUCCAUUUGCCAUAUUUCAUAAUCAUAGAAUGCGGCAAUUGCUAACAUGAUUCGGACGGACUUCAGCUUCGCUACGGGUGAGAAAGUCUCAUCGUAGUCAACCCCUUGAACUCGUCGAUAACCCUUAGCGACAAGCCGUGCUUUAUAGAUGGUCACAUUACCAUCCGCGUCUGUCUUCUUCUUAAAGAUCCAUUUAUUUUCUAUGGCUCGCCGAUCAACGGGCAAGUCAGUCAAAGUCCAUACUUUGUUUUCAUACAUGGAUCCUAUCUCGGAUUUCAUGGCUUCCAGCCAUUUGUCGGAAUACGGGCCCGCCAUCACUUCUUCAUAGUUCAAAGGUUCACCGUUGUCUAACAACAUGAUUUCCAAGACAGGGUUGCCGUACCACUCUGGUGAGGAACGUGUCCUUGUGGACCUUCGAAGUUCAGUAGGAGCUUGAUCAGAAGUAUCUUGAUCAUCAUCAUUAACUUCCUCUCUAAUUGGUGCAAGCACCACAGGAACAUUUGCCUGAGUUGCGCCACUUUCCGGUUCAAGAGGCAAUACUUCAUCAAGUUCUACUUUCCUCCCACUUACUUCUUUCGAGAGAAACUCCUUCUCUAGAAAGGAUCCAUUCUUGGCAACAAAGAUCUUGCCUUCGGAUCUGAGGUAGAAGGUAUACCCAAUAGUUUCUUUAGGGUAUCCUAUCAAGACGCAUUUUUCCGACUUGGGUUCGAGCUUUUCAGGUUGAAGUUUCUUGACAUAAGCAUCGCAUCCCCAAACUUUUAGAAACGACAGCUUAGGCUUCUUCCCAAACCAUAAUUCAUACGGUGUCGUCUCAACGGAUUUCGACGGAGCCCUAUUUAAAGUGAAUGCAGUAGUCUCUAAAGCAUAGCCCCAAAAUGACAGCGGUAAAUUGGUAAGAGACAUCAUAGAUCGCACCAUAUCUAAUAGAGUGCGAUUACGACGUUCGGACACACCAUUACGCUGAGGUGUUCCAGGCGGCAUGAGUUGUGAAACUAUUCCACAUUUUCUUAAGUGUGUACCAAAUUCUUGACUCAAGUAUUCUCCUCCACGAUCUGAUCGCAAAAACUUGAUUUUUCUGUCAUGUUGAUUCUCAACCUCACUCUGAAAUUCCUUGAACUUUUCAAAGGUUUCAGACUUGUGUUUCAUUAAGUAGAUAUACCCAUAUCUACUCAAGUCAUCAGUGAGGGUGAGAACAUAACGAUAGCCACCACGAGCCUCAACAUUCAUUGGACCGCACACAUCAGUAUGUAUGAUUUCCAAUAGGUUGGUUGCUCGCUCCAUUGUUCCUGAGAACGGAGACUUGGUCAUCUUACCCAUGAGGCAUGGUUCACACAUGUCAAAUGAUUCGUAAUCAAGAGACUCUAAAAGUCCAUCUGUAUGGAGCUUCUUCAUGCGUUUGACACCUAUGUGACUAAGGCGGCAGUGCCACAAGUAUGUGGGACUAUCAUUAUCAACCUUACAUCUUUUGGCAUUCACACUAUGAAUAUGUGUAGCAUUACGCUCGAGAUUCAUUAAGAAUAAACCAUUCACCAUAGGAGCAUGACCAUAAAACAUAUCUCUCAUAUAAAUAGAACAACCAUUACACUUGGAUUUAAAUGAGUAGCCAUCUCGUAUUAAACGAGAUCCUGAUACAAUGUUCAUGCUCAAACUUGGCACUAAAUAACAAUUAUUGAGGUUCAAAACUAAUCCCGUAGGUAAAUAUAGAGGUAGCGUGCCGACGACGAUGACAUCGACCUUGGAACCAUUCCCGACGCGCAUUGUCACCUCGUCCUUCGCCAAUCUCCGCUUAUUCCGCAGCUCCUGCUUUGAGUUACAAAUGUGAGCAACUGCACCGGUAUCAAAUACCCAGGAGCUACUACGAGUAUUGGUAAGGUACACAUCAAUUACAUGUAUAUCACAUAUACCUUUCGUUUUGCCGGCCUUCUUGUCCGCUAAGUAUUUGGGGCAGUUCCGCUUCCAGUGUCCACUUCCCUUGCAAUAAAAACACUCAGUCUCGGGCUUGGGUCCAUUCUUUGGCUUCUUCCCGGCAGCUUGCUUACCAGGCGCGGCAACUCCCUUGCCGUCCUUCUUGAAGUCCUUCUUACCCUUGCCUUUCUUGAACUUAGUGGUUUUAUUCACCAUCAACACUUGAUGGUCCUUUUUGACUUCUACCUCUGCUGAUUUCAGCAUUGCAAAUACUUUAGGAAUGGUCUUUUCCAUCCCCUGCAUAUUGAAGUUCAUCACAAAGCUCUUGUAGCUUGGUGGAAGCGACUGGAGGAUUCUGUCAAUGACCGCGUCAUCCGGGAGAUUAACUCCCAGCUGAGUCAAGCGGUUAUUUAACCCAGACAUAGUGAGUAUGUGCUCACUGACAGAACUAUUUUCCUCCAUCUUACAGCUGAAGAACUUGUCGGAGACUUCAUAUCUCUCGACCCGGGCAUGAGCUUGGAAAACCAUUUUUAGCUCUUCGAACAUCUCAUAUGCUCCGUGUCGCUCAAAACGCUUUUGGAGCCCCGGUUCUAAGCUGUAAAGCAUGCCGCACUGAACGAGGUAGUAAUCAUCAGCACGUGUCUGCCAAGCGUUCAUAACGUCUUGGUUCUGUGGGACGGGUGCGUCACCUAGCGGUGCUUCUAGGACAUAAUCUUUCUUGGCAGCUUUAUAGUUGCUGCCAUCGUCUUUCAGCUUGGUUUUCUCUAGGAACGCAUUGAAGUUGAGGACAACGUUGGCUAUUUGAUCUACAAGACAUAUUGUAAAUAUUUUAGACUAAGUUCAUGAUAAUUAAGUUCAUCUAAUCAAAUUAUUCAAUGAACUCCCACUUAGAUAGACAUCCCUCCAGUCAUCUAAGUAUAACAUGAUCCGAGUUGACUAGGUCGUGUCCGAUCAUCACGUGAGACGGACUAGUCAACAUCGGUGAACAUCUUCAUGUUGAUCGUAUCUUCUAUACGACUCAUGCUCGACCUUUCGGUCUUCUGUGUUCCGAGGCCAUGUCUGUACAUGCUAGGCUCGUCAAGUCAACCUAAGUGUAUUGCGUGUGUAAAUCUGUCUUACACCCGUUGUAUGUGAACGUUGGAAUCUAUCACACCCGAUCAUCACGUGGUGCUUCGAAACAACGAACUGUCGCAACGGCGCACAGUUAGGGGGAACACUUUCUUGAAAUUAUUAUGAGGGAUCAUCUUAUUUACUACCGUCGUUCUAAGUAAACAAGAUGCAAAAACAUGAUAAACAUCACAUGCAAUCAAAUAAUAAUAGUGACAUGAUAUGGCCAAUAUCACAUAGCUCCUUUGAUCUCCAUCUUGGGGCUCCAUGAUCAUCUUGUCACCGACAUGACACCAUGAUCUCCAUCAUCAUGAUCUCCAUCAUCGUGUCUCCAUGAAGUUGCUAGCCAACUAUUACUUCUACUACUAUGGCUAACGCGUUUAGCAAUAAAUUAAAGUAAUUUACAUGGCGUUUCUCAAUGACACGCAGGUCAUACAAAAAAUAAAGACAACUCCUAUGGCUCCUGCCGGUUGUCAUAAUCAUCGACAUGCAAGUCGUGAUUCCUAUUACAAGAACAUGAUCUCAUACAUCACAUAUAUAUCAUUCAUCAUUCAUCACAACUUUGGCCAUAUCACAUCACAAAUCACUUGCUGCAAAAACAAGUUAGACGUCCUCUAAUUGUUGUUGCAAGUUUUACGUGGCUGCAAAAGGGUUCUAGCAAGAACGUUUUCUUACCUACGUAAUAGCCACAACGUGAUUUGUCAACUUCUAUUUACCCUUCAUAAGGACCCUUUUCAUCGAAUCCGCUCCAAAUAAAGUGGGAGAGACAGAAACCCGCUAGCCACCUAAUGCAACUAGUGCAUGUCAGUCGGUGGAACCAGUCUCACGUAAGCAUACGUGUAAGGUCGGUCCGGGCCGCUUCAUCCCACAAUACCGCUAAAGCAAGAUAAGACUAGUAGCGGCAAGAAAGUUGACAACAUCUACGCCCACAACAAAUUGUGUUCUACUCGUGCAAGGAGAACUACGCAUAAACCUGGCUCUGAUACCACUGUUGGGGAACAUUGCAGAAAACAAAAAAUUUCCUACGAUUUCACCAAGACCCAUCUAUGAGUUCAUCUAGCAACGAGUGAUCGGAUUGCAUCUACAUACCUUUGUAGAUCACGCGCGGAAGCGUUCAAAGAACGGGGAUGAGAAAGUCGUACUCGACGUGAUCCAAAUCACCGGAGGUCCUAGCGCCGAACAGACGGCACCUCCGCGUUCAACACACGUACGGUCAGCGUGACGUCUCCUCCUUCUUGAUCUAGCAAGGGGGAAGGAGAGGUUGAGGAAGAUGGCUCCAGCAGCAGCACGACGGCGUGGUGGUGGUGGAGCAGCAGUACUUCAGCAGGGCUUCGCCAAGCUCGUGACGGAGGAGGAGAUGUGUUGGGGAGGGGAGGGGAUGUGCCUUGGAUGUCCUCUGCAGCCCUCCCCUCACCCCUCUAUUUAUAGGGGAAGGAGGAAGGGGGCCGGCCCCCUCUAGAUGAGAUCUACAGGAGGGGCGGCGGCCAAGGGGAGGGGGGCUUGCCCCCCAAGCAAGGGGGCGCCCCCCCUUAGGGUUUCCCCCAACCCUAUGCGCAUGGGCCCUAGGGGGAGUGGCACCCCAGCCCACUUUGGGGUGGAUACCUUCCUCAUACAGCCCAUAAGGCCCUCCGAGAGAGGUGGCCCCUCCUGGUGGACCCCCGGAACCCCUCCGGUGGCCCCGGUACAAUACUGAUACGCCCCCGAACCUUUCCGGUGACCAUAUGACAACUUCCCAUAUAUAAUUCUUUACCUCCGGAUUAUUCCGGAACUCCUCGUGACGUCCAGGAUCUCAUCCGGGACUCCGAAAAACUUUCGGAUUACUGCAUACUCAUCUAUACAACCCUAGCGUCACCGAACCUUAAGUGUGUAGACCCUACGGGUUUGGGAGACAAGCAUACAUGACCGAGAUGACUCUCUGGUCAAUAACCAACAGCGGGAUCUGGAUACCCAUGUUGGCUCCCACAUGCUCCUCGAUGAUCUCAUCAGAUGAACCACGAUGUCGAGGACCUAAUCAAUCUCGUACUCAAUUCCCAUUGUCAAUCGGUACGUUACUUGCCCGAGACUCGAUCGUCGGUAUCCCAAUACCUUGUUCAGUCUCGUUACCGGCAAGUCACUUUACUCGUACCGUAAUGCAUGAUCCCAUGAUCAACCACUUGAUCACAUUGAGCUCAUUAUGAUGAUGCAUUACCGAGUGGGCCCAGAGAUACCUCUCCGUCAUACGGAGUGACAAAUCCCAGUCUCGAUUUGUGCCAACCCAACAGACACUUUCGGAGAUACCUGUAAUGUACCUUUGUAGUCACCCAGUUACGUUGUGAUGUUUGGCACACCCAAGGCACUCCUACGGUAUCCGGGAGUUGCACAAUCUCAUGGUCUAAGGAAAUGAUACUUGACAUCCAGAAAAGCUAUAGCAAAUGAACUACACGAUCUUUGUGCUUUGCUUAGGUUUGGGUCUUGUCCAUCACAUCAUUCUCCUAAUGAUGUGUUCCCAUUAUCAAUGACAUCCCCAUGUCCAUAGCCAGGAAACCAUGACUAUCUGUUGAUCAACGAGCUAGUCAACUAGAGGCUCACUAGGGACACAUUAUGGUCUAUGUAUUCACACAUGUAUUACGAUUUCCGAACAAUACAAUUAUAGCAUGAAUAAUAGACAAUUAUCAUGAACAAGGAAAUAUAAUCAUCAUUUUAUUAUUGCCUCUAGAGCAUAUUUCCAACAAUGUCACUCUUGGUUCAUUGCACAUCCCGGUACAACGCCGGAGGCAUUCACAUAGAGUCAUAUUUUGUUCUAAGUAUCGAGUUGUAAUUUUUGAGUUGUAAAGUAAAUAAAAGUGUGAUGAUCAUCAUUAUUAGAUCAUUGUCCCAUGUGAGGAAAUGAUGAUGGAGACUAUGAUUCCCCAGAAGUCGGGAUGAGACUCGGGAUGAAAAAGAAAAAAAAGAAAAAAAGAGGCCAUAAAAAGAGAGAAGGCCCAAAAAGAAAAAAUAAUGAGAGAAAAGAGAGAAGGGACAAUGCUAAUAUCCUUUGACCACACUUGUGCUUCAAAGUAGCACCAUGAUCUUCAUGAUAGAGAGUCUCCUAUGUUGUCACUUUCAUAUACUAGUGGGAAUUUUACAUUAUAGAACUUGGCUUGUAUAUUCCAAUGAUGGGCUUCCUCAAAAUGCCCUAGGUCUUCGUGAGCAAGCAAGUUGGAUGCACACCCACUUAGUUUCUUUUUGAGCUUUCAUAUACUUAUAGCUCUAGUGCAUCCGUUGCAUGGCAAUCCCUACUCACUCACAUUGAUAUCUAUUGAUGGGCAUCUCCAUAGCCCGUUGAUACACCUAGUUGAUGUGAGACUAUCUUAUCCUUUUUGUCUUCUCCACAACCACCAUUCUAUUCCACCUAUAGUGCUAUGUCCAUGGCUCACGCUCAUGUAUCGCGUGAAGAUUGAAAAAGUUUGAGAACAUCAAAAGUAUGAAACAAUUGCUUGGCUUGUCAUCGGGGUUGUGCACGAUUUAAAUACUUUGUGUGAUGAAGAUAGAGCAUAGCCAUACUAUAUGAUUUUGUAGGGAUAACUUUCUUUGGCCAUGUUAUUUUGAGAAGACAUCAUUGCUUUGUUAGUAUGCUUGAAGUAUUAUUAUUUUUAUGUCAAUAUUAAACUUUUGUCUUGAAUAUUUCGGAUCUGAACAUUCAUGCCACAAUAAAGAAAAAAUAUAUUGAGAAUUAUGCUAGGUAGCAUUCCACAUCAAAAGUUCUGUUUUUAUCAUUUACCUACUCGAGGACGAGUAGGAAUGAAUCUUGGGAUGCUUCAUACGUCUACAACAUAUCUAUAAUUUGUGAUUGUUCCAUGCUAUUAUAUUAUCUGUUUUGGAUGUUUAAUGGGCUUUAAUAUACAUUUUUAUAUUAUUUUUGGGACUAACCUACUAACCAAAGCCCCAGUGCAAAUUGCUUUUUUUUGCCUAUUUCAGUGUUUCGCAGAAAAGGAAUAUCAAACGGAAUCCAAACGGAAUGAAACCUUCGGGAGAGUUAUUUAUAGAACAAAUGUGAUCCAGGAGACUUGAGUGGAUGUCAAGAAAGAAGCGAGGAGGCCACUGAAGGAAAUAUGCCCUAGAGGCAAUAAUAAAGUUAUUAUUUAUUUCCUUAUAAUCAUGAUAAAUGUUUAUUAUUCAUGCUAGAAUUGUAUUAACCGGAAACAUAAUACAUGUGUGAAUACAUAGACAAACAAAGUGUCACUAGUAUGCCUCUACUUGACUAGCUCGUUAAUCAAAGAUGGUUAUGUUUCCUAACCAUGAACAAUGAGUUGUUAUUUGAUUAACGAGGUCACAUCAUUAGUUGAAUGAUCUGAUUGACAUGACCCGUUCCAUUAGCUUAGCAACCGAUCGUUUAGUAUGUUGCUAUUGCUUUCUUCAUGACUUAUACAUGUUCCUAUAACUAUGAGAUUAUGCAACUCCCGUUUGCCGGAGGAACACUUUGGGUGCUACCAAACGUCACAAUCUAACUGGGUGAUUAUAAAGGAGCAUUACAGGUGUCUCCAAAGGUAGAUGUUGGGUUGGCAAAUUUCGAGAUUAGGAUUUGUCACUCCGAUUGUCGGAGAGGUAUCUCUGGGCCCUCUCGGUAAUGCACAUCACAUAAGCCUUGCAAGCAUUGCAACUAAUGAGUUAGUUGCGAGAUGAUGUAUUACAAAACGAGUAAAGAGACUGGUUGGUAACGAGAUUGAACUAGGUAUUGUAUAUCGACGAUCGAAUCUCGGGCAAGUAACAUACCGAUGACAAAGGGAACAACGUAUGUUGUUAUGCGGUCUGACCGAUAAAGAUCUUCGUAGAAUAUGUAGGAGCCAAUAUGGGCAUCCAGGUCCCGCUAUUGGUUAUUGACCAGAGACGUGUCUCGGUCAUGUCUACAUUGUUCUCGAACCCGUAGGGUCCGCACGCUUAAGGUUACGAUGACAGUUAUAUUAUGAGUUUAUGCAUUUUGAUGUACCGAAGGUUGUUCGGAGUCCCGGAUGUGAUCACGGACAUGACGAGGAGUCUCGAAAUGGUCGAGACGUAAAGAUUGAUAUAUUGGAAGCCUAUGUUUGGAUAUCGGAAGUGUUCCGGGUGAAAUCGGGAUUUUACCGGAGUACCGGGANNNNNNNNNNNNNNNNNNNNNNNNNNNNNNNNNNNNNNNNNNNNNNNNNNNNNNNNNNNNNNNNNNNNNNNNNNNNNNNNNNNNNNNNNNNNNNNNNNNNNNNNNNNNNNNNNNNNNNNNNNNNNNNNNNNNNNNNNNNNNNNNNNNNNNNNNNNNNNNNNNNNNNNNNNNNNNNNNNNNNNNNNNNNNNNNNNNNNNNNNNNNNNNNNNNNNNNNNNNNNNNNNNNNNNNNNNNNAAGGUGGCCGCGCGCCUCCCCCUCCCCCUAGUCCUAUUAGGACUAGGAGAGGUGGUCGGCCCCCCUUCUCUCUCUUCCCCCCUCGGGGAAUCCUAGUCCAACUAGGAUUGGGGGGGGAGUCCUACUCCCGGAAGGAGAAGGACUCCUCCUGCGCCCUCCUCCUGGCCGGCGCCCCCCUCCCCCUUGGCUCCUUUAUAUACUAAGGCAGAGGCACCCCAGAAACACACAAGUUGAUCCACGUGAUCUAUUCCUUAGCCGUGUGCGGUGCCCCCAGCCACCAUAUUCAUCGAUAAUACUGUAGCGGAGUUUAGGCGAAGCCCUACUGCUGUAGUGCAUCAAGAUCGUCACCACGCCGUCGUGCUGACGGAAUUCUUCCCCGACACUUUCCUGGAUCGGAGUCCGGGGAUCGUCAUCGAGCUGAACGUGUGCUCGAACUCGGAGGUGCCGUAGUUUCGGUGCUUGAUCGGUUGGAUCGCGAAGACGUACGACUACUUCCUCUACGUUGUGUCAACGCUUCCGCAGUCGGUCUGCGUGGGUACGUAGAAAGCACUCUCCCCUCUCGUUGCUAUGCAUCACCAUGAUCUUGCGUGUGCGUAGGAAUUUUUUUGAAAUUACUACGAAACCCAAAAGUCGCAUCCGUGCCUAGGUUAUUUAUGUUGAUGUUAUAUGCACGAGUAGAACACAAGUGAGUUGUGGGCGAUAUAAGUCAUACUGCCUACCAGCAUGUCAUACUUUGGUUCGGCGGCAUUGUUGGACGAGACGACCCGGACCAACCUUACGCGUACGCUUACGCGAGACCGGUUCCCCCGACGUGCUUUGCACACAGGUGGCUUGCGGGCGACUGUCUCUCCAACUUUAGUUGAACCAAGUAUGGCUACGCCCGGUCCUUGCGAAGGUUAAAACGGAGUCUAUUUGACAAACUAUCGUUGUGGUUUUGAUGCGUAGGUGAGAUUGGUUCUUGCUUAAAGCCCGUAGCAGCCACAUAAAACUUGCAACAACAAAGUAGAGGACGUCUAACCUGUUUUUGCAGGGCAUGUUGUGAUGUGAUAUGGUCAAGACAUGAUGCUGAAUUUUAUUGUAUGAGAUGAUCAUGUUUUGUAACCGAGUUAUCGGCAACUGGCAGGAGCCUUAUGGUUGUCGUUUUAUUGUAUGCAAUGAAAACGCGAUGUAAUGAUUUACUUUAUUACUAAGCGGUAGUGAUAGUCGUGGAAGCAUAAACUUGGCGAGACGACAACGAUGCUAUGAUGGAGAUCAAGGUGUCACGCCGGUGAUGAUGGUGAUCACGACGGUGCUUCGGAGAUGGAGAUCACAAGCACAAGAUGAUGAUGGCCAUAUCAUAUCACUUAUAUUGAUUGCAUGUGAUGUUUAUCCUUUUAUGCAUCUUAUCUUGCUUUGAUUGACGGUAGCAUUAUAAGAUGAUUUCUCACUAAAUUACCAAGAAGUGUUCUCCCUGAGUAUGCACCGUUGUGAAAGUUCUUCGUGCUGAGACACCACGUGAUGAUCGGGUGUGAUAGGUUCUACGUUCAAAUACAACGGGUGCAAAACAGUUGCCCACGCGGAAUACUCAGGUUAUACUUGACGAGCCAAGCAUAUACAGAUAUGGCCUCAGAACACGGAGACUGAAAGGUCGAGCGUGAAUCAUAUAGUAGAUAUGAUCAACAUAACGAUGUUCACCAUUGAAAACUACUCCAUCUCACGUGAUGAUCGGUUAUGGUUUAGUUGAUUUGGAUCACGUAAUCACUUAGAGGAUUAGAGGGAUGUCUAUCUAAGUGGGAGUUCUUUAAUUAAUUUGAUUAACUGAACUUAAAUUUAUCAUGAAACUUAGUACCUAAUUAGUAUCUUGCUUGUUUAUGUUUGAUUGUAGAUAGAUGGCUCGUGUUGUUGUUCCGUUGAAUUUUAAUGCGUUCCUUGAGAAAGCAAAGUUGAAAGAUGAUGGUAGCAAUUACACGGACUAGGUCCGUAACUUGAGGAUUAUCCUCAUUGCUGCACAGAAGAAUUACGUCCUGGAAGUACCACUGGGUGCCAGGCCUGCUGCAGGAGCAACGCCGGAUGUUAUGAACGUCUGGCAGAGCAAAGCUGAUGACUACUCAAUAGUUCAGUGUGCCAUGCUUUACGGCUUAGAAUCGGGACUUCAACGACGUUUUGAACGUCAUGGAGCAUAUGAGAUGUUCCAGGAGUUGGAGUUAAUGUUUCAAGCAAAUGCCCAGAUUGAGAGAUAUGAAGUCUCCAAUAAGUUCUAUAGCUGCAAGAUGGAGGAGAACAGUUCUGUCAGUGAGCAUAUACUCAAAAUGUCUGGGUAUAAUAAUCACUUGAUUCAAUUGGGAGUUAAUCUUCCAGAUGAUUGCGUCAUUGACAGAAUUCUUCAAUCACUGCCACCAAGCUACAAGAGCUUCGUGAUGAACUAUAAUAUGCAAGGGAUGAACAAGACUAUUCCCGAGCUCUUCGCGAUGCUGAAAGCUGCGGAGGUAGAAAUCAAGAAGGAGCAUCAAGUGUUGAUGGUCAACAAGACCACUAGUUUCAAGAAAAAGGGCAAAGGGAAGAAGAAGGGGAACUUCAAAAAGAACGGCAAGCAAGUUGCUACUCAAGAGAAGAAACCCAAACCUGGACCUAAGCCUGAAACUGAGUGUUUCUAUUGCAAGCAGACUGGUCACUUGAAGCGGAACUGCCCCAAGUAUUUGGCAGAUAAGAAGGAUGGAAAGGUGAACAAAGGUAUAUGUGAUAUACAUGUUAUUGAUGUGUACCUUACUAAUGCUCGCAGUAGCACCUGGGUAUUUGAUACUGGUUCUGUUGCUAAUAUUUGCAACUCGAAACAGGGACUACGGAUCAAGCGAAGAUUGGUUAAGGACGAGGUGACGAUGCGCGUGGGAAACGGUUCCAAAGUCGAUGUGAUCGCAGUCGGCACACUACCUCUACAUCUACCUUCGGGAUUAGUAUUAGACCUAAAUAAUUGUUAUUUGGUGCCAGCGUUAAGCAUGAACAUUAUAUCUGGAUCUUGUUUGAUGCGAGACGGUUAUUCAUUUAAAUCAGAGAAUAAUGGUUGUUCUAUUUAUAUGAGUAAUAUCUUUUAUGGUCAUGCACCCUUGAAGAGUGGUCUAUUCUUGUUGAAUCUCGAUAGUGGUAACACACAUAUUCAUAAUGUUGAAGCCAAAACAUGUAGAGUUGAUAAUGAGAGUGCAACUUAUUUGUGGCACUGCCGUUUAGGUCAUAUCGGUGUAAAGCGCAUGAAGAAACUCCAUUCUGAUGGACUUUUGGAACCACUUGAUUAUGAAUCACUUGGUACUUGCGAACCGUGCCUUAUGGGCAAGAUGACAAAACACCGUUCUCCGGUACUAUGGAGGGAGCAACAGAUUUGUUGGAAAUCAUACAUACAUAUGUAUGUGGUCCGAUGAAUAUUGAGGCUCGUGGCGGAUAUCAUUAUUUUCUCACCUUCACAGAUGAUUUAAGCAGAUAUGGGUAUAUCUACUUAAUGAAACAUAAGUCUGAAACAUUUGAAAGGUUCAAGGAAUUUCAGAGUGAAGUUGAAAAUCAUCGUAACAAGAAAAUAAAGUUUCUACGAUCUGAUCGUGGAGGAGAAUAUUUGAGUUACGAGUUUGGUGUACAUUUGAAAAAUUGUGGAAUAGUUUCGCAACUCACGCCACCCGGAACACCACAGCGUAAUGGUGUGUCUGAAUGUCGUAAUCGUACUUUACUAGAUAUGGUGCGAUCUAUGAUGUCUCUUACUGAUUUACCGCUAUCGUUUUGGGGAUACGCUCUAGAGACGGCCGCAUUCACUUUAAAUAGGGCACCAUCAAAAUCCGUUGAGACGACGCCUUAUGAACUGUGGUUUGGCAAGAAACCAAAGUUGUCGUUUCUGAAAGUUUGGGGCUGCGAUGCUUAUGUGAAAAAGCUUCAACCUGAUAAGCUCGAACCCAAAUCGGAGAAAUGUGUCUUCAUAGGAUAUCCAAAGGAAACUAUUGGAUACACCUUCUAUCACAGAUCUGAAGGCAAGACUUUUGUUGCUAAAUUCGGAAACUUUCUAGAGAAGGAGUUUCUCUCGAAAGAAGUGAGUGGGAGGAAAGUAGAACUUGACGAGGUAACUGUACCUGCUCCCUUAUUGGAAAGUAGUACAUCACAGAAAAUUGUUUCAGUGACACCUACACCAGUUAGUGAGGAAGCUAAUGAUAAUGAUCAUGAAACUUCAGAUCAAGAUACUGCUGAACCUCGUAGAUCAACCAGAGUAAGAUCCGCACCAGAGUGGUACGGUAAUCCUGUUCUGGAAGUCAUGCUACUAGAUCAUGAUGAACCUGCGAACUAGGAAGAAGCGAUGGUGAGCCCAGAUUCCGCAAAAUGGCUUGAAGCCAUGAAAUCUGAGAUGGGAUCCAUGUAUGAGAACAAAGUAUGGACUUUGGUUGACUUGCCCGAUGAUCGGUAAGCAAUUGAGAAUAAAUGGAUCUUCAAGAAGAAGACUGACGCUGACGGUAAUGUUACUGUCUACAAAGCUCGACUUGUCGCAAAAGGUUUUCGACAAGUUCAAGGGGUUGACUACGAUGAGACCUUCUCACCCGUAGCGAUGCUUAAGUCUGUCCGAAUCAUGUUAGCAAUUGCCGCAUUUUAUGAUUAUGAAAUUUGGCAAAUGGAUGUCAAAACUGCAUUCCUGAAUGGAUUUCUGGAAGAAGAGUUGUAUAUGAUGCAACCAGAAGGUUUUGUCGAUCCAAAAGGAGCUAACAAAGUGUGCAAGCUCCAGCGAUCCAUUUAUGGACUGGUGCAAGCCUCUCGGAGUUGGAAUAAAUGCUUUGAUAGUGUGAUCAAAGCAUUUUGUUUUAUACAGACUUUCGGAGAAGCCUGUAUUUACAAGAAAGUGAGUGGGAGCUCUGUAGCAUUUCUGAUAUUAUAUGUGGAUGACAUAUUACUGAUUGGAAAUGAUAUAGAAUUUCUGGAUAGCAUAAAGAGAUACUUGAAUAAGAGUUUUUCAAUGAAAGACCUCGGUGAAGCUGCUUACAUACUAGGCAUAAAGAUCUAUAGAGAUAGAUCAAGACGCUUAAUUGGACUUUCACAAACAACAUACCUUGACAAAAUUUUGAAGAAGUUCAAAAUGGAUCAAGCAAAGAAAGGAUUCUUGCCUGUGUUACAAGGUGUGAAAUUGAGUAAGACUCAAUGCCCGACCACUGCAGAAGAUAGAGAGAAUAUGAAAGAUGUUCCCUAUGCAUCAGCGAUAGGAUCUAUCAUGUAUGCAAUGUUGUGUACCAGACCUGAUGUGUGCCUUGCUAUAAGUCUAGCAGGGAGGUACCAAAGUAAUCCAGGAGUGGAUCACUGGACAACCGUCAAGAACAUCCUGAAAUACAUGAGAAGGACUAAGGAUAUGUUUCUCGUAUAUGGAGGUGACAAAGAGCUCGACGUAAAUGGUUACGUUGAUGCAAGCUUUGACACUGAUCCGGACGAUUCUAAAUCGCAAACCGGAUACGUGUUUACAUUAAACGGUGGAGCUGUCAGUUGGUGCAGUUCUAAACAAAGCGUCGUAGUGGGAUCUACAUGUGAAGCGGAGUACAUAGCUGCUUCGGAAGCAGCGAACGAAGGAGUCUGGAUGAAGGAGUUCAUAUCCGAUCUAGGUGUCAUAUCUAGUGCAUCGGGUCCAAUGAAAAUCUUUUGUGACAAUACUGGUGCAAUUGCCUUGGCAAAGGAAUCCUGAUUUCACAAGAGAACCAAGCACAUCAACAGACGCUUCAAUUCCAUCCAGGAUCUAGUCCAGGUGGGAGACAUAGAGAUUUGCAAGAUACAUACGGAUCUGAAUGUUGCAGACCCGUUGACUAAGCCUCUUCCACGAGCAAAACAUGAUCAGCACCAAGGCUCCAUGGGUGUUAGAAUCAUCACAGUGUAAUCUAGAUUAUUGACUCUAGUGCAAGUGGGAGACUGAAGUAAAUAUGCCCUAGAGGCAAUAGUAAAGUUAUUAUUUAUUUCCUUAUAAUCAUGAUAAAUGUUUAUUAUUCAUGCUAGAAUUGUAUUAACCGGAAACAUAAUACAUGUGUGAAUACAUAGACAAACAAAGUGUCACUAGUAUGCCUCUACUUGACUAGCUCGUUAAUCAAAGAUGGUUAUGUUUCCUAACCAUGAACAAUGAGUUGUUAUUUGAUUAACGAGGUCACAUCAUUAGUUGAAUGAUCUGAUUGACAUGACCCGUUCCAUUAGCUUAGCACCCGAUCGUUUAGUAAGUUGCUAUUGCUUUCUUCAAGACUUAUACAUGUUCCUAUAACUAUGAGAUUAUGCAACUCCCGUUUGCCGGAGGAACACUUUGGAUGCUACCAAACGUCACAACGUAACUGGGUGAUUAUAAAGGAGCAUUACAGGUGUCUCCAAAGGUAGAUGUUGGGUUGGCGUAUUUCGAGAUUAGGGUUUGUCACUCCGAUUGUCGGAGAGGUAUCUCUGGGCCCUCUCGGUAAUGCACAUCACAUAAGCCUUGCAAGCAUUGCAAUUAAUGAGUUAGUUGUGAGAUGAUAUAUUACAGAACGAGUAAAGAGACUUGCCGGUAACGAGAUUGAACUAGGUAUUGGAUACCGACGAUCGAAUCUCGGGCAAGUAACAUACCGAUGACAAAGGGAACAACGUAUGUUGUUAUGCGGUCUGACCGAUAAAGAUCUUCGUAGAAUAUGUAGGAGCCAAUAUGGUCAUCCAGGUCUGGCUAUUGGUUAUUGACCGGAGACGUGUCUCAGUCAUGUCUACAUUGUUCUCGAACCCGUAGGGUCCGCACGCUUAAGGUUACGAUGACAGUUAUAUUAUGAGUUUAUGCAUUUUGAUGUACCGAAGGUUGUUCGGAGUCCCGGAUGUGAUCACGGACAUGAUGAGGAGUCUCGAAAUGGUCGAGACGUAAAGAUUGAUAUAUUGGAAGCCUAUGUUUGGAUAUCGGAAGUGUUCCGGGUGAAAUCGGGAUUUUACCGGAGUACCGGGAGGUUACCGGAACCCCCCNNNNNNNNNNNNNNNNNNNNNNNNNNNNNNNNNNNNNNNNNNNNNNNNNNNNNNNNNNNNNNNNNNNNNNNNNNNNNNNNNNNNNNNNNNNNNNNNNNNNNNNNNNNNNNNNNNNNNNNNNNNNNNNNNNNNNNNNNNNNNNNNNNNNNNNNNNNNNNNNNNNNNNNNNNNNNNNNNNNNNNNNNNNNNNNNNNNNNNNNNNNNNNNNNNNNNNNNNNNNNNNNNNNNNNNNNNNNNNNNNNNNNNNNNNNNNNNNNNNNNNNAAGGAGAAAGGGGCAGCCCAAGGUGGCCGCGCGCCUCCCCCCUUCCCCUAGUCCUAUUAGGACUAGGAGAGGUGGCCGGCCCCCCUUCUCUCUCUUUCCCCCUCGGGGAAUCCUAGUCCAACUAGGAUUGGGGGGGAGUCCUACUCCCGGAAGGAGAAGGACUCCUCCUGCGCCCUCCUCCUGGCCGGCGCCCCCUCCCCCUUGGCUCCUUUAUAUACUAAGGCAGAGGCACCCCAGAAACACAUAAGUUGAUCCACGUGAUCUAUUCCUUAGCCGUGUGCGGUGCCCCCAGCCACCAUAUUUCUCGAUAAUACUGUAGCGGAGUUUAGGCGAAGCCCUGCUGCUGUAGUGCAUCAAGAUCGUCACCACGCCGUUGUGCUGACGGAAUUCUUCCCCAACACUUUGCUGGAUCGGAGUCUGGGGGUCGUCAUCGAGCUGAACGUGUGCUCGAACUCGGAGGUGCCGUAGUUUCGGUGCUUGAUCGGUUGGAUCGCGAAGACGUACGACUACUUCCUCUACGUUGUGUCAACGCUUCCGCAGUCGGUCUGCGUGGGUACGUAGACAGCACUCUCCCCUCUCAUUGCUAUGCAUCACCAUGAUCUUGCGUGUGCGUAGGAAAUUUUUUGAAAUUACUACGAAACCCAACAGCCACGAGGCAGGACGGCGCACCUAGGGGGUAGGCCCGCCCUCCACACUCGUGGGCCCCUUGCAGCUCCACUGACGUACUUCUUCCUCCUAUAUAUACCCAUAUACCGCGAAAACAUCCAGGAGCACCACGAAACCCUAUUUCCAUCGCCACAACCUUCUGUACCCGUGAGAUCCCAUCUUGGGGCCUUUUUCGACGCUCCGCCGGAGGGGGAAUUGAUCAUGGAGGGCUUCUACAUCAACACCAUAGCCUCUCCGAUGAUGUGUGAGUAGUUUACCACAGACCUUCGGGUCCAUAGUUAUUAGCUAGAUGGCUUCUUCUCUCUCUUUGGAUCUCAAUACAAAGUUCUCCUCGAUUCUCUUGGAGAUCUAUUCGAUGUAAUUUCUUUUUGCGGUGUGUUUGUCGAUAUCCGAUGAAUUGUGGGUUUAAUCAAGAUUAUCUAUGAACAAUAUUUGAUUCUUCUCUGAAUUCUUUUAUGCAUGAUUUAAAUAUCUUUGCAAGUCUCUUCGAAUUAUCAAUUUGGUUUGGCCUACUAGAUUGAUCUUUCUUGCAAUGGGAGAAGUGCUUAGCUUUGGGUUCAAUCUUGCGGUGUCCUUUCCCAGUGACAGCAGGGGCAGCAAGGCACGUAUUGUAUUAUUGACAUCGAGGAUAAAAAGAUGGGGUUUAUAUCAUAUUGCUUCAGUUUAUUCCUCUACAUCAUGUCGUCUUGCCUAAUGUGUUACUCUGUUCUUAUGAACUUAAUACUCUAGAUGCAUGCUGGAUAGCGGUCGAUGUGUGGAGUAGUAGUAGUAGAUGCAGAAUCGUUUAGGUCUACUUGUCGCGGACGUGAUGCCUAUAUACAUGAUCAUGCCUAGAUAUUCUCAUAAUUAUUCGAUUUUCUAUCAAUUGCUCGACAGUAAUUUGUUCACCCACCGUAGAAUUUGCUAUCUUGAGAGAAGCCACUAGUGAAACCUAUGGCCCCCGGGUCUAUCUUCCAUCAUAUCUAUUUUCUAUUUCUAUCAUAGUUUAUUUUUGCAAUCUUUACUUUCCAAUCUAUACCAUAAAAAAUACCAAAAAUAUUUAUCUUAUUAUCUCUACAGAUCUCACUUUGUAAGUGACCGUGAAGGGAUUGACAACCCCUUUAUCGCGUUCGUUGCAAGGUUCUUGUUUGUUUGUGCAGGUACUAGGCAAAUUUCGUGUUACCUCCUACAGGAUUGAUACCUUGAUUCUCAAAAACUGAGGGGGAAAUACUUACGCUAUUGUGCUGCAUCACCCUUUCCUCUUCAAGGGAAAACCAACGCUUGCUCAAGAGUUAGCAGAUGCCAAUUCAAAUAAUCAUCAAAAUAAUUCUCCUACACGCGUUAUUCAGAUGGAGAAGAAGCGGUUGGCGUGGACAUUUCGUUUCUUAUCGAUGUCCAAGAGAAAAGCUACUAGGAAGUUCGUCCGCGCGGUGGAUUAUAAGUUUAAGUCUGUUACAUGAUACGUCCAUUUUGUAUCAUGUUUUCUUACUAUUAUUUAUAAUGUUUUAUCCAUAAUAAUGCUUUUUGGAGUAAUUCUAAUGUCUUUUCUCUCAUAAUUUGCAGUGUACACACAAAGAGGGAGAAUUUCGGCAGCUGGAAAUCUUGACCUGGGAAAGCUACAUCAGGCUACCUAUUCUGCACAACUCCAAACAAGCUGAAACUUGACAAUGAUUUUUUAUGGAAUAUAUAAGAAAUACUGGAGGAAAUAACUACCAUAGGGGGCCCAUCAGGUGGGCACAACCCACCUGGGCACGCUAGGGAGCCCAGGCAUGCCCUGGUGGGUUGUGCUCACCCAGGCCCACCUCUGGUGCCCAUCUUCUGGUAUAUAAGUCAUUUUAACCUAGAAAAAAUAAGGAUAAGGCUUUUGGGACGGAGCGCUGCCGUCUCGAGGCGGAACUUGGGCAGGAGCACUUUUGCCCUCCGGCGGAGCGAUUCCGCCNNNNNNNNNNNNNNNNNNNNNNNNNNNNNNNNNNNNNNNNNNNNNNNNNNNNNNNNNNNNNNNNNNNNNNNNNNNNNNNNNNNNNNNNNNNNNNNNNNNNNNNNNNNNNNNNNNNNNNNNNNNNNNNNNNNNNNNNNNNNNNNCAUCGUCCUCAUCAUCACCAACAACUCUCCCAUCUUGGGGAGGGUUAUCUCCAUCAACAUCUUCAACAACACCAUCUCAUCUCAAACCCUAGUUCAUCUCUUGUGUUCAAUCUUGUUACCGGAACUAUAGAUUGGUGCUUGUGGGUGACUGGUAGUGUUGAUUACAUCUUGUAGUUGAUUACUAUAUGGUUUAUUUGGUGGAAGAUUAUAUGUUCAGAUCCAUUAUGCUAUUUAAUACUCCUCUGAGCAUGAGCAUGUUUAUCAUUUGUGAGUAGUUACUUUCGUUCUUGAGGUUACGGGAGAAAUCAUGUUCCAAGUAAUCCUGUGAACUUCAUAUGUGUUCGAUAUUUUGAUAUUAUGUAUGUUGUGAUUCCCUUAGUGGUGCCAUAUUUGAACGUCGACUACAUGACACUUCACCAUAUUUGGGCCUAAGCGAAUGCAUUGUGGAGUAGCAAUUAGAUGAUGGGUUGCUAGAGUGACAGAAACUUAAAUCCCAGUUUAUGCGCUAUUCCGUAAGGGACCGAUUGGAUCCAAAAGUUUAAUGCUAUGGCUAGAAUUUAUUCAUAAUACUUUUCUCAUAGUUGCGGAUGCUUGCGGGAGGGUUAAUCAUAAGUAGGAGGUUUGUUCAAGUAAGAACAUCACCUAAGCACCGGUCCACCCACAUAUCAAAUUAUCAAAGUAGCGAACACAAAUCGAACCAACAUGACAAAAGUGACUAGAUGAAAAUCCCGUGUAGCCUCAAGAACGCUUUGCUUAUCAUAAGAGACCGUUUUGGCCUGUCCUUUUGCCUCAAAAGGAUUGGGAUACCUUGCUGCACUUUUGUCACUACUAUUGUUACUUGUUACAAAUUAUCUUGCUAUCAAACUACUUUGCUACUUACAAUUUCAGCACUUGCAAACAUUACCUUACUGAAAACUACUUGUCAUUUCCUUCUGCUCCUUGUUGGGUUUGACACUCUUACUUAUCGAAAAGAGCUAUAAUUGAUCCCCUAUACUUGUGGGUCAUCAUUACAACAUCCAAUCAUCCAUAUAAUCUCUGUGUUUCUUCUGUUUUCUACCAGUCAUAUUUCAUAUGUGCAUCAGAGGAAAAAUGCUUUCAGCGGGCAUGUUGGAGUGCACAUACCAAGUUCCCAGAUUGCAAAUAUGAUCCUGGGCUCCUAGCCAUUAAUAUGUUUAAUUCCACAUUUUCUUCAUCUAAUUUCUAAAUGACUAGACAACCUGUUAUACUCUUAUAGAAUUAUGAGCCGCCCAAACCAUGUUUCUCUUGGUCUAAUUUCUAAAUGAUAAUGUGCAACAUCUAUCUCCUUGUGAACCUUUUUUUUCUUCCGACUGUAUCCCCUGGUGAACCUAUCUUACGAUAAGAUUUUUUAGGGCAUUUUUUGAUGAUUUUUUCCUAUAGCCCUUAAAUAAAAUCAAAUAAAAUCAAGUGCAACUCACAGUAAGUUUUCUGCUCCUAGCUAGUUGUAAAGAACAAGUUCAAUUCAGUCUGAUUUAGUUCUUGACAUGACCGUGCUGCCAGCAACUCCUUUUCUCUAGCUAGCACAAUAAUUGUACUUGUUUGAUGUAAAGGACAUAAAUACAAAGAAAUAAAUUGGAAGCUUAUUUCAAAUUAACUAGCUAGUGGUGUUUGUGAAGUUCAAGAAAAAUCUAGUCUUUUUCUCGACAAAUAAGUUGACAUGCAAGGAAUCAAUGAAUGUAUUUGCAAGAAAGCAAACAUAAUUAUCGAUAAAAUUGGUUGUGAUUGUCACUAUAGACAAUGGUAGUAGCUAAUUGGAACUAGAUACAAACCAAUAAAAAACAAGAUCUCAAAUCUCCAACCAAUAAAGAGUUCAACCCAAAUUUUACAAUUACACUAUUAUAUUUAAAUAGUGAUUAUUGUAAUACAUGGCUAAUUAAUUAAUGCACUAGGUUGCGCUUGUGACCAGGCAAGACAAACUUAUGAACUUGCAUGCAUGGCAAUCAGAUCGACAUCCACACAAUGCCGAUAUGAACAUUUUCUUAAUACACCUUUAUUUGUAUUUUAUUUCAGAAUUUAAACAACUAGUUUGAGCGGGUCACACAUGACGUUGUGUGACACUUUAUUUGUCACCGCUACAUUGACAUAUCCAUCGACUAAACAACGGUGAUCCAACUAUAUAUUACUAGAGAUCUUUUCUUAUCAG
rnacentral:lncRNA from 1 species